GGCGUGCGGGUUGCCGACGUUGGUGAAGAUGAUCCUCUUGCCCUCCUUCUGGAGCUCGGAUGCGCGGAGGUAGAGCUCGCCGCGCACGGCGUACUGCACCUUCUUGACGUUCUCGUUGAGCUCCUCGUAGUCCAGCGCCUUCCUCCCCAUCAUCUCGCCUUCUCCGGAGGCAGAGAUCCCUGGCGCGCCGCCGCAGAGCAGAGCAGAGCUCAGGGGGAAAGGGUGUCCGUGGGAGAGGUGGGGGUGAUGUGGAGAAGAAGGGAACCAAGAAACAGGGGAGCAGGUGGGAAUUUGUACUGUAAUGGCAAGCAGAUUCCUUUGUCGUAUUGCUGGGCGUGCGCGCUCCAGAUCAAUCAAACGCGGAUAAUGUGGAGGAGACGAGACGGCGUCCGCUCGAUUUUCCUUUUCUUGGCGCACGGGAAUGGGAUUUGCGCCCCCCCGAAUUUGAGUGGGGAAAGGACUAGGAACUCGGGCUGGAGAUAAGAGCAGGAAUGGCCACAGGUUGGGUUAUCACCUCGCCUGCGGUGGAGAAGGAACGCCCCAGCCCAGGACCAGGAGCACACACACACACACACACAACAGGUUCUUGCAUGCCUGACCUGCCUGCCUGACCUGCCUGCCUGCCUGCCCCUUGGCACCUGGAGAGGAGCAGGGGCUGGGCACAAUAAUGCAGCAGCAGCAACAAUCCUCUUCCUUGUCUCCAUCGAUCUAUCCAUCCAUGAUCCAUCCUCACACACGUAACUGGCUCUGCUUUGCCUCUCCAUAGGAAUGAUAGGCAAGGUGCAGAACGGUGCUAGUAAAUUGUUUCAGAUCCGCGAAAACAAGACUGAAACAGGGCAGUGUUGAGCAUGUCCUGGCACUAGCAGCAAAUUCAGGCCAGAUUUAGUACUAGUAUAUCUCACAUUGCAACAACACAUGUACUAACACAAAUUACUGCUACAUUUGUUUUCCUCUUUGUAUCUGCAGCCACUGGAAAUUCAGAACCAACUAAACUAAGGAUGGAUCAUGGCGCUUGCUAAGCUAAUGCGGCAACGAAUUACUCGAUUCAUUUGUGUGGCAUGACAUGAGGCUUCGUAUCUCUUGUUUUAUUCCGGUCGUCUUCCUCUUGGUUGCUCCAUGACGCCUUCUAUUUGCAUUUUCUUAACACUUUUUCGUGUAAGCAGGGCUGCAAUAAUAUAAUAAUUAAUUGAUGGCUGCGUAAGUCGUGUUUUUUUUCCAAGAGUACGCUUAGGUGUGUCAUGUUUUUAUAGAGGACAAACGUUGGAAUACAAGAAACUAGAGUUUUUUCCGAACAAUAAAUGUAGCAAGAAGUUCAAAAAAAAAAAAAAACUUCACACCAAGCUAAUCAACAAAUUAGCCACCACAACAAUUACAAACACAACACAAAGGACCCGCCCUAAAUCAAUCGUCUAGUCGCGUCAUAACAAUUACCGAUCACCACGAAAGAGCAACAACUUCAGCCGGGCAUUCUUUGCCAACGCAUUACCCGUCCUUGAAUGUUUAAGAGGAGAUGGCGAGUGGAUAGCGGGACUCGAUCAGACCCGAAAAAGCCAUUGUCUUGGAGCACUGGCAACUGCGUACAUAUCGUUCACGAAGAUCAACUCGGACACCACAUCACUAGACCUCGAAGCCAAGUCUUCCCCCGCGAUGCUCUCACCGACGUUCAGAAAUCCGUUUUCUUUCCUAACUACACAGCACAGCAGCACAGCAGGGUCUAACGAUCGGAUGAGUUUGCUGCUGGUUACAUACAAUCCGACUUGUGCAACGGGCGGGGCGGAUGGAUGGAUGUAUGGAUCGAGAUGCUAUAAGAUUGGUUCGGCAUGGUCACUUCUUGAUACUGACCCACUGCAGCUGCAGCUGUAUCUCGCCGCUCUCGACGUUCCUGAGGCGCAGGAUCAUCUCCUGGACGAACUUCCCGUUCUUCCAGCACACGUGGCUCUCUUCGGCGAGGCAGUUCCGGCUGCUCGGCGGGACCGACCGCACCACCGCGCCGUUGCGGAUGCUCUCGGUGUCCAGGUCCAGGACCUCCGUCAAUGGCAGCACCUCGAUCUCCGCGUUCCCCAUUGGGUCGUCCUUGCUGAAGGUGUCCUUGUCAAACACCGCCUGCAUGUACAGUUUCAUUCAUAUAAACAAAAUGUGUUUCGUUUUCAUGGACAAAAUGUGUUGGUAACCAUUUACAGAUUGCAAGGAAACAGUAUGAUAUGGACUCACAAGCUUGAUUGGUGCAUUCGGGUUCGUGAUCGACAGGGUUAGCUCCUCAUGCCAGAUAGGGUUCACAGAUCGCUUCUUCACGCUUGUCUUCAGUUUCUGCAACGGCACAAUUCAUUUAAACAGCAAACAAACGAUUAAUACAGCAAUCGAUGGACAAGAAGAAAAAGAAAUGAGAGAGCGGACGGCAUAUAUACCUGCUUGCCGAGGCGAAGGACAACGUAUGGAUCACUGCCUCUUGCGUCGCGGUAUGCAAGGUUGAUCCCACGCACCACACGCACCUUCAACAGCCCAACCAACCCAUCCAUGCUCGAUCUCGAUCCGAUCGACCGUCAAUUUAAUUUUAUGCUAGCACUGUAUUAUUUACAGAGGAAUGUGGCCUGGUGUGGUGUGGGACGAAGAAGCGCCUAAUCCAAUUCUCGAAUUAGAAUUAGGCGACUUCUUGCGCCCCGCUUUCUUCUUUCCCCCUCUCUUCUCAUCGGCAUAAAUAGACUAGUCCCACACAUGACCCUAAGAAAAGGAAUUGGGCUGGCCAUUUCUCGUGUGGCAUGCAUCCAAACAAAAGCAGCUCCUAUCAUUUUUGGCUAUCUCUCUUGCAUUGCAUUGUAUGGGUCCGCCUCCGUCAUGCUUCUAAAUCACCAAACGUAACUUGCCUCCUCUGAUUUGUACGCAAGCUCUUGUUCUAUUAUAGAUGGUUUUAGACGUCGAUAUGACUAACAUCUUCACAUGAGUGAAGUAUGAAAUAGGCUUGAAUUAUUCCUGAAAUCUAAAACGUGUACACGCACCAUCUGGCGCUCGCGAGCGGCCGAAUGUGCGCCAUUCGAUCGCGUCCGAUCGAACGGGCGAGAUCCUCCAUGUGGCACCUGGUCGGGCCACGCCAAGUCCGCCCCUCCCCCCCUCCCCCCCCCCUUCCCCUCCCCCGUCCCACUCGUCAUAGAGAAGAGAAUCCCAGUUAGUGGGGCGCUCUCAGGAACUGACUACCACCGAUGAACAAGGAUGAGCAUGAACCCAGCAAUCGGUGGAAUUUCAGAGAGAAACAGGGGAAUUUAGAGCUCUCAUAUAACGAAAAUGGAUAGUAGCUCGCCUCCGGCGGCUAGGGUUCCCUGAUUUACAUAUAUCAUAAAGUAGCAAAAGAGAGAGAUUACAUGGCUUUAUAGCCAAGGGGAAAGAGGGACGCGCGGGCCAGCGAGGAAGAGGGACGCGCGAUCGUUUCCCAGGGGCGUUGUCGGAAUUCCACAGUAGCUUCCCCCUCGAGCAACCGUUGGAUGAGCAUCGAAGGGCUUAUAUUACUUCCGACAGACUCCACAGUGCAUUAACACUAACUGAACUUAGCUGCAGCCUGACAAUACCCCCCGAAUGAAACACAGCUUGUCCUCAAGCUUGGAAUGCAGGAAAAAAAUUCUGGAUAAAGGAUGCAUCCUCCCACGUAGCUUCUUCAAUCGGCAUGUUGAUCCACUUUACUAACCAACGCACAACUGGGAUGCUGAUGUCACCCUGUCGACGAGGGAUAAGUUUCCUCUCAAGCACAGUCUCUGGCUCCCUUUUGAUCGUUCCAUCAGCAUGAACAAGUGGUAGUUGUGGGGAUGGCACCACAUGCUGGCCAAUGUGUUUCUUGAGCUGGCUCACAUGGAAAGUAUGAUGCAGCUGACAACCUUCUGGUAGCAACAACUUAUAAGCAUGUUUGCCCACCUUCUCUAGCACUCUAAAAGGACCAUAAUAUUUUGAAUGCAACUUGAGAUGCUUAUGGAGGCUGAGUGAUGUGUGUCUGUAGGGUUGCACUUUAGGUACACCAUGUCCCCAACCAAGAAUUCUCUUUCCUUUCUCUUUUGAUCAACAUAGAGCUUCAUUCUGGCUUGUGCCUUGCUAAGGUUGUGUUUGAUUACUUCCAUAGCCAGUUCCCUGAUCUGCAUCAGGUUUUCACUAUCUUCCCAAAUAGAAUCUGGCAGAGCUGAUUCAGCUACUAAUGGUGGAGGAAAACCAUACAGAGCCUAAAAUGGUGUCAUCUUCAAUGAAGUGUGGAAGGAUGUGUUGUACCACCAUUCUGCCAGGGCCAACCACCCAUGCCAUUUCCUAGGUUGUUGAAAACACAUACACCUCAAGUAAUUUUCCAAGCACUGGUUCACUCUCUCUGUUUGUCCAUCAGUCUGUGGGUGGUAGCUAGUGCUCAUAUGCAGCUUAACCUUCAUGGAUUUGGACAGUUGCUGCCAUAAGUUACUAGUGAAGAUCCUAUCCCUGUCUGUCACAAUCACCACAGGCAUGCCAUGUAACCUGAACACAUUGUCAGAGAAGGCUCUAGCUACAGACUGGACUGAUAUAGGAUGUUUCAUGGCUAUAAAGUGUGCGUAUUUAGUAAACCUGUCCACUACCACCAGGAUAAGAUCUUUGUUGUCAGAAACAGGUAGCCCUUCUACAAAAUCCAUGUUGAUGUGUGCCCAAGCAAAAUCAGGGACAGACAGAGGCUCUAGUAAUCUAGGGUAUGGGGUAUGUGUUGGGUUAGGUAGCAUAAAAUCAAAAUUUUCCUACGCAUAUUCAGAUCUUCCUAUGGAGAGACCAGCAACGAGAGAGGGGUAAGAGCAUCUUCAUACCUUUGAAGAUCGCUAAGCGGAAGCGUUACUAGAACGCGGUUGAUGGAGUCGUACUCGCAGCGAUUCGGAUCGCGGUGUGAUUCCGAUCUAGUGCCGAACUACGGCACCUCCGCGUUCAACACACGUGCAGCCCGGUGAAGUCUCCUGCACCUUGAUCUAGAAAGAAGGAGGGAGAGGUUGGGGAAGAACUCCAGCAGCACGACGGCGUGGUGUCGAUGGAGAGAAGAGGUCUCCCGGCAGGGCUUCGCCAAGCACCGGCACAGAGGAGGAGAAAGAAGGGCAGGGCUGCGCCGAGGGAGAGGGAGAAGUCUAUCUCCCAAGGGCCAAAACCCCUCUCAAUUUAUAGGAGGAGGGGGAGGGGGGUGCACCACCCCUAGAGUUCCCCCCUAGGUGGUGCGGCAGCCACCAGAUGGGAAAGGGGGGCGUCGGCUAGGGUGGGAGGGGGUGGCGCACCACCUCGUGGGCCUAAGGCCCACCUGCGCCUAGUGUUGCCCCUCUCCCACCACUUGCGCAUUGGGCUGGGUGUGCGAGGCGCACCAGCCCACCUAGGGGCUGGUUCCCUCCCGCACUUGGCCCAUCUAGCCUCUUGGGGUCGUUUCCCCCCUUCGGCGGACCCCCGGGGCCACCUCGGGUGGUCCCGGUGGUCCCGGUACGUCACCAGUGACGCCCGAAACACUUCCGGCGUCCAAACCCAUCCAUCCUAUAUAUCAAUCUUUACCUCCGGACCAUUCCGGAGCUCCUCGUGACGUUAGGAAUCUCAUCCGGGACUCCGAACAACUUUCGGUAACCUCGUAUAACAAUUCCCUAUAACCCUAGCGUCAUCGAACCUUAAGUGUGUAGACCCUACGGGUUCGGGAGACAGGCAGACAUGACCGAGACACCUCUCCAGCCAAUAACCAUCAGUGGGGUCUGGAUACCUAUGGUGGCUCCCACUUGCUCCACGAUGAUCUCAUCGGAUGAACCAUGAUGUCAAGGAUUCAAUCAAUCCCGUAUACGAUUCCCUUUGUCUGUCGGUAUAGAACUUGCCCGAGAUUCGAUCGUCGGUAUACCUAUACCUUGUUCAAUCUCGUUACCGGUAAGUCUAUUUACUCGUUCCGUAGCACGUCAUCGUGUGACUAACUCCUUAGUCACAUUGAGCUCAUGAUGAUGUUCUACCGAGUGGGCCCAGAGAUACCUCUCCGUCACACGGAGUGACAAAUCCCGAUCUCGAUUCGUACCAACCCAACAGACACUUUUAGAGAUACCCGUAGUGCACCUUUAUAGUCACCCAGUUACGUUGUGAUGUUUGAUACACCCAAAGCACUCCUACGGUAUCCAGGAGUUGCACAAUCUCACGGUCGAAGGAAAAGACACUUGACAUUAGAAAAGCUUUAGCAUACGAACAAUACGAUCUAGUGCUAUGCUUAGGAUUGGGUCUUGUCCAUCACAUCAUUCUCCCAAUGAUGUGAUCCCGUUAUCAAUGACAUCUAAUGCCCAUGAUCAGGAAACCAUGACCAUCUAUUGACUAACGAGCUAGCCAACUAGAGGCUUGCUAGGGACACAUUGUGAUCUAUUUAUUCACACAUGUAUUACUGUUUCCUGUUAAUACAAUUAUAGCAUGAACAAUAGAUGAUUAUCAUGAACAAGGAAAUAUGAUAACAACCAUUUUAUUAUUGCCUCUAGGGCACAUUUCCAACAGUAUGCUCUGCUUUGUUGAUUAGGCAUACUGGACAGUUUUUCACAAAGACAAUGAUGUCUUGUUUCAACCCAGACUAGUGAAAUACCAGCUUAACCCUCUGAUAAGUGGCUCUUUCUCCAGAAUGUCCUCCAAGCUCUGAAUUGUGAAACACUUUCAUAAUUUCUUGCGUGAGAUCAGUAUUUCUUCCUACCACAAUCUUGCUCUUGUAUCCGAGUAUGCCAUUCCUGAAAGUGUAUGCACUGUUGCCAUCUUUAGCAGCUAUAGAUGCAAAAAUUAACUCUUUAAUCUUGUUAUCAUUUUUAUAGCUUUUAACCACUUCCUUGACCCAGGUAGGUGAAGUAGAUGUUGCUAUCAGAGCUGAAAUCUUAUGCUUUACCAUGGAUAAGGCAUCAGCAGCCUUGUUUUCUUUCCCUUUCCUGUACUCCACUGUAAAGUUGUAACCUAGUAACUUCAGCAACAGUUUAUGCUGAAUUCCUUCAGUGAUUUUCUGUUCCUGGAUGUACUCGAGACUUUCCUGAUCUGUCCUGAUGAUCAGUGCAGUUGCACCAAAGUAGUGCUUCCAUUUCUUAACUGCUUCUAUGAUUGCCAGUGCUUCUUUAUCAUAAGUAGACAUAGCUGCUGCUUUAGGGCCAAUUGCUUUGCUGAAAAAUGAGAGAGGUCUUCCAUCCUGCAUCAAUACAACUCCUAAUUCAUAUCCACUAGCAUCAGUCUCCAGGACAAAAGGGUUUAGUGAAGUCAGGUAAGGCCAGUACAGGAGUGUGAGUAAGUUUUUGUUUGAGUGCCUCAAAUGCCCUGGUUUGUUCUUCCUUCCAUUCAAAUGAGUUCUUUUUCAAACAGUCAAAUAAAGGUCUGCAGAUAAUUCCAUACCCCUGAAUAAACCUCGUGUAAUAUCCACUUAAGCCUAAGAAGCUUCUUAGCUCAGUAAUGUUAGCAGGCACUGGCCAAUGUUGAACAGCUUUUAUCUUGCAGGGAUCUGUGGAUACACCUUCCUCAUUGAUGAUGUGGCCCAGGUACUCCACUUCCUUUUGACCAAAUGAGCACUUCUCCAACUUAGCAUAUAAUUUGUUCUCUUGCAGAAUUUCAAAUACUUGCUGUAAAUGUUGCUUGUGUGCUUCCCAUGAUAUACUAAGCACUAGGAUGUCGUCAAAGAACACCACAACAAAUUUCAGCAACCCAAACAACAAGUUCAUUAAUGCUUGGAAUGAUGGUGGGCCAUUUGUUAGUCCAAAGGACAUCACCAAGUAUUCAAACAGUCCCAUGUGGGUAGAGAAUGCAGUUUUUGCUAUGUCUUCUUCAGCCAUCCUUAUUUGAUGAUAACCAUUUCUUAAAUCAAUUUUGGAGAAGUACUUUGCUCCCUUUAACUGAUCCAACAAAUCUUCAAUCACAGGAAUUGGAUACUUAUUUUUGACUGUGAUAUCAUUUAGUUUCCUAUAAUCAAUGCAAAGUCUCCAUGAGCCAUCUUUCUUUUUCACAAGCAGAACUGGAGAAGAAAAGGGGCUUGUGCUAGGUCUAAUUAAUCCCUUCUUUAACAAGUCCAGUAUAAUCUUCUCCAAUAUUUCCUUUUGGUGAUGUGGCACCCUGUAUGGCCUUUGGUUUACUAUCUUUGCUCCCUCCACCAGUGGUAUUUUAUGAUCACAAGGCCUGCUAGGAGGUAACCCACUAGGUUCCUGAAAUAGUUGCUCAUAUUGCUGCAACAGUGGUUGCAAAUCAUCAGGUAUCACAGUGGCUGCUAGCUCAUACCCUUCUCCACACAAAGGGAAUAGGAAGAAACCACAAACAGCUUGAUCCAUGAGCUUGCUGGAAUUAUCAUGGCUCUCAGUUAAUCUCUCCAAGGGAACGGUUUCAUCUAUAAAAGUUAUGACUUGCCCAUGUGUGUCUGAAAUUUUUAAUUCCAUCUUCACAAAGUCCAUUUGCACUGGGCUGUAUUUCUUUAACCAGUCCACUCCUAGGAUCAUGUCAUAUCCUGUUAAUUUAAGAACUCUGAAACUGUCACAGAAGCUCUUGCCCUGAAUUUCAUAAGGGCAGUUUCUCACAGUGAAUUCAUUCCACAACACUUCACCACUGGCCACCACUACCUUUACUUUGGAGUUAGCUACUGGUGCUACAGACAUAUUGGCUGCCAUCUCAGGUGAUACAAAUGUAGCAGUGCUUCCACUGUCUACUAGGGCAGUUGCUAAUUUCUCUCCAAUCUUAACUGACAAGAUAAAAGUGUUUUUGGCAGAGCUAAGACCAUGGGCAGCAUGCAUAGAAACCUGUAGUACAGUUUCUGGUGGUAGCUCUUGUGCUUCCAAGUCAGGGUCCUCAAAAUCAGUAACAUAUAUAACAUCUGAAUUGUUCUCCUCUUGAGAUAGUAAAGCUUGUAUCUGUGCUUUCUGGCUCAUUUUGCAAACUUGCCUGUGUCCUGGAACCCAAGGUUCCCUGCACUUAUAGCAGACUUGGUUCUACUUAGCGUGCGGAAUGACUGUGCUCUUUGGUAUAGGCAAUGUCCCACUCUGACCACUUGAAGUAUCAAAAUUCAUUUGCCUUUUAGCCUGAUGGAAGUAAGGUUUUGUUUGUACCACUACAGGGGGUUGUUGAGCCUUUUCCAUUCUUCUUGCAUACCACACAAUAGUCUGUAGAUCUUUUGGUUUGAAGCACUCCACAUGGCUCUUGAUAUAAGGGUUUAAACUAGCAACAAAACUAGUAACAUAAUAAUCAUUAGGAAUUCCAGGAUUUUCUCUUCUCAUAAUGUUCAUCAGCUGCUCAAACUUCUCUACAUAAUCAGCUAUAGUUGUCACUUGGUGGACAACAUGAAAAGAUGUAACAAUGUCACAAACAGAUUGCACUGAAAAUCUUUCAGACAAUACUGAACAGAAUUUAUGCCAAGCUAUGUUUCCUGGUGCAAAGCCAGUGCCUCUCCACCACUGCACAACAACUCCUUUCAAAUAAGAUAUGGCUAGCUCAGUCCUGUGCUUAAUAGGUGUUCUAGCAGCAGCAAAAUACUGCUCCAAGUUCUCUAUCCAGGAUUCAGGGUCUUCUCCUUCAAAUUCCACCAUGUUCAACUUGGCAGGUUUAACAGUUAAAGGGCUUCUUCUACUAUCCACUGGGUGCUCACUCUCCUCCUAUACUGAUUGUCAUACCCCUCUACUUCCUGCAGAUCUUCACCUUGGAUAAUAUUACAAGCCAGAGCAGUUUGACCCGUCCCCUCUAUUUUGUUAGUCCCAAAGUUUGGGUUCCUAUAAGGCUGCUUCAGAGUCCCAUCCAAGUUCAGCUCUCUGCCAGCUUGAUCUCUCAAUACUGUUGUACCAAGUGCUCCCAAGGUAGGCUUUUCAGGCAUUGUAACAGAAGGUGGAGUGUUUGCCACAAGCUGUUUUGGACGCCCUGGUGCUGCUUGAGGUGAUCCAACAGGGUUAGUUUUGUGCAAAACCUCACCUUGCACUGAAGCAUGAUCAGCUUCUUCUCCUUUUCCUGGAUCUGGGUCCAGCAACAGUUUCCUGAAAUUGUCUUGUAUCUUGUCAAAGUUCUUUUGCAUAGUAAUGAAGUUCUUGUUGACUGUAGCUUGGAACUGCUGAAACUCUCUACGAUCUUCAUCUCUUUCUUGCCGCAAGGAUUUCAAAUCCAACUCCAAGGAUUCCACUGCAAGUCUGCUGUUGUUCCUGACUCUGCUCCUCCCAUGCUUGCUAUUGCUGCGAAUUCUCAGGGAGGGAAAAAUGGAGGGAAUUUACCUGCUAGAUCUCCUCUUUGGUCGAUCAGAUCCUCACACGUGGGGUUUUACCACAACAGCAGUAUGCUCCAGUAACCAGGGGAAGGCCUAAUUGUACUCAGAUCUUGCCACUAUGGCCGCCACCAUGAACUCCCCGUGGAUCUGUGACUUUCUUCCUCUCCUGCUUCCCGAAGCCAAGGAAAGACUAGGCCUCUGAUACCAAUUGUCAGGAACUGACUACCGCCGAUGAACAAGGAUGAGCAUGAACACAGCAAUCGGUGGAAUUUCAGAAAGAAACAGGGGAAUUUAGAGCUCUCAUAUUACGAAAAUGGAUAGUAGCUCGCCUCCGGCGGCUAGGGUUCAACCCUGAUUUACAUAUAUCAUAAAGUAGCAAAAGAGAGAGAUUACAUGGCUUUAUAGCCAAGGGGAAAGAGGGAUGCGCGGGCCAGCGAGGAAGAGGGACGCGCGAUCGUUUCCCAGGGGCGUUGUCGGAAUUCCACAGUAGCUUCCUCCUCGAGCAACCGUUGGAUGAGCAUCGAAGGGCUUAGAUUACUUCCGACAGACUCCACAGUGCAUUAACACUAACUGAACUUAGCUGCAGCCUGACAGGUGCGGUGGGCGGUGUGGUUUCAAAUUUCGAGCCACACUCUCCCGGCAGCUCGUCCCACUCGCCCCGUUCAUUCCCCUCUCCUCUCUCCAUUUCCUCCCCGUCGGUAGUUCCCGUCGUUGUCGCCGAUGCACUCAGCGAGGGAGAGCCAGAGGGACCGCGCGACCGAAGGUGGGGGCUCGCCAGAUCUUCCGGUGGCGCAGGUAAGGCCCUGUCACUUGGAGUAUUUUGCCGCGCGAGGUCGAGAUCGACAUCUAGGUCUAGGGCAGGCGAAGAGGGGCCACACAGAGGCGUUGUUUCGAGCUUUGGAGGUGGUGAGGACGGCUACGACGGCGAGGCACGUGACGACGGUGAGACGUCCUCAUGCACGAAGAGGGGCUCAUGGUGGCGAGUAGUUUCCGGUCGCGCUGAGGCGUAGUUGAAGGGGCCGCGAGAGGUUACGAGGUAGGCGACAACGUCAAGGCUGCGGAGGAGGAACGGGCGACCUCCUGUGGUCGUGUUAGGGGAGCUCCGCGAGUGAAAUCCCGUCCCAUUGUGGUCAUGUGGUCGUGAUGCCGCCAUGGGUGACCCCUUGUGGUCGUGAUGUUCAUCUGAUCUAUGUAUAGGUGGUUGAUUUUGGUUGAUUUCUUCCUCGAGAUGUGGAUUGGUUGUUUGAUUUGUGAUUUUGCUCAAUUACCUGAUGAUUUUUGAUCUUCUAAUGUGCAACUAUGAUGUUUUGUGUGUGCAAUUUGUUUGUAAUAGAAGCCAUUUUCAUGUUUAAACUUAGGCAAAUUAAAUUGUUGGCAAUAUUCAGUUUGUUUGGUGUUUGUGUUUGUGCAACUAGGUUUCAUGGGUUGUUCAACUAGUUUUAUGUUAUUGCGCAAUUUAUUAGUAUGACUAGCGUAGUAUCAGUUUUCAUUAUGUUGUGCACCUGAGCUAUAUAUACUACAAAGCUGGCUCUAGUCAAUCUCGUUUGCAAACUAUGAAAAUAGUUUGUUUUGCUCUAGUGUGCAACUAACUAGGGUUCUCUGUGGUGUGCAACUAGGGUUCUAUGCGGUGUGCAACUAGGAUUUUCUUGUCGUGCAAUUUAUAGCCAAUGUGACACUAGUCAAUGAUAUAUUUUUUUGGUUUUCAGACUGAAAUUUCUGUGUAAUAGCUGGCUUUAGUAUGCAUCUAGGGUGCUAUGAUAUGCAACUAGAGUGCAGUAGUUUGCAACUAUGCUUCAGUAGUAUAACAACCAAGAUGCUAUAAUCUGCACCUAGGCUAUAGUAGUAUCUCAACAUAUGUAUUCACUGAACUCAUUUUGUGUCUAUUUUUUACCAAAAAAUGGAUGGCAGUGAAGGGGAGGUAUUUUUCAUUUAUACAUGCUUUUGUUCUUUAAUUUUAUUUAUGUUUUGUUCCUUCCGUCCUACACCUGACCAUGAUUAUUUUUUUGUCUCCCUUUUUGAUCAACAUAGAGUUCAGCUAGUCACAUUGGAUGACGGAACUCAAAAAGACAUGCCGUGUGCAAACCAUCCAGUGUCGAUAAUGACACGGAGGCACAUGAUGAUCAGGUGAGUAUCAUACAUAUGAGCAUUAUCCUGUUAGAUAUUUUGAUUUUGUCAUUUUUUUGUUGCGGGCUCAUAGUAAAUGGUUUUGUGCGGUUUAUGUGCAUACAUAGGUUGCUAAAAAAUUCUAUUUAGUAAAACGGAAGAGACGCAAGAUGUCUCCAACUCAAGGGGAAGUUGGAACAACAACUGCAGUACCUAACAUUGUAAGUUAGAAUUAUUUUGCGUCUUUUUUUAUUUACACAAGUAUAUCAAUUGAAUUGGCAACAUGAGUGUUUUCAGUUGGCAUCAUUGGUGAUAUAGUUACACAAGAAUACUAGUUGACUUGGCAUCCCUGCCCCAGUUUUUAGUUUUAUAGUUGCGGAUCACGGGAGUACUCAAAACUCCGCACAUUUAUGUACUCCCUCCGUUCCUAAAUAUAAGUCUUUUUAGAGAUGUCACAAGGAGACCACAUACGAAGUAAAAUGAGUGAAUCUAUACUCUAAAAUACAUCUAUAUACAUCCGUAUAUAGUUCCCUAGUGAAAACUCUAAAAAUACUUAUAUUUAGGAACGGAGGGAGUACAAAAUAUAACAUGAGUUGGCAUCCCCCUCUUGUAAUUGGCAUGUGUCUAACUCUGUAUUUUUUGCAUCCGUUGUUUUAUGUUGAUUUGUUUUGUGCUUUUUCCAAAGCAUAUUAAUGCACUUGCCAACAGAAGUCUUAUCAGUUGGCAAGAUUUUAAAUAUAGUUGCACAAUAAUAAUUCUUAACUUGGCAUUUCUGCAAAUUUUUCAUCUACUCUUUCUAUAGGAGAUCGGUCAAGAAGAUCCCACAAUUGCUGCAGAGAAUGUAGAUCGCCCAUCACAGGCUGGUAGGCUAAGGGCUUCCCGAGGGAGGUUAGUCAAGCUAAACAAGGCGUUGACUCCAUCCCAAAAGUCAAACCUUUGUGGUAGGCUGUUUGGUGGUCUUCUAAACAUAGCUGACACAUUGCCUGCGGAGCUCACCAAGUUCCUAGUUCAGAGUUAUAAACCAGAAACUGGAGAAAUGGUCUUUCCAGAGAGGGGGGAAGUCCGUGUUGAUGUUGAGAGUGUGUAUAGGGUAUUUGUUGUGCCAAAAAAGCGUCAAUGCGUCAGAUACUUUGCUGACAAGGAUUCUAUCAAAAGUUUUAGAGAUAUGUUCAACAUCACUGGCAAUUCCCACCCAAAGGUGAAUGAGUGGAUCUAGGGGACUAAAGGAUGGAUGGAAGAACUGACGAUAAAUUUUUCAUAUCCUGGCUAGCUAUUGCUUUCAACACAUUCCUAGCCCCCACAACCAGCUUGAAUAUCAGCCCCAAGUGCUACGGUGUUAUCCUAGAAUCAGAAAUGCUCGAUAAUACCAACAUAUGCCUCUUUGUGGCAGAGCACAUAAACGAACAAUGCCGCAACAUGACCAAGGACAAAAAGAAUGUGUGUUGCUGCCUAUAUCAUUUGGUGGUGAGCAUUUAGGAUAUCCAAAAUACUAGUUCUUUUUGUGAUUUUUUUCUUGAGUAGCAUUUUAUUGCAAGAGAUAAGAUACUUAUAUUUUUAACCCAUUUUAUUAUGUUGUUGUGUGGCUGGUCCUCUAUCUAGACGCGCUUGCUCAUGAUGUGCCUAUUAUCAGGUGCCCCUUACGAGCCAAUGCAUGGGACACCAACCUUAUGAACAAGGUCAUUAAAAAAACUGAUCUCGCCUGGUGUGUUUGGGAAGUUAUUUCUCAAAUCUCAUGAUAGCAUAUCAUUGUUCUAUUUUUUUUUGCACAGAUAUGUGUUGGUUGUUGCACAAAUAGGCAAAAGAGGUUGGCACAACAACCAUGUAGUGCUUGCGCACAUGAUCUUGUUUUGGUUUUUUCCAAACAAUUAUAUGUCAUCACAAUAUUUGAUUUGUUUUUCCGUGUGUAACAGUUGAAGGAGCAGUUGAGAGGUAUAGAGCAGACCCCACUUCUUGGUGGUUUGUUGCAAGCGGAAGCAUUUAUUUCGUCCAAGUUACCGCAAUCAUACAACCCGCAUGUUAGUUAUCGAUCUUUUUCAUAUUUUUUGAGUUACCCAUUGUUGGCUGUUAGUAGCACCUUUUGUAGUGUAUGUGCUUGCCACACAUCAUGUAACUAGUUGCACAUGUACUGAAAAAUGUACUAGGUAUAUAGCUGGUUGAACAUCAAGGGUAGCAAUAUACUUUUUUGAGUUCUUUUGCCUCCUUUUUCUUUUCUUACAAAAGUAUAUGAAUUCAAUUGACAAUCCCAUUAUUUAAUAUUGGCAUGAUCAGGGAUAUAGUUGCACAAGAAUGCUUUAUGACUUGGUAUAGCUGCAAUAUUUUUUAGUUACUUAUAGUUGUUGCACCAGGUUACUGUCAAAUUUUCCUUUUAUUUGCCCAAAACAUCACAUCAUUUGGAAUCAUUCCCCUUGCGUAGUUGGCAUGUUGCCAAGUCUAUAUUUUCACACAUAUUAAAAGUAUAUAGCCAGAAAAUGGCUGUUAGUAGCACCUUAUAGUGUGUGUGGUCGCCACACAUCAUGUAGGUAGUUGCACAUGUACUGAGGAAUGACUAGUUGUUUUCUCUUUUGGCUACUUCUAUUUUGCAGAAAAGGGUGAAGAUUGCAAAGUUGGUACAUGAGGUAUGCAAAUCGAUGACUGAUCAGCUUGACAAGUUCAUAGAAGGUAUUGGUCAGAUUGAUGAUGAGGAACCAGAUGAUGUACCCCCUCUAGAGCUAAAAGGGGGUAUCACAAAAACAACUCGUGGGGGUCAAAGUAAGAGAGGCGGUCGAGCAAAAACAAAACAAAUAACAGAGGUCCGUGAAGAAGAUGAUGAUGAGUUAGACGAAGAUGAAAAUACCGCAGAAGAAGAGAUGGAAGGGGAGGAGGUAGAGGAGGAUGAAAAGGAGGAGGAAGAGGAUGAUGAAGAUGAAUAGGAAGAGGACGAUGAAGAGAAGGACGAAGAGGACGAUGAAGAGAAGGACGAAGAGGACGAUGAAUAGAAGGAGGAAUAGGAUGAUGAAGAGGAUGAUGAGGAGGGGAGGCGAGAAAGAGAAAACGAAAUAUGGCAGUGACGAUCGUGAAGACUUUGAUGACCACAAUGAGGGCAAGAAGGGUACUGAAAAAAUGGUGAUGAAGGAAGUGGAGAUGAUGAUGAUGACAUGGAUAACACAGAUGAUGUAGUACUAUAUGGAGGAUCAGAAAGUGACAAGAAUGACGACGAUGAUGACACUAAUGGUGGUGGCCAUCGUACUAGUGGCCACACUAAUAGGGACAAAGAUAACAUUGACCAGGAUGAAAGCAGUAGUAAGGCAACUAGCGACAACACUGCACUUAAAUGGUGGAUGGAAAAAUACUGUUGGAAAGAUGAUGUUUCAAAAUCAAAGAAGAAAAUUGAGGCACCGCCAGGGGAGGACAUCAAUUUGUUGGAACUUUGCGAAAUGAAAGACAUAUUCAGUGAACCUCUAGAUGUGCCAAAUAUUGACUCUGGUAACAUAUUUGGAAGAUCCAAGAGGAAUCUUGAUUACGAUAUGAUACUUGAAUUAGAAAACCAAGAGUUUGAUAUGAAGGAGACAACAAGGGCUUGGAAUUUUUUGGGUCAAAGUCAUCAUACAAAAAGUUGUUGGAUAGCAUCACUAUACCCCCUCCACAUCCCGAAAGCAACACAAUGACUGGUCCCGUACCGCUUCCACCAAUGGCCAAAAAACAGAAAAAUACUGUAUUGCCCAAGAAGAAAUUGCGGUUGCCUGAAUGGAAGGAUGAAGUUUCUAAGCAAAAAACGUUGAUGGAACCUUCAACUCAAGUCCAUCCAUUGCCAACCGCACUGUUGGUCGCGCCAGGUGCAGUACAUUCAGAGGCAACCUGAUUGCAUGCCAAUUGUACUGAUUAAGGGCAUUAGCCAUUAUGGAGUAAUUAUUUAUAAGGGGGAGGAUCCAAAGAGAAAAAAGGUUGUAAAUUUUGCAAAGGUCAUAAAGGGAGAAGAGCUAACAAGGAUUGCAGAAAAGGUAGUUGCAUAACCCAAAUUAACAAGCAUUGAGGAGGCACCAACUCUUGGCACACUUUCUCAGACAGUAUUGCCAACUAAAGGAUCUUGCCUGCCAACUGAUGUGCAAUAGAGCGCAACCCAUGCUGAUCUCGCGCCAACUCAUGCGGGAACCAAAAGUGUUGGUUUCUCAGGAGGAACAUUAAUGAGUGCCCAACCUGCUCCACUACCAACUUUUCAAGCCACCCUCUCACAACAGGAGGUUUUCAAUAUUGUGAGCAGAUGCAUGCCACCAAGAUCUCCAUCCAAAAUUCUGUUGUGUACAAAGUUAGCUGGAGAUGCAGAGGAUGUGUUGCAAGAACAGGGGAAUACUGAUCAACCAUUACGUAGAUCAAGUUCAACAAGUUACCAUGGGGAUGGGUUCAUUGAUGCCCCAUCUUUUGUGAAUGCUACACAACCAGAAACAUUAUUGACACAAGGAAAGGCACCCCCUCCAAUGAGUGCAAUUGGUGUUGAUGAUUGGGACACAACCACACUAGAGGAGACAUGUGUUGCAGUUGACAUGGUUGAUGCAAGUAAGGGGAAAACUUAUCCAUUGGACGGCAGCGUGUCACCAGAGUUGCACACACCUGUUGCUGCAGUUGGCGCGGAUGGUUUAGGAAGUAGCACAUCAGGACCACGCGUUCCACGACGAAUGAGGAGGGUAAUCCAACCUGGUGUUCAACAAAGAUCUCCAUUUAUUGACUACAAUAGGAAGAGAACAUUCAAUUGCAUUGAAACAAUGAACAAGUUGUACGAUGUAAUUUUUUAUUGGGUUAGGCACAUUCCUGGGGCAGACGUUCCAGUUAUCAGGUACACCAAAAUUCACUCGCCAAAAUUAAAUUCUAGUAACUUUGUGAGUAUCUAUUAUGGCAUAGCUCGUAGUUUAUUGUUUUGCACAACAAAGUUCAGUUUGUUGCACAAAUCAAAAAUUCAAGUUGCACAUCAUUUUUUGUAGAACUUGGCGACAAAAAUAUAAACAAAGUAAUUAACUGUUUUCUUCUUGCUUUUUCUAAAAACCCAGCCCUCAGAUCAUUAACUAUGAUGGGUUUUACAUUACCCUAAAGGAGUCAGUGCAUUCCAUGAAGCCCAAACAAUGGUUAUCAAGCAUGGUUAUUGAGAUUGGCAUCUUCACACAAUCAAGAACUUACCACCAGGCUCAAAGAAGGUCAUCAUGCCAUUAAGGGUUGCUGUAAGUCUUUCUUAACUUUUCGGCCAAACCAUGUCUUUUGAAUGUGCAAAAAAAAGUUACCAUUGGUAUGUCAUGAAUCUACAUUGUCUUGAUUUUGAGGAAAAUCUAGAAUUUGUUUUUUAGGCCUAGGCAAAGUUGCAUGUAAUUCAGGGUGUUUCUGUACAUCCAAUGGAUCACUAUUUUGUUAUUCCCCCUUUUUAAAGUAUGUUGCACUUGUUAAUAUAAAAGUUGGUCAUAACUACAUAGUUGGUUGCACAGUUUGAGAGGUAAAUAUGGGGACAACUCUUUUUCUGUAUUUUUUGAACUUAUCUUGCGUGCUUCUGUUUUCUUUUUUGCAGUCAAAGCUACAACAAGGCAUAUACAAUGUCUCUCAUAUUAUUAAGAAAUUUGAGAAGUCAAAUCGCCUUGACAAAGAAGACAUGGUUAGUUUGUUGACAAAUUUAGCAACAUAUGAUUCACAGUUGCACAUAACACAGAAAAUUGUUGGCAAGAACACAAGAGAAUUAAAUAUUUUGUUUGUGUGCAUGAAGGUCAUGCUGCCUGUGCUCGAAUGAGACAAGAAAAACCAUCCUGAUGGUGGCAGGCACUACUGGCUGUUCAAUAUCAACUAGAGGGACCAGCGUUUCGAGGUGCUCAAUUCAAACCGAAGGUUAGAGGAUGUCGAGCUGAUGGAGACUAUCUUUACCAUUGCGGGGGCAGUACGCAAUUUGUGAAGGAAAAUUAUCCAAACGAGAAUAUUGAGGCCUUCCAAAUUAUUGACAUUGACGUACCCAAGCAAGUUGGCAAAUAAGUUAAUAGUAUAUUCUCUCUCUUAUAUUGUUUUUUUUGAGAGUUAUGUUCUCAUCAUUGUCUCGAGAGCAAUGACUUCACGUUGAUCAUUGUCUUGAAUAUCAAGAGAGAGAGAGAGAUUGCCAUCUAGGUACUAGCGAUGGACCCAUAAGUCUGUGGUGAACUACUCACACAUCAUCGUGAGGGCAACAAGGUUGAUGAAGAGUCCCUCUGUGAUUGACCCCCCUAUAGGAUCCGAAGUAUGUCUAGAGGGGGGGGGGGGGAUUAGACUACUUGACCAAUUAAAAACUUAGCCUUUUUCCAAUUUUAGUUGUAGGCCAAUUUUAGCAAUUAUGACUAGCCAAGCACACACUACACAUGCAUAUGUAAGAGUAUAACAGCACAAAGUAAAGACAUGCAAAUGUAAUGUAGAGGGUAAGUAAGGAAGAUCUAACACAAAUGUUGACACGACGAUUUUUGGCGUGGUUCCGAUAGGUGGUGCUAUUGUAUGUACAAUUAGUGGAGACUUCAACCCAUGGAGGGUAACAACUAUGAGAGUCCACGGAGGGCUCCACCCAUAAGGGGUCCACAAAGAAGCGGCCUUGUCUAUUCCACCAUGGCUUACGUCCACAUAGGACUAGCAUCACUCACGGUAGAUCUUCAAGAAGUAGGCGAUCUCCGUGCCCGUAGAAACUUCUUGGUUCAACUCCACAACACGAAGUAGGAGGCUCCUAAGGGACACCUAACCAAUCUAGGAGGCACCACCCUCCAAAAGGUAAUAGAUGUGGUAGAACGAUGAACUCCUUGUUCUUGUUCUUCAAAAGAUAGUCUCCUCAACACUCAAUCACUCUCGCAUAGAUUUGGCAUGAGUAGGAGAGAUUGAUUUGGUGGAAAUCAACUUGGGGAGGCUAGAGAUCAAGUUUCAAAUGGAUGGAUUGGAAUCUCUUGAUCUCAACACACGAGUAGGUGGCUCUCUCUUAGAAAAAUGAAUAUGGUAAGUGUGUGUGUGUGUGUUCUGAGUGCUUCCUCUACGAGUGAGAGGAGGUGGAGGGGUAUAUAUAGGCAUCUCCCAAAAUCCAACCAUUGCAACAUUAUUGUCUAACUCGGUGACACCAAAAUGAAUCUCGGUGAUACCGAGUUGCACUAAAUGUGGCAACUUUUAAAUUCUUGGUGAGACCGAUAUAUAAAUCUCGGUGGUACCAAUUCGAUGACCUAGGGUAGUUUCCAAUUCUCGGUGGUACCGAUUUCAACCUCGGAAAUUCUAGUUCUUGAAAUAGAGAUACUAGAAAGUUGGUCACUGUCUUUCGGUGGCACCGAUAUGAAAGUUGGUGGUACCGAGAUAUUAGGGUUUGGCAAAGGAUCUGUCACUGGGAAAAUUGAUAGGGACAAAAUAGAAUACUUGGUGGCACCGAUUUAUGUGAAGUCUUUGGACAGAGGUAUUUGCGGGAGUAUGACUGGAUAUUUUUGGUGGCUAUCUCUAAGCACUUGAGCAACCAAUUCAUCAUAAAUGCCUCACCCCUUUUAAUAGUAUUGGCUUUCGUAUGGACACAAAAGUGAUUUCUCACAAAUAUAACAUGUAGUGUCCUCUUGCUUGAAGCUUGGCCAAUCCUAUUCCUUUCCUUACAUCAAGGGGCUUCUCCUCACAAUCCUUUAGCCAAUGCAUCUUUGAACUUUUCUAAAAUAUACUUAGAUAGAAUCAUCAGUUCAAAGAUACAUAUGUUGUUAUUAAUUACGAAAACCACCUUAGGGAGCAAUUCUGCUUUCAAUCUCCCCCUUUUUGGUAAUUGAUGACAACAUAUAGAUCAAAGCUUUGACAAAAGAUAUAAUCAAUGGUCAGCAUCCUCGUUUUGAGAAGUAUGUGAAAAGCAAGAGCUACCCCUAAUUUUGUGCAUUAUUUUGAAUUUGCGUUUGAAUGCAAAUGCACAAUCGAUUAGGAUCAUGGGUUACUCUUCCAUGUCACAUACAUCUUGGUGGUGUGCAUAGAUGAUAUGAAUAUAUAGUAAUGCACGUAACACCAGACAAAUAAGUGAAUGAUGAUCAUGUAGAUAGCUCAAAGGUAUAACUUAGUAGCAUCAACAAUCAAAGCGUAUGAUCAAACACGAAAGUUUAAGUCAUCCAAAAGACCAAAAGUUAUGAAAAAACCAAACGAGAGAAAAUAAAAGCAAAGCUCACUCUCUCAAAGCCCUAAUUGAUCUAUACACUUCUCCCCAUUUGGCAACAAGUUGCCAAGAAGCUCAAAGGUCUAGAACUAAGCGUCACUUUGGGCUCGAUCUCCUCUGGUAGCAGUCGAUAGAGUAGGUCGGAGAGCAUCGACAAAGGCUUCUGCGGAUGUCCAUGGAGGUGGAGGCGUAGACAUUGGAGGUGGAGGAGUUGGAGAUGGAGCUGAAGGCGCUGAUGCUUGAGCUGAUGAAGUUGGUCUUGCUUCUGUUACUCGCACAACUGCGGACCUAGACUUGGUCUUGGACUGGGUAGUCAUAGGAAGAGGCGACUGUUCAUCGUCACUGCUGGAAUGGGAUAUAUGCACUGCAUCAACCUCAUGUUGGAGCUGCACAACAGUUGUACCCAAUUUUUUCCCUUUGACAUCCAGGUCAUGCAAUUUGGUCUCCACGAUCGACUCAAGGCUCUUCUGGUUCAGCAAGAUCUCCGAAAUAGUCUUCUCCAUUGAAAGGACCGAUAUAGUUGACUAGAGGGGGGGGGGUGAAUAGGCAACUUACAAAUUUUUAAAUUUUGUUUAACAAAAUUAGAUUUAGCAAGAAAUAGGUUGUCUAGAUAUGAAAUUAAGUGAGCAACCUAUAUGAUGCUAACAACCACAAUAACAAGAAAGAAGUAAAUACAAGUAAAGGUAAGAAAUAACCACAAGUGGAACCGAUGAAGACGAGGAUGUGUUUCCGAAGUUCCUUACCUUUGAAGGGAAGUACGUCUCCGUUGGAGCGGUGUGGAGGCACAAUGCUCCCCAAGAUGCCACUAAGGCCACCGUAUUCCCCUCAUGCCCUCACACAAUGCGAGGUGACGUGAUUCCACUAAGUGGUGCCCUUGAAGGCUGCUACCGAACCUUUACAAACAAGGUUGGGGAAAUCACCACAACUUAAUUGGAGGCUCCCAACAAGACCACGAAGCUUCACCACAAUAGAGUAUGGCUUCGAGGUGACCUCUUCUAUGGUGCUCAAACACCCAAGAAUAACAAGAUCCGCGAGGGAUAAAUGGGGGGAACAACUUUUCUUUGGUGGAAGUGUGGGGAAGGGCCUUCUCCUCCAAACCCUAGAGAAUCAACAAGAGUUGAUGGCUAGGGAGGAAGACCAGGAAAGUUUGAGCUUGUGAAGAAACAAUGGCGCUGGAGAGGGAAAAGGUGAAGUCUCCUCGGGGAAGAGGACCCCUAUUUAUAGUGGGGGGGGGGUCUUGCCGUUACCAGCCCCUUACUGGCCCAACUAAGCGGUAGUACCAUGCACCACAUUGGUACUACCGCUCCCCUGGGCGGUACUUCCACUCAGCUGGGACGAAGGAGGUAGGAAGCGAGAGAGAAAAAAUAAACGGAAGUGGGCGCGAUAGUAGGGGGCGUCAGUACCGCUCGAGCGGUACUACCGCUCCCCGUGAGCGGUACUUGUUGGGGAACGUCUCAUGGGAAACAAAAAUUUUCCUACACGCACGAAGACCUAUCAUGGUGAUGUCCAUCUACGAGAGGGGAUGAGUGAUCUACGUACCCUUGUAGACCGUACAGCAGAAGCGUUAGAGAACGCGGUUGAUGUAGUGGAACGUCCUCACGUCCCUCGAUCCGCCCCGCGAACAAUCCCGCGAUCAGUCCCACGAUCUAGUACCGAACGGACGGCACCUCCGCGUUCAGCACACGUACAGCUCGACGAUGAUCUCGGCCUUCUUGACCCAGCAAGAGAGACGGAGAGGUAGAAGAGUUCUCCGGCAGCGUGACGGUGCUCCGGAGGUUGGUGAUGACCUUGUCUCAGCAGGGCUCCGCCCGAGCUCCGCAGAAACGCGAUCUAGAGGAAAAACUGUGGAGGUAUGUGGUCGGGCUGCCGUGGAAAAGUCGUCUCAGAUCAGCCCUAAAACCUUCGUAUAUAUAGGUGGGAGGGAGGGGACCUUGCCUUGGGGCUCAACGAGCCCCAAGGGGGUCGGCCGAGUCCAAGGGGGAGGACUCUCCCCCCCAAACCGAGUUGGACUAGGUUUGGUGGGAGGGAGUCCCCCUUCCUUCCCACCUCCUCCUUUUUUUUCUUUNUAUGAUUCAUGAUCGACCUUUCGGUCUCAUGUGUUCCGAGGCCAUGUCUGCACAUGCUAGGCUCGUCAAGCUUAACCCGAGUGUUCCGCGUGCGCAACUGUUUUGCACCUGUUGUAUGUGAACGUUGAGUCUAUCACACCCGAUCAUCACGUGGUGUCUCGAAACGACGAACUGUAGCAACGGUGCACAGUCGGGGAGAACACAAUUUCGUCUUGAAAUUUUAGUGAGAGAUCACCUCAUAAUUCUACCGUCGUUCUAAGCAAAAUAAGGUGCAUAAAAGGAUUAACAUCACAUGCAAUUCAUAAGUGACAUGAUAUGGCCAUCAUCACGUGCUUCUUGAUCUCCAUCACCAAAGCACCUGGCACGAUCUUCUUUUCACCGGCGCCACACCAUGAUCUCCAUCAAUGUGUCACCAUCGGGGUUGUCGUGCUACUCAUGCUAUUACUACUAAAGCUACAUCCUAGCAAAAUAGUAAACGCAUCUGCAAGCACAAACGUUAGUUUAAAGACAACCCUAUGGCUCCUGCCGGUUGCCGUACCAUCGACGUGCAAGUCGAUAUUUCUAUUACAACAAGAUCAUCUCAUACAUCCAAUAUAUCACAUCACAUCGUUGGCCAUAUCACAUCACAAGCAUACCCUGCAAAAACAAGUUAGACGUCCUCUAAUUUUGUUGUUGCAUGUUUUACGUGGUGACCAAGGGUAUCUAGUAGGAUCGCAUCUUACUUACGCAAACACCAGAACGGAGAUAUAUGAGUUGCUAUUUAACCUCAUCCAAGGACCUCCUCGGUCAAAUCCGAUUCAACUAAAGUUGGAGAAACCGACACUUGCCAGUCAUCUUUGAGCAAAGGGGGUUACUCGUAACGAUGAAACCAGUCUCUCGUAAGCGUACGAGUAAUGUCGGUCCAAGCCGCUUCAAUCCAACAAUACCGCGGAAUCAAGAAAAGACUAAGGAGGGCAGCAAAGCGCACAUCACCGCCCACAAAAACUUUUGUGUUCUACUCGAGAAGACAUCUACGCAUGAACCUAGCUCAUGAUGCCACUGUUGGGGAACGUCGCAUGGGAAACAAAAAUUUUCCUACGCGCACGAAGACCUAUCAUGGUGACGUCCAUCUACAAGAGGGGAUAUUCGAUCUACGUACCCUUGUAGAUCGCACAACAGAAGCGUUAAGAAACGCGGUUGAUGUAGUGGAACGUCCUCACGUCCCUCGAUCCGCCCCGCGAACCGUCCCGCGAUCCGUCCCACGAUCUAGUGCCGAACGGACGGCACCUCCGCGUUCAGCACACAUACAGCUCGACGAUGAUCUCGGCCUUCUUGAUCCAGCAAGAGAGACAGAGAGGUAGAAGAGUUCUCCGGCAGCGUGACGGCACUCCGGAGGUUGGUGAUGACCUUGUCUCAGCAGGGCUCCGCCCGAGCUCCGCAGAAACGCGAUCUAGAGGAAAAACUGUGGAGGUAUGUGGUCGGGCUGCCGUGGAAAAGUCGUCUCAAAUCAGCCCUAAAACCUCCGUAUAUAUAGGUGGGAGGGAGGGGACCUUGCCUUGGGGCUCAAGGAGCCCCAAGGGGGUCGGCCGAGUCCAAGGGGGAGGACUCUCCCCCGCAAACCGAGUUGGACUAGGUUUGGUGGGAGGGAGUCCCCCUUCCUUCCCACCUCCUCCUUUUUUUUCUUUCUUUCUCUCUUGAUUUUCUUCUCCUUGGCGCAUAGAGCCUUUUGGGCUGUCCCACCAGCCCACUAAGGGCUGGUGUGCCACCCUCAAGGCCUAUGGGCUUCCCCGGGGUGGGUUGCCCCCCCGGUGAACUCCCGGAACCCAUUCGUCAUUCCCGGUACAUUUCCGGUAACUCCAAAAACCUUCCGGUAAUCAAAUGAGGUCAUCCUAUAUAUCAAUCUUCGUUUCCAGACCAUUUCGGAAACCCUCGUGACGUCCGUGAUCUCAUCCGGGACUCCGAACAACAUUCGGUAACCAACCAUAUAACUCUAAUACGCAUAAAACAACGUCGAACCUUAAGUGUGCAGACCCUGCGGGUUCGAGAACUAUGUAGACAUGACCCGAGAGACUCCUCGGUCAAUAUCCAAUAGCGGGACCUGGAUGCCCAUAUUGGAUCCUACAUAUUCUACGAAGAUCUUAUCGUUUGAACCUCAGUGCCAAGGAUUCAUAUAAUCCCGUAUGUCAUUCCCUUUGUCCUUCGGUAUGUUACUUUCCCGAGAUUCGAUCGUCAGUAUCCGUAUACCUAUUUCAAUCUCGUUUAUUGGCAAGUCUCUUUACUCGUUCCGUAAUACAAGAUCCUGCAACUUACACUAAGUUACAUUGCUUGCAAGGCUUGUGUGUGAUGUUGUAUUACCGAGUGGGCCCCGAGAUACCUCUCCGUUCACACGGAGUGACAAAUCCCAGUCUUGAUCCAUACUAACUCAACUAACACCUUCGGAGAUACCUGUAGAGCAUCUUUAUAGUCACCCAGUUACGUUGCGACGUUUGAUACACACAAAGCAUUCCUUCGGUGUCAGUAAGUUAUAUGAUCUCAUGGUCAUAGGAAUAAAUACUUGACACGCAGAAAACAGUAGCAACAAAAUGACACGAUCAACAUGCUACGUCUAUUAGUUUGGGUCUAGUCCAUCACGUGAUUCUCCUAAUGACGUGAUCCAGUUAUCAAUCAACAACACCUUGUUCAUAAUCAGAAGACACCAACUAUCUUUGAUCAACUGGCUAGCCAACUAGAGGCUUGCUAGGGACGGUGUUUUGUCUAUGUAUCCACACAUGUAAAUGAGUCUUCAUUCAAUACAAUUAUAGCAUGGAUAAUAAACGAUUAUCUUGAUACAUGAAUUAUAAUAAUAACUAUAUUUAUUAUUGCCUCUAGGGCAUAAUUCCAACAGUACUUCCGCUCAGAAAAAUAAAAGGCCCCCCGAUACGAGAGAAUAAAAACAAGUGGAAGUGGGGCCGACACUGGUGGUCGCCAGUGCCGCUGGAGCGGUACUACCGCUCACCAGGGUGGUACUACCUCUCACCAGGGCGGUACUACUGCUCACCAGGGCGGUACUACCACUUGUGUAACUUCCUGGGCACUUAAAAUAGGGCAGCUCCUUUGCUCCAGAAAAGGGAUGGGGAGAAGAAUGAGAGUUAGUAUUCCACCUAACUUUUCCAAAUGCGGAUCCCAUCUUGAUAGUACGGGAUUAUCUUUGAAUCGGAUCCGCCAAUCCUAAAUCAAUAGCUAAGCACCGUUUUCACUUUUACUUACCGAGGGGAAGAAAACUGUCUCGUGCCACCUGAUAAUUCUCUCAAAGCAUAUCAUACAUGAUUAGUCUACAAAGGGUAGCUUCAUCAACCACCAAAAUUACCUUGGAGAAAUUGUGCUCUUACAAUCUCCCCCUUUUUGGUGGGUCGAUGACAAUACGAGAUUUGCCAAAAAAAUGAACUAAGAAUUCUUAGGCAAUCCCAAAACCUACAAAAUAUAGACGGCUCCCCUAGAUGUGUGCUCUAUUUAAAUAUGCUUUUGGAAUGCAAAGAGCACACACUAGGAUCAAUACUCCUCCUAUAUUUUAUAGACAAGGCUAUAUACUUACGAGAACAGAAUAUAGUAAAAAUUAAUAAGCAAGCAUAUCACAAAGGUAAAGACAUAACCGGAUAGAUGGGAUAACAUAUGUCUUACACCAUACAUAAGUUCACACACAUGUCUUGGACAAACACAAACCAAAGCAAGCAAUAAAUGAGUUCACGAGAUGGAGAAAGCAAGUGCAAAUAAACACACUUGUGACUCAGCAAGGCAAAUCCAUCUUAAAACUAAAUACUUUCUCCCCCUUCGGCAUCGAGACAGCAAAAAGAGGAGACGAGAGAAGCUGAGUAGUCCUCGUCGUCAUCUCCCUCAGACUCAUCUGAAGCAGCAGACUCCUCCUGAGUAGACACCUCCUCCUCAGCAGCCACCUCCUCCUCAGACUCCGUCCACUGGCAGUUGGCCUUUAACCAGUCCUCAUCAUCAGUGAUAUUGUCCUCUUAACCGCUCUAUACAUCAAGGCCAAUCUUUCACAUGAUCAUCUUGUCACGGUUGCGUGCCUUCUUGGCAUCGACGUGCGCCUUGUACCGACCCUUCAUCUGGAAGCAUAAAAAGCCUUCAUGUUCUUCCUAAGCUUGGAGGCCCAAGAAGUUCCAGUCUCGGAUCUGGGAACAAACUCAUAGUCGGGCUUAGGCUCGUCAUGUGAGUCAGUAAAAACAAUCUAUGUAACAGCAGGUGCAACGCCCCAAUUCUCCUUCACACGGAGCUUGAGCACACCAUGAGAGACCAUGUGACCAGUCACAAACAACUUAGUAGGAAAGGUAGCAUUCCAGGUGUCCUCAAUCAGCUUGAACAGAUAAAGAGCAUAUAUGGGCACCUUCUUCUUGUCAAACACAACAGACCUCAACUCCAUCCAUAUAUUGUGGGAAACAUCCAAGGUGGACUCGUGGUGAUGCUCCUUCUCGCAGAAAAGAAGGAGGUUGACAAGAUAGGAGUGCACGUGAUCCUUGUUCCCAACACGAGGAAACAUAGAGUUGCAAAAGAUCAUGUGCAUGAUGUCCAGAAAAGGCAAAAGCUCGGUACGGUCACCCUUGGCAAUCUUCACAAUCCUCGAGUAACGAUUGCGAUUGGACUUAUGAAUAGCAGGAAUACCGUCAGUGUGAGGCCUCAGGCCACCAGGCUCAUCCGGACCCUUGUAAGCAAUGCCCAGAGAGGUCAUAAAUGUCGCCCAAUCAGAGUGCAACACACGGACGCAAGUCAUCCAGGUUAAGCGCCUUUCCUCACCAUAAUGGAAGUGAAUAAUGUCAUAAAAUUGAGCCACAAUCUCGCUGUCAAAGUCCUUGUUGAAGCCGAUGAUAGGACCAAGAUCCCACUUCUCGAAGAGAGCAUAAGCGUCAACAAAAUAAGAAAUGUGGGGAUUAGAGAUCAUAUGUCCCAUAUCAAUGCUCUUGACGUCCACAAAGUGGUUGGUCCUUGUCUUGAUGAUCUUGGAAUAGAUAAGAGAAUGAGUCUUGUUCCAAAACGGAUGCCCUGCAAGAGCAUCAUCCUGAGGCACAUAAUAGGGAUUGUGCUUGCGCAGCACAACAAACUCUUCUUGAGGCAACUCUUGGGGCUCUUUGGGGUCAUUCUUCUUACUAACUUUCCUCCUCACAGGCUUCUUUUGUGGCUGAGCACUCAAACUAGGAGCUGCCUCCUCACAUGAACGUGGGCUCUUGGAGGCCCGCUUGGGGUUCAUGCGACGAUUCAUAGGACGAGACCCAACACCUCAAACUCACAAGAAGAAUGGCAAGAAAACAUGUGUAAACAAACUUCAAGAGUCAAAUAGGAAACCAAAAUAGAGAUGGGUAGAUGCAGGAAAGAAAAAGGGUGCACGUGCCAGGGCGGUAUUACCGUUGUGCACGAGCGGUACUGUGACAUCCCGAGACGGACGCUCUAGAAGAUUCCCAUUUUAUUUUCAUCGUCGUCGUGCGACUCGAUUGUUUGUCGCAUUCAUCAUCGCAUCAUUCACGUCAUUUGCAUUGCAUCGGCACUCUGUUGCCGCCAGUUUUCAAAAAACUUGCAUCCAUUAUUAGUUGCCGGUUCUCUACGUGUUCGUUGUUGACUGUUUUGAGACCAACCACACUCGCACGCGCCCGCGACAUUGAUUAAUAUUUGUAUCUAAAAGUGUGUAUAAAGUAUUCUCGGAUUGGGUUGAAACUUGGCGUGCGGUCUUAAUGUGGUGUAGGUAGGCCACCUGCCAAAUUUUGUCGCGAUCGGAGUUUGUUUAAUACCCAUACCAUUUAUUAUAUAGCGACACUAUAGCUAGUUUAAUGGUCGGACGUUCGGCAUUUUAAAAAUCUCGUGUCACGGGCCGCUAACAUUCCCUCUAUUUCCCACAUAGCCUCUCUAACACGGCACAACUACCCCACAUAAGCUAACCCAAACCCACUUCUCCGAUCGGACCGUUUGAUCGCGAUCGAAGGGUCGAACCCCCCCAAACCCCCUAACCCUAAUACUUGACUAUUUAAGCACCUUCCCCUGCCUAUUUUGGGCAAACCCUUGCCCCCCCUCGAUCUGCGUGCACCCAACCAGUCUCGCCUCCUCCCACCUUGCAAUGGCCCUACGGAACCCAUCUGCGGCCCGCCCGAGCCCAUCUGGAGCCUGGACGAGCCCACGCGUGCCACUGCCCGUGGAACACAUCGUGUCACCAUCCCAGAUCCCUCCUCCUCUCGCAGCACCGAGCCGCUCCUCUACCGCCGCCGCCUUCUAGGCCCCACAUAGGCUGCACCUCGCUAGCCGCUGCCUCGCCUUACAGUGCGCCGCCGCUCCAGCCAAGCUGAAGUGCCGUGCUGCGCGACCUGUGCAUCGCCCGGAGCUUUGCCAGGCCGCAACCGUCGCUGGGCCAGCAACCCUGUCGACCNCUUCCCCGGGGUCGGUUGCCCCCCCGGUGAACUCCCGGAACCCAUUCGUCAUUCCCCGUACAUUCCCGAUAACUCCGAAAACCUUCCGGUAAUCAAAUGAGGUCAUCCUAUAUAUCAAUCUUCGUUUCCGGACCAUUCCGGAAACCCUCGUGACGUCCGUGAUCUCAUCCGGGACUCCGAACAACAUUUGGAAACCAACCAUAUAACUCUAAUACGCAUAAAACAACGUCGAACCUUAAGUGUGCAGACCCUGCGGGUUCGAGAACUAUGUAGACAUGACCCGAGAGACUCCUCGGUCAAUAUCCAAUAGCGGGACCUGGAUGCCCAUAUUGGAUCCUACAUAUUCUACGAAGAUCUUAUCGUUUGAACCUCAGUGCCAAGGAUUCAUAUAAUCCCGUAUGUCAUUCCCUUUGUCCUUCGGUAUGUUACUUGCCCGAGAUUCGAUCGUCAGUAUCCGUAUACCUAUUUCAAUCUCGUUUACUGGCAAGUCUCUUUACUCGUUCCGUAAUACAAGAUCCCGCAACUUACACUAAGUUACAUUGCUUGCAAGGCUUGUGUGUGAUGUUGUAUUACCGAGUGGGCCCCGAGAUACCUCUCCGUUCACACGGAGUGACAAAUCCCAGUCUUGAUCCAUACUAACUCAACUAACACCUUCGGAGAUACCUGUAGAGCAUCUUUAUAGUCACCCAGUUACAUUGCGACGUUUGAUACACACAAAGCAUUCCUCCGGUGUCAGUGAGUUAUAUGAUCUCAUGGUCAUAGGAAUAAAUACUUGACACGCAGAAAACAGUAGCAACAAAAUGACACAAUCAACAUGCUACGUCUAUUAGUUUGGGUCUAGUGCAUGACGUGAUUCUCCUAAUGACAUGAUCCAGUUAUCAAUCAACAACACCUUGUUCAUAAUCAGAAGACACGAACUAUCUUUGAUCAACUGGCUAGGCAACUAGAGGCUUGCUAGGGACGGUGUUUUGUCUAUGUAUCCACACAUGUAAAUGAGUCUUCAUUCAAUACAAUUAUAGCAUGGAUAAUAAACGAUUAUCUUGAUACAGGAAUUAUAAUAAUAACUAUAUUUAUUAUUGCCUCUAGGGCAUAAUUCCAACAGUCUCCCACUUGCACUAGAGUCAAUAAUCUAGCCCUCACAUCACUAUGUGAAUUACAUUGUAAUAAAUCUAACACCCAUACAGUUCUGGUGUUGAUCAUGCUUUGGCCGUGGAAGAGGUUUAGUCAGCGGGUCCGCUACAUUCAGAUCCGUGUGCACUUUGCAUAUAUUCACGUCCUCUCCCUCGACGUAGUCGCGGAUGAGGUUGAAGCGUCGUUUGAUGUGUCUGGUCUUCUUGUGAAACCGUGGUUCCUUUGCUAAGGCAAUGGCACCAGUGUUGUCACAUAACAAGGUUAUUGGAUUCAGUGCGCUUGGCACCACUCCAAGAUCCGUCAUGAACUGCUUCAUCCAGACACCCUCCUUAGCCGCCUCCGAGGCAGCCAUGUACUCCGCUUCACAUGUAGAAUCUGCUACGACGCUUUGCUUGGAACUGCACCAGCUUACGGCACCCCCAUUAAAAAUAAAUACGUAUCCGGUUUGCGACUUAGAGUCGUCCGGAUCUGUGUCAAAACUUGCAUCGACGUAACCUUUUACGGCGAGCUCUUCGUCAUCUCCAUAUACGAGAAACAUCUCCUUAGUCCUUUUCAGGUACUUCAGGAUAUUCUUGACCGCUGUCCAGUGAUCCACUCCUGGAUUACUCUGGAACCUACCUACCAUACUUAUGGCCAGGCUAACAUCCGGUCUAGUGCACAGCAUCGCAUACAUGAUAGAACCUAUGGCUGAAGCAUAGGGGACGGAGCGCAUAUGCUCUCUGUCUUCAUCAGUUGCUGGGCACUGAGUCUUACUCAAUCUCGUACCUUGUAGAACUGGCAAGAACCCUUUCUUGGACUGUUCCAUUUUGAACCUCUUCAAAACUUUAUCAAGGUAUGUGCUUUGUGAAAGUCCUAUCAGGCGUUUUGAUCUAUCCCUAUAGAUCUUAAUGCCUAGAAUGUAAGCAGCUUUCUCCUAGGUCCUUCAUAGAGAAACUUUUAUUCAAGUAACCUUUUAUGCUCUCCAAAAACUCUACGUUGUUUCCAAUCAGUAAUAUGUCAUCCACAUAUAAUAUUAGAAACGCCACAGAGCUCCCACUCACUUUCUUGUAAAUACAAGAUUCUCCAACCACUUGUAUAAACCCAAAUGCUUUGAUCACCUCAUCAAAGCGUUUGUUCCAACUCCGAGACGCUUGCACCAGUCCAUAAAUGGAUCGCUGGAGCUUGCACACCUUGUUAGCAUUCUUAGGAUCGACAAAACCUUCGGGCUGUAUCAUAUACAACUCUUCCUUAAGGAAACCGUUAAGGAACGCCGUUUUGACAUCCAUCUGCCAGAUUUCAUAAUCGAAAAAUGCAGCUAUUGCUAACAUGAUUCUGACGGACUUAAACAUCGCUACGGGUGAGAAAGUCUCAUCGUAGUCAACUCCUGGAACUUGUGAAAAACCCUUUGCCACAAGUCGAGCUUUAUAAACGGUCACAUUGCCGUCAGUGUCCGUUUUCUUCUUAAAUAUCCAUUUGUUCUGAAUAGCCUUGCGUCCCUCAGGUAGUAUCUCCAAAGUCCACACUUUGUUCUCAUACAUGGAUCCUAUCUCGGAUUUCAUGGCUUCUAGCCAUUUGUUGGAAUCUGGCCCCACCAUUGCUUCUUCAUAAUUUGCAGGUUCAUUGUUGUCUAACAACAUGAUUGACAAGACGGGAUUACCGUACCACUCUGGAGCAGCACGUGAUCUCGUCGACCUGCGUGGUUCAACAGAAACUUGAACUGGAGUUUCAUGAUCAUCAUCAUUAACUUCCUCCUCAACUGGCGUCGCAACGACAGAGGUUUCCCCCUGCCCUGCGCCACCAUCCAGUGGGAUGAGAGGUUCGACAACCUCGUCAAGUUCUAUCUUCCUCCCACUCAAUUCUCUCGAGAGAAACUCCUUCUCGAGAAAAGCUCCGUUUUUAGCAACAAACACUUUGCCCUUGGAUUUGAGAUAGAAGGUGUACCCAACUGUCUCUUUUUGGUAACCUAUGAAGACGCACUUUUCCGCUUUGGGUUCCAGCUUUUCAGGCUGAAGCUUUUUGACAUAAGCAUCACAUCCCCAAACUUUAAGAAACGACAAUUUUGGCCUUUUGCCAUACCACAGUUCGUAUGGUGUCGUCUCAACGGAUUUUGAUGGUGCCCUAUUUAAAGUGAAUGCAGCUGUUUCUAAUGCUUAGCCCCAAAGUGAUAACGGCAAAUCAGUAAGAGACAUCAUAGAUCGCACCAUCUCUAAUAGAGUACGAUUACGACGUUCGGACACACCAUUACGCUGUGGUGUUCCAGGCGGUGUUAACUGUGAAACAAUUCCACAUUGUCUUAAGUGAGCACCAAACUCGAAACUCAGAUAUUCACCCCCACGAUCAGACCGCAGGAACUUGAUCUUCUUGUUACGAUGAUUUUCCACUUCACUCUAAAAUUGCUUGAACUUUUCAAAUGUUUCAGACUUGUGCUUCAUCAAGUAGACAUAGCCAUACCUACUCAAAUCGUCAGUGAAGGUGAGAAAAUAACGAUAUCCGCCGCGUGCCUCCACGCUCAUCGGACCACACACAUCGGUAUGUAUGAUUUCCAACAAGUCACUUGCACGCUCCAUUGUUCCUGAGAACGGAGUCUUAGUCAUCUUGCCCAUGAGGCAUGGUUCGCACGUGUCAAGUGAAUCAAAGUCAAGUGACUCCAAAAGUCCAUCGGCAUGGAGUUUCUUCAUGCGCUUUACACCAAUAUGACCUAAGCGGAAGUGCCACAAAAAUAUGGCGCUAUCAUUGUUAACUCUAACUCUUUUGGUCUCAAUGUUAUGUAUAUGCGUAUCGCUAUCAAGAUUCAAUAUGAACAAUCCUCUCACAUUCGGUGCAUGACCAUAAAAGAUGUUACUCAUAGAAAUAGAACAACCAUUAUUCUCUGACUUAAAAGAGUAACCGUCUCGCAAUAAACAAGAUCCAGAUAUAAUGUUCAUGCUCAACGCAGGCACUAAAUAACAAUGAUUUAAGUUCAUCACUAAUCCCGAUGGUACCUGAAGUGACACUGUGCCGACGGUGAUUGCAUCAACCUUGGAACCAUUUCCUACGCGCAUCGUCACUUCAUCUUUCGCCAGCCUUCGCCUAUUCCGCAGUUCCUGUUUCGAGUUGCAAAUAUGAGCAACAGAACCGGUAUCGAAUACCCAGGCACUAGUACGAGAGCCGGUUAAGUACACAUCAAUAACAUGUAUAUCAAAUAUACCUGAUUUUUCUUUGCCCGCCUUAUUAUCUGCCAGAUACUUGGGGCAAUCGCGCUUCCAGUGACCCAUAACCUUGCAAUAGUAACACUCCGUUUCCGGCUUAGGUCCAGCUUUGGGUUUCUUCGUCGGAUUGGCAACAGGCUUGCCGCUCUUCUUCGAGUUGCCCUUCUUGCCUUUGCCGUUUCUCUUGAAACUAGUGGUCUUAUUCACCAUCAACACUUGAUGCUCUUUACGGAGUUCAGAAUCUGCGAUUUUCAGCAUCGCAAACAACUCGCCGGGAGACUUGUUCAUCCCUUGCCUGUUGUAGUUCAACACAAAGCCUUUAUAGCUUGGCGGCAGUGAUUGAAGGAUUCUGUCAGUGAUAGCUUCUUGCGGGAGUUCAAUCCCCAGCUCAGCUAGACGGUUUGAGUACCCAGACAUUUUGAGCACAUGUUCACUGACAGAUGAGUUUUCCUCCAUCUUGCAAGCAUAGAAUUUAUCGGAGGUCUCAUACCUCUCGAUCCGGGCGUUCUUCUAAAAGAUAAACUCCAACUCCUGGAACAUCUCAAAUGCUCCAUGACGCUCAAAGCGACGUUGAAGUCCCGGUUCUAAGCCAUACAAGACUGCACAUUGAACUAUUGAGUAGUCCUCCUUACGUGCUAACCAAGCGUUCUUAACAUCCUGAUCAGCCGUAGCGGGUGGUUCAUCUCCUAACGCAGCAUUAAGGACAUAAUCCUUCUUCCCAGCUUGUAAGAUUAGCUUAAGAUUAUGAGCCCAGUCUACAAAGUUGCUUCCAUCAUCUUUCAACUUAGCUUUCUCUAGGAACGUAUUAAAAUUCAGGAUGACUGUCGCGUGAGCCAUGAUCUACAACACAAAUAUAUUCAAAGUGGACCUAGACUAUGUUCAAGAUAAUUAGAGUUUAACUUAAUCAAAUUAUACGCUAAACUCCCACUCAAAAAGUACAUCUCUCUAGUCAUUUGAGUGGUUCAUGAUCCACUUACACUAGCUCAAGUCCGAUCAUCACGUGAGUUGAGUAUAGUUUCAGUGGUAAGCAUCCCUAUGCUAAUCAUAUCAUCUAUAUGAUUCAUGAUCGACCUUUCGGUCUCAUGUGUUCCGAGGCCAUGUCUGCACAUGCUAGGCUCGUCAAGCUUAACCCGAGUGUUCCGCGUGCGCAACUGUUUUGCACCUGUUGUAUGUGAACGUUGAGUCUAUCACACCCGAUCAUCACGUGGUGUCUCGAAACGACGAACUGUAGCAACGGUGCACAGUCGGGGAGAACACAAUUUCGUCUUGAAAUUUUAGUGAGAGAUCACCUCAUAAUUCUACCGUCGUUCUAAGCAAAAUAAGGUGCAUAAAAGGAUUAACAUCACAUGCAAUUCAUAAGUGACAUGAUAUGGCCAUCAUCACGUGCUUCUUGAUCUCCAUCACCAAAGCACCUGGCACGAUCUUCUUUUCACCGGCGCCACACCAUGAUCUCCAUCAAUGUGUCACCAUCGGGGUUGUCGUGCUACUCAUGCUAUUACUACUAAAGCUACAUCCUAGCAAAAUAGUAAACGCAUNCACCCUGGUCUGGAUCGAGCGGAUCCAGAUCUAGUGACCUGCCACUCACGUUGACCUGGGCCACAACCCCCGGGCCCAGCCGGCCCUCUUUGCCCCACCUGGUCAGGCCGGCCUCGCUCCACUAGGCCACCAACCGCAGCUUCGGCCAAGUCCAGCCGGCGUGCUAGCCACCCCGAGGCCCGAUCCAGCCCAGCUCCAACCGACCUAAGUGGCGAGAGGUGAGAACUCCCUAAGGCCCUCUAUUUCGUGCCCUAGGCACUUGGUUGUUAUCCAGCGCCCAUGCUGUGAUUUCAUCCCACUAUAGUUUCGGCCCGUUGUAUUUUUUUAGCACCGACAAUUUUAUUUAAUUUCAGAAAAGAGCAUAAUUUUCAAACGCCCGUAUGUUUUUAUCCGUGCAUCGGAUCGCGAUGAGUUAUAUAUGUAAAGUGAUUAGAAAUUUGCUUAGAUUAAGAUUUUCCAACCCUCAUGCAUAUUUAGAGCUGUUUAGCAUGAUGUUUGCAUCGAUUUGCAUAUCGACGUAAUAGAAACGGUUUAGAUCGUAGUUAUUUAACCGUAGCUCCGUUGGAGAUGAGCCAUAUAUGUAAACGGACUAGAACGACGAGUAGAAUAACGUGAACCACUUUGUUUUGCCGUUUAACAAAGAUAAAAGGUGAUUAGGACAAAUCUAUACAGAUUUAGAAUUUAACACAUGGGUUCCUUUCGGAGAUGCUAUAUGUCGUUUCUGGCCUCAUUUAAAAUGCCUAGAUAGGUAGAUUAUUUGUGCUUCACCCCUUGCCAUGUUAACAACAUUUUAAUGUUGCCGUGUUAAUAAACAGGAGUGAACCAAAUAAUUAAAUGCGGAGUUUCGUUAAUAUGCUACUCGUUGCAUAUUGAGCUUCACUUAAUGUGUAGCGUUUGGUUGUCGUCAAUUGUCAUGCCAUGCUUUGCAUAUUUAAAACCGAUCAUGCAUGAUAUUAGGGUGUGCAUCAUAUCGUGCAUGUGUGUGGUGAAUAUCGUGUGUUGAUGCUUGUUUCCGGUUUUCUUCGUCUCGAUAGAGUACCGCAAGCGUGUUGUAAUGUGAGGUCCUGUUCGACUACGUCGGUUCGUCUGCUUCACGUAGUCAUUAUUCUUCCAAGAUGGAUCACAGGCAAGAUGAUCAUUUCCCCAGAUAUCAUCACUUUCAUUGCCAUGCUAGUUGUUUCGUUUGUUCCGUUAUGUCUCGCUGCCUAUCACCUGUUAAAUAUCAGCCUCCCAACAUCGCCCUCAAAACCUUCAACCUUUCUACAACCUAGCAAAGCACUGAUUGGCUAUGUUACCACUUGCUUAACCAUUUGAUAGCGUUGCUAGUUGCAGGUGAAGUUGCUUCCAUGUGUUAACAUAGGUUCCUUGUUAUAUCACCAUAUUAUUGCUAAUUAAUUUAAUGCACCUAUAUACUUGGUAAAAGGUGGAAGGCUCGGCCUAUCUAGCCUGGUGUUUUGUUCCACCUUUGCCGCCUUAGUUCCGGCUACCGGUGUUAUGUUCCAUAAAUGAGCGCUCCUAACAUGCUUGGGGUUGUUAUGGGGACCCACUAGAUUCUCGUUUUGGGAUAAAACUCGUCUGGCAAGGCCCAACAUUGGUACUAUAUUUGGUCAACAUAAUAAUUCUGCUAAUUCUGAAAAACAUCGGGAGUUAGCGCUACUUAUACGUCCCAAACGUAUCUAUAAUUUCUGCUUGUUCCAUGAUCUUUUGGGUGACAUUGUUAUAUGUUUUGCUACACUUUUAUGUCAUUUUACACAUAUUUGGACUAACCUACUAACUCAGUGCACCCAGUGCCAGUUUCUGUCUGCUGAUGUCUAAUUUGCAGGGGCUUUUACCCAAUUCUCCGAAGCCCGAAAAAUUCCAGAAAAAAUAUAUAAAAAAUCAGCGAAACAGAAGCUUCCGGAUCACCGAAGAUGGACCAGAGGGGGGCCAGGGGCCUGCCAGGCGACUUGCUGGCGCGGUCAGGCCCUAGGCCGCGCCAAGAGGCCGCCUGGGUGGGUCCCACCUCCUUAGGUGCCCUCCUUUGGCCUAUAUUUAGAGUCCCGAGAGGAAACCCUUGCAGAGUUUCUGGAAUCGCGAAUUUCUCCAUCAUUCCGCCGCCGUAGUGCUUUUGAGAUCGGGAGCGUCAGGAGACCCCUUCUCGGCACCCUGCCGGAGGGAGGAUUGACCUCCGGGAGCUUCUCCACCACCAUGGACGCUUCCUAGACGUGCCGUGAGUAGUCCUCCUUGGACCAUGAGUCCAUGACGAGUAGCUAUGUGAUGUCUUCUCUCCAAUCUUGUGCUUCAAUGGUUAGUCCUUGUGAUCUGCCCUACAUGAUCAAGGCAUCUAUGUAAUUCCCUUGCUAUUGCCAUGCUCGGUUUGUUGGGAUCCGAUGGAUUAUGAGAUUAUGUUCAGAUUGUUAUGAGUUAUAUAUUUGAUUAUCCUUUUAUAUUAUGUUCCUUAGUGAUUCAUGCAUGUUCUCCGUUGCUAUUUAUUGCUUUGGCCGAGUAGUAGAUUGUAACUCCAAGAGGGAGCGUUAUGCAUGAUUGUGGGUUCAUGCCCCUCGAUGUCUAGCUUGAGUGACAGAAACAUGAGACUAGGGGAUGUGCUUGUUGCCACGAGGGAGAAAACAACGGUGCUUGUGACCAUGGUUGCAAGGAUUGUUUACCUUAUGCAUAGUUCGUUAAUGUAGUGGUCCGUUGCUUUGAGUUUACACUUUGGGUGGGGCUUGCAACUUAAUACCGGAGAGAUGUUCUGGAUAGAUAUCUCAAGGUAGAUGAUUAGUAAGUAGAUGCUGAUGAAUAAAUGGUCUACUUGUCUUGGCGUACUUCCCAUUACUAUUGAACCAUUAACUAUCAAGUAGCAUAAUUAGCAUUGCGGUGCAAUCAUAAUUCUGUCAAUUGCCCAACUGUGAUUUGUUUACCCAAGCAUAGUUGUUUAUCCUCUUUCGGGAGAGUGACAUCACUAUUGAACAUCAUGUGACUCCGGUCCAUAUCAUCAUCAUUGUUUACACCUCCAUCAUUUACCGCUUUCAUUUACUUUUCCAUUGCAGUCACUUACUUUCUCGCUUGUGUUUUGAUCCUUUGCAAACUACAAGGCCGAAGAGAUUGACGACUUCUCUGUAGUCGUUGGGAGCAAAGUUAUUUGUUUUGUGUGCAUGUCCACAUCUUCUGCUAGCGCCAGGAUGGAAGACACCUACUCGUUGAGCCUAGGAGUCCUCUUGGUUCGAUAAACCUUACAGUCUCCAUGAAAGGGAAAUCUGCUGCUGACUACAUCUCCACCUUCCACUUGGGGUAACCAAUGAGGGGCGAGAAGUAUAUUCAUCAACUCGUGAUCAAGCAAAUUUCUGGCGCCGUUGCCGGGGACUCUAGUCUUCAAGAUAGGGGAGUUGCACACUAUCUUUUACCUUUGCUUUUGGUCUUGUUAGUUUGCCAUGAGCUAGUUAGGCUUAUGAAAAACUGCACUCUUAGUUCGCUGCUUGGAGAAGGCCACUUUACCACACCCGUGGUAGAGAAGUCUCCUCCACCUACUGAAUGUAUCCCAUUCAAAGUACCACUUGGGAUAAUUGAAAUAAUUAGGAAUGAUUGUUAUGUAGGAGAUGGAACAGUCAAUCCUAGUAUUCAUUUAUUGAAACUUAUAGAACUUUGUGAGUUGUUUAAAAUUUCAGGUUUGAGAAGAGAUGGAGUCAUGGGGAAAUUAUUUGCAUUGCCAUUGAAAAGAAAAGCAUUGGAAUGGUAUAGGCUACUAGAUGAUUCUCACCUACGGGAUUGGGAAGAGAUUCAGUCUCUCUUUUAGUCCAAGUUUUAUCCUCUUCAUGAAGUCCAUGUGGAUCAUGGUAACAAUGCUUUAUGUGAUACUUAUAUUGUUGAGUUUAUUCAUGAUCCCACUAAAAAUUAUUAUGAGAAGGGAACAUAUGCUUAUAGAUAUUUCAAUAAUAUCAAGUUCCCUCUCUUUAUGUCUAAGGUUUUGAAGCUGCACUUGUUUUUCCUUCCUAUGCUUAUUGCUUUGUGCUUCAAUGAAUUAUUCUAUUGCAAUAUUCCUAUGCAUAGGAAGCAUGUUAGAAUUAAAUGUGUUUGGUAUUUGCUUCUCGAUACUCUCUUUUGUUCUACAACUCUUAUUCCUACGAGAGCAUCAUUAAAAUCUUAAGCCUAUCUUUAUGGAUAUAAAGAAAGAGCUUGUUGGGGAACGUCGCAUGGGAAACAAAAAUUUUCCUACCCGCACGAAGACCUAUCACGGUGAUGUCCAUCUACGAGAGGGGAUAUUCGAUCUACGUACCCUUGUAGAUCGCACAGCAGAAGCGUUAAGAAACGCGGUUGAUGUAGUGGAACGUCCUCACGUCCCUCGAUCCACCCCGCGAACCGUCCCACGAUCUAGUGCCGAACGGACGGCACCUCCGCGUUCAGCACACGUACAGCUCGACGAUGAUCUCGGCCUUCUUGAUCCAGCAAGAGAGACGGAGAGGUAGAUGAGUUCUCCGGCAGCGUGACGGUGCUCCGGAGGUUGGUGGUGAACUAAUCUCAGCAGGGCUCCGCCCGAGCUCCGCAGAAACGCGAUCUAGAGGUAAAACCGUGGAGAUAUGUGGUCGGGCUGCCGUGGCAAAGUUGUCUCAAAUCAGGCCUAAAACCUCCGUAUAUAUAGGUGGGAAAGGGGGGGCCUUGCCUUGGGGCUCAAGGAGCCCCAAGGGGGUCGGCCGAGCCAAGGGGAGGAGUCCUCCCCUUCCAAACCGAAUCCAACUAGGUUUGGAAGGAGGAGUCCUUGCCCUUUUUCCCACCUCCUCUUUUUUUUUAUUUUUCUCUUUGAUUUUCUUCCUAUGGCGCAUAGGGCCUUCUUGGGCUGUCCCACCAGCCCACUAAGGGCUGGUGCGCCACCACCAAGGCCUAUGGGAUUCCCCGGGGUGGGUUGCCCCCCCCGGUGAACACCCGGAACCCAUUCGUCAUUCCCGAUGACUCCAAAAACCUUCCGGUAAUCAAAUGAGGUCAUCCUAUAUAUCAAUCUUCGUUUCCGGACCAUUCCAGAAACCCUCAUGACGUCCGUGAUCUCAUCCGGGACUCCGAACAACAUUCCGUAACCAACCAUAUAACUCAAAUACGCAUAAAACAACGUCGAACCUUAAGUGUGCAGACCCAGCGGGUUCGAGAACUAUGCAGACAUGACCCGAGUGACUCCUCGGUCAAUAUCCAAUAGCGGGACCUAGAUGUCCAUAUUAGAUCCCACAUAUUCUACGAAGAUCUUAUCGUUUGAACCUCAGUGCCAAGGAUUCAUAUAAUCCCGUAUAUCAUUCCCUUUGUCCUUCGGUAAGUUACUUGCCCGAGAUUCGAUCGUCAGUAUCCGCAUACCUAUUUCAAUCUCGUUUACCGGCAAGUCUCUUUAUUCGUUCCGUAAUACAAGAUCCCGCAACUUACACUAAGUCACAUUGCUUGCAAGGCUUGUGUGUGAUGUUGUAUUACCGAGUGUGCCCCAAGAUACCUCUCCGUCACACGGAGUGACAAAUCCCAGUCUCGAUCCAUACUAACUCAACGAACACCUUCGGAGAUACCUGUAGAGCAUCUUUAUAGUCACCCAGUUACGUUGAGACGUUUGAUACACACAAAGCAUUCCUCCGGUGUUAGUGAGUUAUAUGAGCUCAUGGUCAUAGGAACAAAUACUUGACACGCAGAAAACAGUAGCAACAAAAUGACACGAUCAACAUGCUACGUCUAUUAGUUUGGGUCUAGUCCAUCACGUGAUUCUCCUAAUGACGUGAUCCAGUUAUCAAGAAACAACACCUUGUUCAUAAUCAGAAGACCCUGACUAUCUUUGAUCAACUCGCUAGCCAACUAGAGGCUUGCUAGGGAUAGUGUUUUGUCUAUGUAUCCACACAUGUAUAUAAGUCUUCAUUCAAUACAAUUAUAGCAUGGAUAAUAAACGAUUAUCUUGGUACAGGAAUUAUAAUAAUAACUAUAUUUAUUAUUGCAUCUAGGGCAUAAUUCCAACAGUCUCCCACUUGCACUAGAAUCAAUAAUCUAGCCCUCACAUCAUCAUGCGAAUUACAUUGUAAUAAAUCUAACACCCAUACAGUUCUGGUGUUGAUCAUGCUUUGCCCGUGGAAGAGGUUUAGUCAGCGGGUCUGCUACAUUCAGAUCCGUGUGCCCUUUGCAUAUAUUUACAUCCUCCCCUUCGACGUAGUCGCGGAUGAGGUUGAAGCGUCAUUUGAUGUGUCUGGUCUUCUUGUGAAAUCGUGGUUCCUUUGCUAAGGCAAUGGCACCCGUGUUGUCACAGAACAAGGUUAUUGGAUUCAGUGCGCUUGGCACCACUCCAAGAUCCGUCAUGAACUGCUUCAUCCAGACACCCUCCUUAGCCGCCUCCGAGGCAGCCAUGUACUCCGCUUCACAUGUAGAAUCUGCUACGACGCUUUGCUUGGAACUGCACCAGCUUACCGCACCCCCAUUAAAAAUAAAUACGUAUCCGGUCUGCGACUUAGAGUCGUCCGCAUCUGUGUCAAAACUUGCAUCGACGCAACCCUUUACGGCGAGCUCUUCGUCACCUCCAUACACGAGAAACAUCUCCUUAGUCCUUUUCAGGUACUUCAGGAUAUUCUUGACCGCCGUCCAGUGAUCCACUCCUGGAUUACUCUGGAACCUGCCUGCCAUACUUAUGGCCAGGCUAACGCCCGGUCUAGUGCACAACAUUGCAUACAUGAUAGAGCCUAUGGCUGAAGCAUAGGGGACGAUGCUCAUAUGCUCUCUAUCCUCAUCAAUUUCUGGGCACUGAGUCUUACUCAAUCUCGUACCUUGUAAAACUGGCAAGAACCCUUUCUUGGACUGUUCCAUUUUGAACCUCUUCAAAACUUUAUCAAGGUAUGUGCUUUGUGAAAGUCCUAUCAGGCGUUUUGAUCUAUCCCUGUAGAUCUUAAUGCCUAGAAUGUAAGCAGCUUCUCCUAGGUCCUUCAUAGAGAAAAUUUUAUUCAAGUAAUCCUUUAUGCUCUCCAAAAACUCUACGUUGUUUCCAAGCAGCAAUAUGUCAUCCACAUAUAAUAUAAAAACGCCACAGAGCUCCCACUCACUUUCUUGUAAAUACAAGAUUCUCCAACCACUUGUAUAAACCCAAAUGCUUUGAUCACCUCAUCAAAGCGUUUGUUCCAACUCCGAGAUGCUUGCACCAGUCCAUAAAUGGAUUGCUGGAGCUUGCACACCUUGUUAGCAUUCUUAGGAUCGACAAAACCUUCGGGUUGCAUCAUAUACAACUCUUCCUUAAGGAAACCUGUUAAGGAACGCCGUUUUGACAUCCAUCUGCCAGAUUUCAUAAUUGAAAAAUGCAGCUAUUGCUAACAUGAUUCUGACGGACUUAAGCAUCGCUACGGGUGAGAAUGUUUCAUCGUAGUCAACUCCUUGAACUUGUGAAAAACCCUUUGCCACAAGUCGAGCUUUAUAAACGGUCACAUUGCUGUCAGCGUCCGUCUUCUUCUUAAAGAUCCAUUUGUUCUGAAUAGCCUUGCGGCCCUCAGGUAGUACUUCCAAAGUCCAGACUUUGUUCUCAUACAUGGAUCCUAUCUCGGACUUCAUGGCCUCUAGCCAUUUGUUGGAAUCUGGGCCCACCAUUGCUUCGUCAUAAUUUGCACGUUCAUUGUUGUCUAACAACAUGAUUGACAAAGCGGGAUUACUGUACCACUCUGGAGCAGCACGUGGUCUCGUCGACCUGCGUGGUUCGACAGGAACUUGAACCGGAGUUUCAUGAUCAUCAUCAUUAACUUCCUCCUCAACCGGCAUCGCAAUGACAGAGAUUUCCCCUUGCCCUGCGCCACCAUCUAGAGGGAUGAGAGGUUCGACAACCUCAUCAAGUUCUAUCUUCCUCCCACUCAAUUCUCUCUAGAGAAACUCCUUCUCGAGAAAAGCUCCAUUUUUAGCAACAAACACUUUGCCCUCGGAUUUGAGAUAGAAGGUGUACCCAACUGUCUCUUUUGGGUAACCUAUGAAGAUGCACUUUUCCGCUUUGGGUUCCAGCUUUUCAAGCUGAAGCUUUUUGACAUAAGCAUCACAUCCCCAAACUUUAAGAAAUGACAACUUUGGCCUUUUGCCAUACCACAGUUCGUAUGGUUUCGUCUCAACGGAUUUUGAUGGUGCCCUAUUUAAAGUGAAUGCAUGUGUGUCUAAUGCAUAACCCCAAAACGAUAACGGCAAAUCGGUAAGAGACAUCAUAGAUCGCACCAUCUCUAAUAAAGUACGAUUACGACGUUCGGACACACCAUUACGCUGUGGUGUUCCAGGCGGUGUCAACUGUGAAACAAUUCCACAUUGUCUUAAGUGAGCACCAAACUCGAAACUCAGAUAUUCACCCCCACGAUCAGACCGUAGGAACUUGAUCUUCUUGUUCCGAUGAUUUUCAACUUCACUCUGAAAUUGCUUGAACUUUUCAAAUGUUUCAGACUUGUGCUUCAUUAAGUAGACAUAACCAUAUCUACUCAAAUCGUCAGUGAAGGUGAGAAAAUAACGAUAUCCGCCGUGUGCCUCUACGCUCAUCGGACCGCACACAUCGGUAUGUAUGAUUUCCAAAGUCACUGACACGCUCCAUUGUUCCGGAGAACGGAGUUUUAGUCAUCUUGCCCAUGAGGCAUGGUUCGCACGUGUCAAGUGAAUCAAAGUCAAGUGACUCCAAAAGUCCAUCGGCAUGGAGUUUCUUCAUGCGCUUUACACCAAUAUGACCUAAGCGGCAGUGCCACAAAAAUAUGGCGCUAUCAUUGUUAACUCUAACUCUUUUGGUCUCAAUGUUAUGUAUAUGUGUAUCACUAUCAAGAUUCAAUAUGAACAAUCCUCUCACAUUGGGUGCAUGACCAUAAAAGAUGUUACUCACAGAAAUAGAACAACCAUUAUUCUCUGACUUAAAAGAGUAACCGUCUCGCAAUAAACAAGAUCCAGAUAUAAUGUUCAUGCUCAACGCAGGCACUAAAUAACAUUUAUUCAAGUUCAUAACUAAUCCUGAUGGUGACUGAAGUGAAACUGUGCCGACGGCGAUUGCAUCAACCUUGGAACCAUUUCUUAUGCGCAUCAUCACUUCAUCUUUCGCCAGAGUUCGUCUAUUCCGCAGUUCCUGUUUUCAGUUGCAAAUAUGAGCAACAGAACCGGUAUCGAAUACCCAGGCACUACUACGAGAGCCGGUUAAGUACACAUCAAUAACAUGUAUAUCAAAUAUACCUGAUUUUUCUUUGGCCGCCUUCUUAUCAGCCAGAUACUUGGGGCAGUUGCGCUUCCAGUGACCCAUACCCUUGCAAUAGUAGCACUCUGUUUCAGGCUUAGGUCCAGCUUUGGGUUUCUUCGUCGGAUUGGCAACAGGCUUGCCGCUCUUCUUUGAAUUACCCUUCUUGCCUUUGCCGUUUCUCUUGAAACUAGUGGUCUUAUUCACCAUCAACACUUGAUGCUCUUUACGGAGUUCAGACUCUGUGACUUUCAGCAUCGCAAACAACUCGCCGGGUGACUUGUUCAUCCCUUGCAUGUUGUAGUUCAACACAAAGCCCUUAUAGCUUGGCGGCAGUGAUUGAAGGAUUCUGUCAGUGAUAGCUUCUUGCGGGAGUUCAAUCCCCAGCUCAGCUAGACGGUUUGAGUACCCAGACAUUUUGAGCACAUGUUCACUGACAGACGAAUUCUCCUCCAUCUUGCAAGCAUCGAAUUUAUCGGAGGUCUCAUACCUCUCGAUACGGGCGUUCUUCUGAAAGAUAAACUUCAACUCCUGGAACAUCUCAUAUGCUCCAUGACGCUCAAAGCGACGUUGAAGUCCCGGUUCUAAGCCAUACAAGACUGCACAUUGAACUACUCAGUAGUCCUCCUUACGUGUUAACCAAGCGUUCUUAACAUCCUGGUCAGCCGUAGCGGGUGGUUCAUCUCCUAGCGCAGCAUUAAGGACAUAAUCCUUCUUCCCAGCUUGUAAGAUUAGCUUAAGAUUACGAGCCCAGUUUACAAAGUUGCUUCCAUCAUCUUUCAACUUAGCUUUCUCUAGGAACGUAUUAAAAUUCAGGGUGACUGUCGCGUGAGCCAUGAUCUACGACACAAAUAUAUUCAAAGUGGACUUAGACUAUGUUCAAGAUAAUUAGAGUUUAACUUAAUCAAAUUACUUGCUAAACUCCCACUCAAAAAGUACAUCUCUCUAGUCAUUUGAGUGGUUCAUGACCCACUUACACUAGUUCAAGUCCGAUCAUCACGUGAGUUGAGUAUAGUUUCAGUGGUAAGCAUCCCUAUGCUAAUCAUAUCAUCUAUAUGAUUCAUGAUCGACCUUUCGGUCUCAUGUGUUCCGAGGCCAUGUCUGCACAUGCUAGGCUCGUCAAGCUUAACCCGAGUGUUCCGCGUGCGCAACUGUUUUGCACCUGUUGUAUGUGAACGUUGAGUCUAUCACACCCGAUCAUCACGUGGUGUCUCGAAACGACGAACUGUAGCAACGGUGCACAGUCGGGGAGAACACAAUUUCGUCUUGAAAUUUUAGUGAGAGAUCACCUCAUAAUUCUACCGUCGUUCUAAGCAAAAUAAGGUGCAUAAAAGGAUUAACAUCACAUGCAAUUCAUAAGUGACAUGAUAUGGCCAUCAUCACGUGCUUCUUGAUCUCCAUCACCAAAGCACCUGGCACGAUCUUCUUUUCACCGGCGCCACACCAUGAUCUCCAUCAAUGUGUCACCAUCGGGGUUGUCGUGCUACUCAUGCUAUUACUACUAAAGCUACAUCCUAGCAAAAUAGUAAACGCAUNNNNNNNNNNNNNNNNNNNNNNNNNNNNNNNNNNNNNNNNNNNNNNNNNNNNNNNNNNNNNNNNNNNNNNNNNNNNNNNNNNNNNNNNNNNNNNNNNNNNNNNNNNNNNNNNNNNNNNNNNNNNNNNNNNNNNNNNNNNNNNNNNNNNNNNNNNNNNNNNNNNNNNNNNNNNNNNNNNNNNNNNNNNNNNNNNNNNNNNNNNNNNNNNNNNNNNNNNNNNNNNNNNNNNNNNNNNNNNNNNNNNNNNNNNNNNNNNNNNNNNNNNNNNNNNNNNNNNNNNNNNNNNNNNNNNNNNNNNNNNNNNNNNNNNNNNNNNNNNNNNNNNNNNNNNNNNNNNNNNNNNNNNNNNNNNNNNNNNNNNNNNNNNNNNNNNNNNNNNNNNNNNNNNNNNNNNNNNNNNNNNNNNNNNNNNNNNNNNNNNNNNNNNNNNNNNNNNNNNNNNNNNNNNNNNNNNNNNNNNNNNNNNNNNNNNNNNNNNNNNNNNNNNNNNNNNNNNNNNNNNNNNNNNNNNNNNNNNNNNNNNNNNNNNNNNNNNNNNNNNNNNNNNNNNNNNNNNNNNNNNNNNNNNNNNNNNNNNNNNNNNNNNNNNNNNNNNNNNNNNNNNNNNNNNNNNNNNNNNNNNNNNNNNNNNNNNNNNNNNNNNNNNNNNNNNNNNNNNNNNNNNNNNNNNNNNNNNNNNNNNNNNNNNNNNNNNNNNNNNNNNNNNNNNNNNNNNNNNNNNNNNNNNNNNNNNNNNNNNNNNNNNNNNNNNNNNNNNNNNNNNNNNNNNNNNNNNNNNNNNNNNNNNNNNNNNNNNNNNNNNNNNNNNNNNNNNNNNNNNNNNNNNNNNNNNNNNNNNNNNNNNNNNNNNNNNNNNNNNNNNNNNNNNNNNNNNNNNNNNNNNNNNNNNNNNNNNNNNNNNNNNNNNNNNNNNNNNNNNNNNNNNNNNNNNNNNNNNNNNNNNNNNNNNNNNNNNNNNNNNNNNNNNNNNNNNNNNNNNNNNNNNNNNNNNNNNNNNNNNNNNNNNNNNNNNNNNNNNNNNNNNNNNNNNNNNNNNNNNNNNNNNNNNNNNNNNNNNNNNNNNNNNNNNNNNNNNNNNNNNNNNNNNNNNNNNNNNNNNNNNNNNNNNNNNNNNNNNNNNNNNNNNNNNNNNNNNNNNNNNNNNNNNNNNNNNNNNNNNNNNNNNNNNNNNNNNNNNNNNNNNNNNNNNNNNNNNNNNNNNNNNNNNNNNNNNNNNNNNNNNNNNNNNNNNNNNNNNNNNNNNNNNNNNNNNNNNNNNNNNNNNGUUGAGUAUAGUUUCAGUGGUAAGCAUCCCUAUGCUAAUCAUAUCAUCUAUAUGAUUCAUGAUCGACCUUUCGGUCUCAUGUGUUCCGAGGCCAUGUCUGCACAUGCUAGGCUCGUCAAGCUUAACCCGAGUGUUCCGCGUGCGCAACUGUUUUGCACCUGUUGUAUGUGAACGUUGAGUCUAUCACACCCGAUCAUCACGUGGUGUCUCGAAACGACGAACUGUAGCAACGGUGCACAGUCGGGGAGAACACAAUUUCGUCUUGAAAUUUUAGUGAGAGAUCACCUCAUAAUUCUACCGUCGUUCUAAGCAAAAUAAGGUGCAUAAAAGGAUUAACAUCACAUGCAAUUCAUAAGUGACAUGAUAUGGCCAUCAUCACGUGCUUCUUGAUCUCCAUCACCAAAGCACCUGGCACGAUCUUCUUUUCACCGGCGCCACACCAUGAUCUCCAUCAAUGUGUCACCAUCGGGGUUGUCGUGCUACUCAUGCUAUUACUACUAAAGCUACAUCCUAGCAAAAUAGUAAACGCAUGUGCAAGCACAAACGUUAGUUUAAAGACAACCCUAUGGCUCCUGCCGGUUGUCGUACCAUCGACGUGCAAGUCGAUAUUAUCUAUUACAACAUGAUCAUCUCAUACAUACAAUAUAGCACAUCACAUCGUUGGCCAUAUCACAUCACAAGCAUACCCUCCAAAAACAAGUUAGACGUCCUCUAAUUUUGUUGUUGCAUGUUUUACGUGGUGACCAUGGGUAUCUAGUAGGAUCACAUCUUACUUACGCAAACACCACAACGGAGAUAUGUGAAUUGCUAUUUAACCUUAUACAAGGAUCUCCUCGGUCAAAUCCGAUUCAACUAAGUUGGAGAAACUGACACUUGCCAGUCAUCUUUGAGCAAGGGGGUUACUCGUAGCGAUGAAACCAGUCUCUCGUAAGCGUACGAGUAAUGUCGGUCCAAGCCGCUUCAAUCCAACAAUACCGCGGAAUCAAGAAAAGACUAAGGAGGGCAGCAAAACACACAUCACCGCCCACAAAAACUUUUGUGUUAUACUCGAGAAGACAUCUACGCAUGAACCUAGCUCAUGAUGCCACUGUUGGGGAACGUCGCAUGGGAAACAAAAAUUUUCCUACGCGCACGAAGACCUAUCAUGGUGACGUCCAUCUACAAGAGGGGAUAUUCGAUCUACGUACCCUUGUAGAUCGCACAACAGAAGCGUUACGAAACGCGGUUGAUGUAGUGGAACGUCCUCACGUCCCUCGAUCCGCCCCGCGAACCGUCCCGCGAUCCGUCCCACGAUCUAGUGCCGAACGGACGGCACCUCCGCGUUUAGCACANNNNNNNNNNNNNNNNNNNNNNNNNNNNNNNNNNNNNNNNNNNNNNNNNNNNNNNNNNNNNNNNNNNNNNNNNNNNNNNNNNNNNNNNNNNNNNNNNNNNNNNNNNNNNNNNNNNNNNNNNNNNNNNNNNNNNNNNNNNNNNNNNNNNNNNNNNNNNNNNNNNNNNNNNNNNNNNNNNNNNNNNNNNNNNNNNNNNNNNNNNNNNNNNNNNNNNNNNNNNNNNNNNNNNNNNNNNNNNNNNNNNNNNNNNNNNNNNNNNNNNNNNNNNNNNNNNNNNNNNNNNNNNNNNNNNNNNNNNNNNNNNNNNNNNNNNNNNNNNNNNNNNNNNNNNNNNNNNNNNNNNNNNNNNNNNNNNNNNNNNNNNNNNNNNNNNNNNNNNNNNNNNNNNNNNNNNNNNNNNNNNNNNNNNNNNNNNNNNNNNNNNNNNNNNNNNNNNNNNNNNNNNNNNNNNNNNNNNNNNNNNNNNNNNNNNNNNNNNNNNNNNNNNNNNNNNNNNNNNNNNNNNNNNNNNNNNNNNNNNNNNNNNNNNNNNNNNNNNNNNNNNNNNNNNNNNNNNNNNNNNNNNNNNNNNNNNNNNNNNNNNNNNNNNNNNNNNNNNNNNNNNNNNNNNNNNNNNNNNNNNNNNNNNNNNNNNNNNNNNNNNNNNNNNNNNNNUUCGAUCUACGUACCCUUGUAGAUCGCACAACAGAAGCGUUACGAAACGCGGUUGAUGUAGUGGAACGUCCUCACGUCCCUCGAUCCGCCCCGCGAACCGUCCCGCGAUCCGUCCCACGAUCUAGUGCCGAACGGACGGCACCUCCGCGUUUAGCACAUGUACAACUCGACGAUGAUCUCGACCUUCUUGAUCCAGCAAGAGAGACAGAGAGGUAGAUGAGUUCUCCGGCAGUGUGACGGCACUCCGGAGGUUGGUGGUGAUCUAAUCUCAGCAGGGCUCCGCCCGAGCUCCGCAGAAACGCGAUCUAGAGGUAAAACCGUGGAGAUAUGUGGUCGGGCUGCCGUGGCAAAGUUGUCUCAAAUCAGCCCUAAAACCUCCGUAUAUAUAGGUGGGAGAGGGGGGCCUUGCCUUGGGGCUCAAGGAGCCCCAAGGGGGUCGGCCGAGCCCCAAGGGGGUCGGCCGAGCCAAGGGGGGGAGUCCUCCCCUUCCAAACCGAAUCCAACUAGGUUUGGAAGGAGGAGUCCUUCCCCUUUUUCCCACCUCCUCUUUUUUUCUUUUUCUCUUUGAUUUUCUUCCUAUGGCGCAUAGGGCCUUCUUGGGCUGUCCCACCAGCCCACUAAGGGCUGGUGCGCCACCCCCAAGGCCUAUGGGCUUCCCCGGGGUGGGUUGCCCCCCCCGGUGAACACCCGGAACCCAUUCGUCAUUCCCGGUAACUCCAAAAACCUUCCGGUAAUCAAAUGAGGUCAUCCUAUAUAUCAAUCUUCAUUUCCGGACCAUUCCGGAAACCCUCGUGACGUCCGUGAUCUCAUCCGGGACUCCGAACAACAUUCAGUAACCAACCAUAUAACUCAAAUAUGCAUAAAACAACGUCGAACCUUAAGUGUGCAGACCCUGCGGGUUCGAGAACUAUGCAGACAUGACCCGAGUGACUCCUCGGUCAAUAUCCAAUAGCGGGACCUGGAUGUCCAUAUUGGAUGCCACAUAUUCUACGAAGAUCUUAUCGUUUGAACCUCAGUGCCAAGGAUUCAUAUAAUCCCGUAUAUCAUUCCCUUUGUCCUUCGGUAUGUUACUUGCCCGAGAUUCGAUCGUCAGUAUCCGCAUACCUAUUUCAAUCUCGUUUACCGGCAAGUCUCUUUACUCGUUCUGUAAUACAAGAUCCCGCAACUUACACUAAGUCACAUUGCUUGCAAGGCUUGUGUGUGAUGUUGUAUUACCGAGUGGGCCCCAAGAUACGUGUAGAGCAUCUUUAUAGUCACCCAGUUACGUUGCGACGUUUGAUACACACAAAGUAUUCCUCCGGUGUCAGUGAGUUAUAUGAGCUCAUGGUCAUAGGAACAAAUACUUGACACGCAGAAAACAGUAGCAACAAAAUGACACGAUCAACAUGCUACGUCUAUUAGUUUGGGUCUAGUCCAUCAUGUGAUUCUCCUAAUGAUGUGAUCCAGUUAUCAAGCAACAACACCUUGUUCAUAAUCAGAAGACCCUGACUAUCUUUGAUCAACUGGCUAGCCAACUAGAGGCUUGCUAGGGACAGUGUUUUUUCUAUGUAUCCACACAUGUACAUAAGUCUUCAUUCAAUACAAUUAUAGCAUGGAUAAUAGAUGAUUAUCUUGAUACAGGAAUUAUAAUAAUAACUAUAUUUAUUAUUGCCUCUAGGGCAUAAUUCCAACAGAGCUCUAGGGAGACAACCCUUGUUAUAUUUACUUUGAGUUUUUACUUUCAGUUUUAGUGGUCUUGAUGCUUGUUAAUACUGUAGCAACAUCAUUGUAUCUUUAUUUCCAAGCUUUGUGCCAAGUAAUAGCCUCCGAUUGCAAGAAAGUUCAAAAGUUGUGACAUGCUGUCCAGAAACAGAUCGUCUCUUCGUGACGGAAAAAAUCGCCAAAAAUCACCAGAUCAUCUUUUUGAUAUGAUUUUUUACAGAAUUAUAUAUAUAAUUUCAUUUCUGGCAUUUGUUCUAAGUUUUUUGAUUUGAGUUGCGGAAGUGCCCCGAAUAAAUUAUUUACUACCUGCUGCUCUGUUUUUCAAAGAUUCUGCCAUGUUUUGCAUUUCUAUUGUUUUGCCAAUCCUAAGCUUACUUUUUAUUUGCGAAAACCUUUUGGCAAUCAUGAGAAGCAGUAGCUUUUCAUGAAAAGCUUUAUUUCCAGGAGGUAAUGAAUUAUUUUAUUAUGGGUACUAACCACUCUAAUCAGCUUCUGAUGAGUUUCGUAUGAACGGAGUUUUCAUGUUUGCGAUGGGAGAAGAUGAAAGAAGAUACAUGAGUGUCAAGCGCUCAAGCUUGGGGAUGCCCCCAUGAACCCCAAGAAAUAUUCAAGGAGACUCAAGCAUCUACGCUUGGGGAUGCCCCCAUGCAUCCCCUUUUCUAUCAACAAUCAUCAGUUCGUCCAUCUCCAUGCUAUAUUUUUAUCACUUCAUAUGAUAUGUGCUAUGCUUGGAGCGUCUCACUCUUUACUUUUUAGUUUGUUUUAGUUUUUCUUUCUGUUCAUAACAAGUCGGAACCUAGCCUACCUUGUUUUGGAGAGAGACACGCUCCAAUCCACUCUAGAACACAACAUAGGUUUUCAUGCUUAUCUUUGAUGUGUGUUCUUCAUCUUUUUGUUGCUACUGUCAUGCUUAGCUCUUAGUUUUCAUGCUUAUCUUUUUAAGAGCUAUUACUUAGGUUGCUUCUGGAACUCUCUUGAGCUAUCAUGCUUAUCUUGUUUACAGAGUUCGCUCGUUGCACCGAGUUGUGUGUCUUGCAUGAGUAGGUAAUUGAUGUUGCUAUUUAAGUAUAGUAGUAACUUGCAAUAGUUUUGAGGUACUAAAUUGAGUAAUGUUUGGACUAUUGGUGCCAAGAGCUUGAGCCUAUUAGUGAUAGGUGUCGUAUUUUGGGAAAUAUGUGUGUUUUUCAAAAACUUAAAAUUAGUUGAGAACUCUAGCUACUAAAUUGAUCGCUAACCUCUGGAGGGGUUGGAAUAUAUAGAGUACCCUUACGUUACCAUGAGUCGAGGAUGCGCAAGGAUAACCAAACCCCCAAACACUCCUCCUUGGGGUACUUGUCUCUUUGUGAAUUUACUAACUAGAUAGAGAGUUAUCGAUAAUAAGUGUAUGAGUUAUUCAGACUAAUGUGAGUAUUCGAUUGUUGGCACUUCCACCAUCCAUAUUUUGCUAGCCUCUUCGGUACCGUGCAUUGCCCUUUCUCACAUUGAGAGUUGGUGCAAACUCUGCCGGUGCAUCCAAACCCAUGACAUGAUACACUCUGUCAUACAUAAGCCUCAUUAUAUCUUUCCUCAAAACAACCACCAUACCUACCUACUAAGGCAUUUCCAUAGCCUUUCGAGAUACAUUUCCAUGCAACAUCCACCAUCUCAUACUUGAUCUUCAUGUCGUACAUGCUUUUGCUUGAUCGUAGAGCCGCAUGCUAGUUGGGCCUUGCCCAAAUUAUUGCUACAUGAGGCGCUAGUAUCAUUACAUAUCCUGCUACACUGGGAGAGGCAUACAUUUGCAUACAUCAUGAUAGUUUUCACUUGUCUUUAUGUUGAUUACUUCUUAUAAAGUGUGAUGAUUUUUCUUUUUUAUUUAUGUAAAACAUAGGGUGUUUCCCUUAAGUGAGGAAAAGAUCUCAAAGUGGACAAAACAAAAGAUCCCAAAGAGGACAAAUGAGAGAUAAAAAGAAAGAGCCAAAGAGGCCACAAAAAAAGAGAAAAAGAAAAAAAAGAAAUAAAAAGAGAGAAGGGGGCAACACUACUAUUCCUUUUGAAAGAUCCACACUCGUCCUCCAUUUCUAUAUUGGUACUACAUAGAGAUUAUCAUUCAUGCAUAACUAUGUGGGGACCCUUACACUAUAGAACUUGGUUUGCAUAUUCCAAUGAUGAGCCUCCUCAAAUGAUCUCUAGGUCUUCAUGAGCAAACAAGUUGGAUGCACCCCACUAGUUCCAUUGGAGAGCUUGCCUUAGCUCAUACGUGCAUCCGUUACAUGGCAAUCCCUACUCCUCACAUCAUAUCUAUCAUUUGGCUUUCUCUCGCCUAUGGUUGUCCUUAUUGAUGUGAGCCUUUCACACCUUUUUGUCUUCCUUCCCCAUCAUUAUUCUAUUUGCAUCCUAAGUGCCAACAUAUCUUGCUUACGCUCAUCCAUUGCAUGAGUGCUCAAAGUCGAAAGGGAGAGGAUCAUUUUCACUUGUGCCUGACUAGCGGUCCGGGGAUGAGUCAAAAUAAGAUUCCAAAGGAGACCAAGUGUAAAAUUUUCGUAGAUUGAGUUCUCAAUUAAAAAUAUAUUUUAUAAUCUCAACCCAUCUCCCACUUCUUGCACGCAAACACCAUUUGGAGACAUUCGAGUCACGGACAGCGAGAGCUCUUGCACCUUUAUGUUUUUACUUUGCUAAACUCAAUACUAGAUAUAAACUCUUGCUUGUUAUUGUCUUGACUUGAAUUGCAUAUAUUACUUGCUUUACUUUGAAGUUCUUAUAUGUGUGUAGCUUGUCACUACACAAAUUAUUGUAUUAUCAUUUAUCUACUCGAGGACGAGCAGAAAUUAGGCUUGGGGAUGUUGAUACGUCCCGAACGUACCUAUAAUUUCUGCUUGUUCCAUCAUCUUUUGGGUGUUAUUUGUUAUACGUUUUGCUACACUUUUAUAUCAUUUUACACAUAUUUGGACUAACCUACUAACUAAGUGCACCGAGUGCCAGUUUCUGUGUGCUGAUGUCUAUUUUGCAGGGGCUUUUACCCAAUUUUCCGAAGCCCGGAAAAUUCCAGAAAAAAUAUAUAAAAAAUCAGCGAAACAGAAGCUUCCGGAUCACCGAAGAUGGGCCAGAGGGGGGCCAGGGGCCUCCCAGGCAACCUGCUAGCGUGGACAGGCCCUAGGCCGCGCCAGGAGGCCGCCUGGGUGGGUCCCACCUCUUCCUGUGCCCUCCUUUGGCCUAUAUUUAGAGUCCCGAGAGGAAACCCUUGCAGACUUUCUGGAAUCGGGAAUUUCUCCAUCGUUCCGCCGCCGCAGCACUUCCGAGAUCGGGAACGUCAGGAGACCCCUUCCCGGCACCCUGCCGGAGAGAGGAUUGACCUCCGGGAGCUUCUCCACCACCAUGGAUGCUUCCCGGACGUGCCAUGAGUAGUCCUCCUUGGACCAUGAGUCCAUGACCAGUAGCUAUGUGAUGUCUUCUCCCCAAUCUUGUGUUUCAAUUGUUAGUCCUUGUGAGCUGCCCUACAUGAUCAAGGCAUCUAUGUAAUUCUCUUGCUAUUGCUAUGCUCGGUUUGUUGGGAUCCGAUGGAUUAUGAGAUUAUGUUCAGAUUGUUAUGAGUUAUAUAUUUGAUUAUCCUUUCAUAUUAUGUUCCUUAGUGAUUCAUGCAUGUUCUCCGUUGCUAUUUAUUGCUUUGGCCGAGUAGUAGAUUGUAACUCCAAGAGGGACCGUUAUGCAUGAUUGUGGGGUCAUGCUCCUCGAUGUCUAGCUUGAGUGACAGAAACAUGAGACUAGGGGAUGUGCUUGUUGCCACCAGGGAGAAAACAACGGUGCUUGUGACCACGGUUGCAAGGAUUGUUUACCUUACGCAUAGUUCGUUAAUGCAGUUGUCUGUUGCUUUGAGUUUACACUUUGGGUGGGGCUCGCAACUUAAUACCGGAGAGAUUUUUUGGAUAGAUAUCUCAAGGUGGAUGAUUAGUAAGUAGAUGCUGAUGAAUAAACGGUCUACUUGUCUUGGCGUACUACCCAUUACUAUUGAACCUCUAACUAUCAAGUAGAAUAAUUAGCAUUGCGGUGUGAUCAUAAUUCUGUCAAUUACCCAACUGCGAUUUGUUUACCCAAGCAUAGUUGUUUAUCGUCUUUUGGGAGAGAGACAUCACUAGUGAACAUCAUGUGACUCUGGUCCAUAUCACCAUCAUUGUUUACACCUCCAUCAUUUAUCGCUUUUAUUUAUUUUUUCGUUGCAAUCACUAUUACUUUUCCACUUGUGUUUUGAUCCUUUGCAAACUACAAGGUCGGAGAGAUUGACAACCUCUCUCUACUCGUUGGGAGCAAAGCUAUUUGUUGUGUGUGCAAGUCCACGUAUUCUGCUAGCGCCACGGUGGAAGACACCUACUUGUUAAUCCUAGGAGUCCUCUUGGUUCGAUAAACCUUACAGUCUCCGUGUAAGGGAAAUCUGCUGCUGGCUACAUCUCCAUCUUCCACUUGGGGUAACCAACGAGGGGCGAGAAGUAUAUCCAUCAACUCGUCAUCAGCUACCCGAGGAGUUAUUCAACAUAAUACAGGGGGGCCAGUGCUGAUGGUGUUGGUCCCAAACAGAGCAGCUUAUUAACGCUACCCGGGGAAACUCGGCGUUUGGCAUGGUAACCAUCGCUCAUUCAUCGUGUCCCAAGAACGAGAUACGCGACUCCUAUCGGGAUGUCGGCACAUUGGGCGGCCUUGCUGGACAUGUUUUACACUUCUUGAGCGACUCUUGCGAGGGAUUGCAAGGAUGCUUUGGGUUAUCUCGAGGUUGAGAUUUUCCAAUAGGAACCUAAGGAGAUCACGGGUUUCCCUGAUCGAGGUUAUCCCGUCGUAGCGUGUGGUAGUUUGUGAUGGACGAGUUUGAGCACCCCUGUAGGGUUAAAUCUAUCAGAAAGUCAUGCCCGCGGUUAUGUGGCAACAUGGAAACUUUGUUUAACAUCCGGUUAUAGACAACUUGAAGUUAACUUAACUAAAACUUGCCAACUGAGUGGGUGACCGUGAUUGUCUCUUUUACGGGCUCCGUUUUUGAUCGAGGACUUGGUGGGGUUAUGUCUGAUGUAAGUAGGUGUUCAGGAUCAUUCAUUUGAUCAUUAGUAGUUUACAUCCGCUAUGCAUAGAUCACCCCCCUCUUAUUUCUUGUACUCGUAAGUUAGCCACCAAAUAAAAGCUUAGUCGCUUGUUGCAGCCUCUCCACUUAACCUUACCUCACCCAUUAAGCUUUGCUAGUCUUGAUACCUUUGGAAAUGAGAUUGCUGAGUCCAUGUGGCUCACAGAUUACUACAACACCAGUUGCAGGUGCAGGUAAAGAGUUACUUGACGCAAGCGCAUUGAUUGUUCAGUUAGAGUUUGUCUUCUUCUUCAUCGAUCUAGGAUGGGUUCCAGGCCGGCAGCCUUGGAUAGCAAGGAUGGACGUCGUUCUUUUAUCAUUUGUUUUCAUCCAUAGGCAAACCCUGCUCUUCUUCAAGAUGAUUGUAUGUAAUGUACUAUUGUAACUCUGAUGUAGCUUGUGGCGAGUGUAAGCCAACUCCUUAUACUCAUCUUUUCAUUACAUGUACUUUUAACGAUAUCCAUUCUUACGAAACGAGGAGAUGCGUUUCUAUCCCUAUCGAGUCCCUCACGCCAUAAUAAGGAUAGGACCGCAUCUUGGGCGUUACUAGUUGGUAUCAAAGCGGUACCGACCUAGGAGCCCCCUUGAUUGAUCGUACUUGGCCGAGUCGAGUCUAGUGAAAAAACUGCUUUGUGUCUAGUUAUAUAUCGGAGAGUAGGAUUCUUUUUUCUCCUCUUCUAUGAUCCGGUGAGGAAUCUUGACGUAAUAAUUUUAAUUCCACUCCUCUUCUCACUCAAAUUUUUUUAGGAUCACGCGGCUGUUUUAGGAAUCUAUAUGAUGUCGAUGUGAUGGAUAUCUGACUUGGUGCCUCCUGUUGUGUUCGAUUUUAUUCCGGGGAGUUGAGCUCCAGGGAAUUCUUGAGCACAUCAUUAUCAUUCAGAUUUCUUAGUAUCUCAGGACGAAGGAUGUUCGAAAUUGCUUCUAUGCUAGUAGUGGCGAGAUAACCUCGGCAUCCCCAGUACGGGUGCACAGAGUUUGGGGGUACUGCCAUACUUAGUAUCAUUGUGUUUUCGAGGAUCUGAGAUAGAUGAGUUUCCGAGAUCUCUGGUUAUGUGUUGAUGGAUGUGAUAGACUAGACGGGUAGUGUUAUUGCUAGGAGUUGAGUGAUGGAUUUUACUCCUUGUAUCCGUAGACCUGAUUGCAUGAUGAGAAAAAUUUCGGGAGUUCUUAGGUGGGAAUUCAAGUAGUUACUUAUAGGACAAUCUUCCAACAGAUGCAUGAUGUGAGGUUGGGGUUCGACAUCUAUUGGAUUCGUUUGUUCACGGUCAUCUUACAAUGGUUCUCGUUGUCUCUUGAAGAGUCCUUGUAGCUUGCUACGACUCGUGACACUUCGUAUGUCAUGUGCACUGCCUUGUACAUGAUGGCUACUGUCGGAUAGAGCCUGUGCGAUCCUAUCCAUGAAAAUAUCAGACGGAAUCUCUGUCAUGAAUUUGUUCUGGCUUGUUCCAUAAGCCUCAUCUUUUGUUUUGUUGGAGUAUGGUAAUUCGAGUUGCUUUGAUGCCAAAUAGUGAUUCAUAACUCUCCAAGAGGUGCUCUCAUAUUUUUAUGGGAAUGCUAAUUCUUUUGCUCAUUCAAGUUGUCUUAUCAAUUCUUUUCAACCGGAGUCGUCAUGUCAAUUCAUUUUCAACCGGUCUGCUUCUCUUCAAGUGAACUCAUUCUAUCCUUUUCAAGAUUUGCAAGAUCAAUCUCUCAUUUCUUUCUGGAGUUUGUCUCAUCUGUCCCAAGUUGUCUUUGUUUUUCCCCGCCCUCCUGCCCUUUUCUUCACGAUUAGAUUAUCUUCCAAGUGCAUUUCAUUUCAUUCAUGGUUGCUUCCGCUAUCUUUUCUUUUCUUUCAUAUCUGGUGAUUCAUUGUGAAGAUUCUCAGGAGUUGCUAGUUCAUCAUUUUUCAUUCUUGCUUUCUUCUUUGGUGAAUUCAAUUCAAGCUAUCUGUGUUCAUCAUGUCUUUUUCACCCUUUAAAUUCUUUCCCAUGUUGGUAAUUCAUAUCAAGUCUCUCUUGUUAUUCAUCCAUCUCUGUUCUACCCGGAGUGCUGAAGAUACCCCAGAAGUUUCUUGUUUUCAAUUCUUUCAAUUAUUUCGAGGGUCUCACCUCAUCAAGUUUUCAUUUAUACCGGUGCAAUCUCUCUUUUCUAAUCAAUUGUUUCAAUGGUGGUUUCUUUUGAGUGGGCCCAUAACCCACAUGUUAUUCCCAGGAUCUUAUCUGGCUCUUCUAAUAUUUCCCGGAGAUCUCUAAUUCUUUUCAAGUGUGACGUAAGAAUGAUUUCUAUCAGUCAUAUUCCUUCUUCAAGAUCUAUUUAAUUAUUCUCAUAUUUGGCUCAACCUUUCAUUCUUCUUAUUCCGGAGUGUCUCAGUAAUUUUGGUGGUGUUCCUUCUGGUAAUUCUGUGCAUUGAAGACUGAAGAGGUGUUUUUCUCAAAUAUUGGUCCAUUCUUUUGAAGAUUUUCAUCUUAGCUUCGUGUUAUCUUCUCAAUUGUUCUCAAUCAUGAGUAAUCUGUUUCUUGCUAUCCGGUGCAUUUCACAUUUGUUUUCAUUCUCGAUCCUCCGAAGGCCAUCAUCUCAGAAGAUUUCUUCAUUCUUAGCUUUCUGCUUUCAUUCUCAUAUUCUUCUCAAUUGUUGUCUCUUAGUUCAUCUCUCAAUUAUUCCGCUGCCUUGUUCAAGUUUUUCUCUAAAGUGGUUCAUGAUCUCUUCAUUCUGAUGUAUCCCCAUUCAUUCCAAUUCUUGCCGGUGGUUCUUCCAAGACUCUUCAAGUUUGUGCUCAUAUCUCUCCUAAAUCUUUUUAAGAAGAAUAAGUGGUAUGCUAAAUCCUUGAUUGUCAUUAAUUUAACUUGAUGAAGGAUAAUCAUAACAUAAUUCUUAUGCUUGUUUCAUAGUGACUUCAAUUGUUCUUCCAGAGUGGCUCAGGAUAUCAAUUCUUUUCCCAACUAAUCCAUAUUUCCUUUUUUCCUUUAUCCUUUGAGGUGGUGUUGUAGCAUUCUUGUUAGUGGAGGAGUCUCGAAGAGAAGUUGUUUCAAGAAUGGGAUAUUUAAGCCCACCAAUUCUUUGAUCAUGGGAUGUUUUCAAUCCAUGGUUUCUUCAUUGAGUUAUCUUGUUUUAAACUUCAACUAAAGCAUUUCCUAAGGGUUGUUGCUAUUAUGGUGAUUAUCAUUGAUCCAAGUCCUCUAUGUAUCCUCGUGGUAUAAGAACUUUUGCCUUUCUUGUUACAUCCAAUUAAUCCUUGUUUCUGUUAGUGGUGGUUGUCACCUCAAUAUUGGAGAUGGUUUUCAUAUGUCCACUACAAGCUUGUUCUUUUCAUUGUUGGUUUUCCAACAACACCGUUCAAUUCUUCAUGUCUGGAGGCUCUUCAAUUCAAUUGUGAUGGGAAUUGUCAUUUUCUUCUUCAUUCUAUUCUUCUCAAAGAUCUAGUUUCUUUUCUCCUAUUCCAAAGUUGUGGUGAUGUUGUUCUCUUCAAUCUAUCAUCUUGUUCUCUCAAGAUCAUGUUCUUUCCUUGUUUUUCAAUUUAGUUAGUUUGUUGUGAAUCUUCUCAAGAUCUUUCCAUUGUAUCGAAUUGUUGUCCCCUUUUCCUAGCGAAGUGCUGCCGAAAUUUUGUGUGAAUUCUUGCUUGUUUCUCAUAUAAUUCUUCAUCUCUUUGCAAACUUCAAGGAUUGUUGGUUUCACUCAUUAUUCAAAGAAGCGACUAAGUUUUACCUCUUUGUUUUCCUCUUACCCUUUCAUACUUAGAUCAUGGGGCGAGAUAUUUUGUUAGUGUAGGAGAGUUGUGACAGCCCGAGACCGAUGCUCGAGAAUAUACCCCUUUUAUUUUCAUCGUCGCCGUGCGACUCGAUUGAUUAUCGCAUUCAUCAUCGCAUCAUCUGCAUUGCAUCGACACUCUGUUGACGCCAAUUUUCAAAAAAACUUGCAUCCAUUAUUAGUUGCCGGUUCUCUUCGUGGUCGUCGUUGACCGUUUUGAGACCAACCACGCUCGCACGCGCCCACGACAUUGAUUACUAUUUGUUUCUAAAAGUGUAUAUAAAAUAUUCUCGAAUUGGAUUGAAACUUGGCGUGCGGUCUUAAUAUAGUGUAGGUAGGCCGCGUGCCUAAUUUCGUCACGAUCGGAGUUCGUUUGAUACCCGUACCGUUUAUUAUAUAGCGGCACUAUAGCCGAUUUAAUUGUCGGAUGUUCGGCAUUUUCAAAAUCUCGUGUCACGGGCCGCUAACAUUCCCACUCUUCCCCACCUAGCCUCUCUAACACGGCCCAACUAGCCCACUUAAGCUAACCCUAACCCACCUCUCCGAUCGGACCGUCCGAUCCUGAUCGGAGGGUCGAAAAACCCCCAAAACCCCUAACCCUAAUACGUGACUAUUUAAGCACCUUCCCCUACCUAUUUUUGGCAAACCCUUGCCCUCCCCCUUGAUCCGUGUGCACCCAGCCAACCUCGUCUCCUCCCACCUCGCGCUGGCCUUAUGGAACCCAUCUGCAGCCCGCCUGAGCCCAUCUGGGGACCGGACGAGCCCGCGCGCGCCGCUACCCGUGGAACGCAUCGCGACACUGUGCCAUCUCCCUGCUCCUCCCGCAGUGCUGAGCCGCUCCUGUGCUGCCGCCGCCUUCUAGGCCCUGCCCAGGCCAUAGCUUGUCAGUCGCUGCCUCGCCUAUCGCUGCAGCCAAGCCGCAGCACGGUGCUGCGCGACGUAUGCAUCGCCCGGAGCUUUGCCAGGGUGCAUCUGUCGCCGGGCCAGCAGCCCUGUCGACCAACCUCCGCAACCUGCCGCUCGUGUUGACCUGGGCCGUAGUGCCCCGGGCUACUUCGCCCCACCUGUUGGGGAACGUUGCAUGGGAAACAAAAAAAUUCGUACACACACGAAGUCCUAUCACGGUGAUAUUCAUCUACGAGAGGGAGAUAUGAUCCACAUACCCUUGUAGAUCGAUCAGUGGGAAGCGUUAAGAAAUACGGUUGAUGUAGUCGUACAACUUCGUGAUUCAAAUCACCAUCGUACCAUGAUUCGUCCCACGAUCCGUUCCGAUCUAGCGUCGAACGGACGACACCUCCGCGUUCAUCACACGUAGAGCUCGAUGAUGAUCUCGGCCUUCUUGAUCCAGCAAGAGAGACGGAGAAGUAUAUGUGUUCUACGGCAGCAUGCCGGCGCGCCGGUGUUGGUGAUGAUCUAUUCCUGCAAGGCUCCGCCCGAGCUCCGCAGAAAUCUAAUCUACAGGAAGAACUAUGAGGUGUAGGUUUCAGUUGCACGUGGCAAAGUUGUGUCUCAAACAGGCCUAAACCUCAAGUAUAUAUAGGAGGAGCCAAGGGGUGGGGCAAGCCCUUAGGGCAUAGCCAAGAAGGCCUCCUUGGGUCGGCCGACUUGGGGAAGGGAGGAGUCCUUCUCCAAUCCCACUUCGAUUAGGACUCCUUCAUUAUUUUCCCACCUCUUUUCGAUUUUCCACUUUUUCCUCAUGGGUUUUCCUUAGAUGACUUUGUCAGCCAAUUAUACCUUAUUGUGCAUCCAAUAAACCCACAUGGACCCUCAUACGUCUCCAUCGUAUCUACUUUUCCAAACUCUUUUGCCCUUGUUUUGGACUCUAAUUUGCAUGAUUUGAAUGGAACUAACCCGGACUGACGUUGUUUUCAGCAGAAUUGCCAUGGUGUUGUUUUUGUGCAGAAAUGAAAGUUCUCGGAACGUCCUGAAAAUUUACGGAGAAUAUUUCUGGAAAAUAUGAAAAAUACAUGCGCAAAGAUCCACCGGAGGGGACGGGCUAGUGGGCCACAAGCCCUGUAGCCGCGGCCUCCCCCGUGACCGCGGCUACCAGGCUUGUGGGGCCCACGUGGCUCUGCCGCCCCCAAUUCCAGCGCUAUUUAUUCCCGUUCGUCCCGGAAAAAAUCAGGAGAGAGGAGUUCAUUGCGUUUCACGAUCCAGAGGCGCCGCCACAUCCCGUUCUUGUCCUGGAGGGCAGAUCUGGAGUCCGUUUUGGGCUCCGAAUCAAGGAGAUCGUCGCCAUCGUCAUCAUCAACCUUCUUCCCUCUCCAAUUCCAUGAAGCUCUUCAUCGUUCGUGAGUAAUAUAUUCAUAGGCUCGUUGGGCGGUGAUGAGUAGGAUGAGAUCUAUCAUGUAAUCGAGUUAGUUUUGACGGGGAUUGAUCCCUAGUAUCCACUAUGUUCUGAGAUUCAUGUUGCUACUACUUUGCCAUGCUUAAUGCUUGUCACUAGGGCCCGAGUGCCAUGAUUUCAGAUCUGAAAUUAUUAUGUUGUCACCAAUAUAUGUGUGUUUUAGAUCCGAUCUUGCAAGUUGUAGUUACCUACUAUGUGUUAUGAUCCGGCAACCCCGGAGUGACAAUAACCGGACCCACUCCCGGUGAUGACCAUAGUUUGAGGAGUUCAUGUGUUCACCAAGUGCUAAUGCAUUGGUCCGAUUCUUUAUUAAAAGGAGAACCUUAAUAUCCCGUAGUAUCCAUUUGGACCCCGCUGCCACGGGAGGGAUGGACAAUAGAUGUCAUGCAAGUUCUUUUCCCUAAGCACGUAUGACUACACACGGAAUGCAUGUCUACAUCACAUUGACGAACAUGAGCUAGCCAUAUAUCUCUCCAUGUUAUAAAUGUUGCAUGAUGAAUGUCAUCUGACAAAUCACCGUUCCAUUGCCUACGAGUUUGUCCCACUGUUGCUGUUACUUGCUUUGCUCUGCUGCUGUUACUACUGUUGCUGUUGCUGUUACUUGCUUUGCUCUGCUGCUGUUACUACUGUUGCUGCUACUGUUACUUGCUUUGCUCUGCUGUUGUUACUACUGUUGCUGCUACUGUUACUUGCUUUGUCCUACUGCUGUUGCCACUAUUGUUACUUGCUGUUGCUGUUACUUGCUACUGUUGCUACUUGCUAAUACUGUCACUACUGCUGUUCCUUGCCACUGUUGUUACUCGUUACACUGCUGCUACCUGCUACAAUACUUUAUUGGCGCCAUUGAUACUUCAGUUAGGAAUAAUCUGCCGUCAACAGAAUCUUUCCUAGCACCGUUGCUAUCAUACUACCUUUGCUGCUUAUAUCCUGCUUGCAGAUACUAAUCUUUCAGGUGUGGUUGAGCCGACAACUCAACUGCUAAUACUGGAGAAUAUCCUUUCAUUCCCAUCGUGUCGAACCAACAAAUUUGGGUUGAAUACUUGUCGGGACCCCGAUCCUAGGUCAUAAGAACCCAACCUGUAACACAUCACAUCACUUUAUGGCCUCACGCACGGUAAACUCCACGGCCGCCACCUUACCUUGGCCGGGACCGUUUGCGUCUUUUGGCUCACGUAUAUGAAUGUGUCGCUACCGUCCAAACGACAAGAACCCGGGUCGACAUGACUAGUUAUAAAGCCAAGCGGUACAUCCGUAUAGGGACAGGCAUACAUAACCCAGCAAAGCAGGUGUCGGUCAUCAGCGUGUGUAGACGAGUCGUAGCAAGCUACAAGGACUCCAUUACACCGCGUGACAUUUCCCCGAGGGGACAGACACAGCAGCAAAGAAGGAUACAUGCCGAUCAAUCAAUGUGUUCCAAGCAGUAGCAAGCUACCAAGGCCCGAUGGAAACACAAAGAGGCAUUUCCCUGUAAAGAGUACUACUAAAGGCAAACAACUAGGUGUCAAAUCCCACACAUAUAAUGCAUUUCAAACAUACACAUAUCAUGCACGAUAUGUGUAGAUACAACAUGGCAUCACAACAUAACUCUAUGACUCAAGCAUUUAUUAAAGACUCAUAAGAGUCAACAUAGUAUGACAUUACAAACAGGGGUCACAUGACCCGACACUCAAGUCAUACAAGCAUCAAGCGCAAGCAAUCAUGUCUGGGUACAGACAUCUACUAAAAGUGGCUGGAAGAGCCUGAAAAGCUACUACGACCCUACCAAAGGAGCGAGACCUCUUUCUGGGAUUCUCAAGCUAUUCCGGUCAAAAUCGAACACAUCGAUAGAACCUUUUAAUGAGUCUAAGUCUUCUCUGCAAAAACAUAAAUAAAGCAACCGUGAGUACAAAGGUACUCAGCAAGUCUUACAUCAGAACUAUCCACAUAUGCAUCAUGUUUCAAUGAAAGGAUUGUGGGGUUUGAUUGCAGAAAGCCAACUUUGACUCUUGGCUAACCUGUACUACGACUACAAGUUCUUUCUUUGAGGUGGGAUAGCGCACACGAGUCCACAAUUCACCAAUGCAAUACACCACUAUGGAUCCACUCUCAUCUCCCUACGAGAAGGCCUUCCAUAGCACUCACACUUAUCUUGCAUGUUUUAGAGUAUCCGUUUAAAUUGUCUAUGUACCACAUAAUGUUUCCAUGUAGUCCAUAUCCGAGGACGCGGCUAUUUGAACAGAUUGAAUCCCCCUGCAGGGGUAUACUUAUUCACACAUGCUCUCACCACUUAGCACCAUAUGCACGUCAUGCAUCUUGGCAACCUUCAAGCGGAAGGACUCGCGUGGGUGUCGGCCACGACCGUUAACAACACAAGACCCUAGUCCAGGUUUAUCGCCUAUUUGAGACUGAACCCGCAAGGAAGUCCGGCCGAGGUUUCCUCUACGGCCCCAAAUGAUGUGCGCAGGGUUCCCAAGCCCACCAUCCGGGUGCCACUUGGUACACCGUGCCACUGUGUAUCUACCGCAGAGAAGCCUACCCCGUCGGGCAGAUCUAAACACGGCUGCCAGCACUUUUCCUACAAACACCAGAAACUAAUUGCAACUCCUGGACAGGGAUCUAGGCAAUUAAUAAGCCAAGCGGGGUCAUAUUUCAGGGCCCAAUGCAUGGUAGUAUCUUGUCUUGGAUAACAUACACAGAACUCAGUUCUUAAGGACGGUCUCAAUGAGACAACCCACCAUGUACUCCUACAUGGCCUCUCAUCGCUACCUUUACCAAAUAUGAUUCACACUUUUACUCUCACACUGUAGAACAUGAUCACAACCAGUCUGAUUCAUCAUCCAGAUGGAUCAGACCCGACACGACUCUAAGCAUAGCAGGCAUUGUAAACAAGCAUGGAUGAGUAAGCACAACAAGGCUCCAGCAGCUGCUACUCAUGCUAAGUGGUUUCAACUAUUUACUGUGACAAAAUCAGGUCAUGCAGAGGAAUGGGUUCAACUACCGAUAACAUGUACAGUUGAAUCGUGUUUGUCCUAAUGCCGUAAAAGAGAGCAGGAGCGAGAGAGUGGGUUUAUAUCAAUAUGCUGAAGGGGGGUUUGCUUGCCUGACACGUCUGAAGAUAGCAAUGAGUCUUCAUCAAUGUCAACAAUCACAUCGUCGGAAACAUCGUUUACCGAGAGGGAACAACACCGGCAAACAAGAAAGAACAACAAUUACUUCACGGAAAUGCAACACUAUGAUGCAUGCUCAAGACAUGAAAUGAAAGGUGGCAGGGCUAAUGUGGCUAUCAUUUCUUAAGUUGAAGUUGGUUUGAAUUAGGAUUCAAACAUCACUUCAAGCCGGGUAUCUUUCCAAGUACCCUUAUAAUUGGUUCGACCUGAUGCUCAUAAAAAAUUGUUCCAACGUGCAUGGAGUUAGUAUUUUGAGGUACUGAUUUGCAUUGACCAAUGUUUGGUCAUAACAAUUGAUGUGGAAUUCAAAUAAGUAUCAAUUUCCAUCUCCAAACUAAGUAUGAAAUUUAUCCUAUUCACCAUUUUGCCUAUUUGGUGAUGUUAACUUUUUCAAACAUGCAUGAAAAUGCCAUAAUCAGAUUCUUUGGAUUUUUCUAAUCCUUUUUCAUAUAUAAAUUAUUUCCAUCCGAGUUAUUUUAAUUUCUAUGAUUUUUACAAGUUUUGCUAUUAUUCUAGAAUUAAUUAAAAUCAGAAAAAGCUAUUACCGCGUCAGGAUGAUGUCAUCCCUGCGUCAGCAGGUCAACCAGCCGGUCCAGGUCAAACCCUGACCAGUGGGCCCACUGGUCAGUGACCCAGGGGCUAACCCCACGCUGACCAGCCCCUUAUUGGGGAUUGACCAGGCGUGGGGCCCUCUGGCAGUGGCUCUAAGGCCUGAUUAGUGGCGGGUUAAGGUGGCCACGUCGGCUCCCACCGGAGGGUGGUCGCCGGCGACCAUAGCCGCGGCGGAGGGCUCGCCGGAGACGACCUAAACGGCGCUACAGGGCACCAAAUCGGGCGCGGUUUGCAGCUACGGGACGCUGGCGAAGCGCCCGAUCUGGCAGGGGCAUCAGGAGAGGCUAGGGUGGCCGGGAGAGGUGCCGGGGACGAGCGUGCCCGGCGGCCGGAAGUCGGGCUCGUCGGGGAGGAGCUCAGGGGGACGCUAUCGCGCGGGGAAGAGAGGGGAAAGGAGUAGGGUCUCACUAGGGAUCCAUUUCUGGCAUCGGGGAGGUCGGAGAGAGUCGCUGGCCGGCGAAUCGAGGUGGGGAUCUCCGGCGACCAGAGGAGGAAGGUGGCGAUGGCGACGCUGAAGUGGCUCGGGUGCUCGGGGAGGUUGACGGUGAGGAGCUUCUCGGCGAGGCGGAGCUAAUGAACCGGUCAGGAAGGCGAGGGGUGGCCGGAGACGAGCUGGAGGCGAGCUUGGAGAUCUCGGCAAUGGCAGCAACGAGGGAAAGCAGAGAGAGAGAAGAGGGAACUCGAGAGAGAAGAGGAGGAUGAGCUCGAGGGGGUAUGGGGCAUCUCCGGGCGAGGAGAUGAGGACGGGGGCGAGCAGGAGGUGGCAAGCAGGAGGUGGAGCCGGCGCACGCGCUGCUGCCACGCAGCUGCUCGGGGAAGACGACGAGCAGGGGGAGGCCCUGGUGGGCUGGGCCGACCAGGUGAGCGCACGUUAGUUCUUCUUUUUCUUUGGGGGGUUUUCUUGUAUUCUUUCUGUUUGAUAUUUCUGACAUUUCUUUUACUUUGUUUUGGCUCCAACUAGAACAAGAAAAAGUGAAAAUAUUGUUGGGGUGUUAGUUGUAAUAUUUUCUACCACAUCUAAAAGAUUCAACAUUUUUGAGAAUCUGAAUUAUUUGAAAUCAAAUAUGUAGUUGAUUUUAGUGAAUUUUAUAUUUAAAAUAAAAUGCCCAAAAGUAAUUUGAAAAUAUAUAGCACCCCUGAUAUUUUCUUUCCAACAUUUAUCAAAAAUGAUGGACUUUUAUGAAAGCCAUUUUGGUUCAUUAAUUUGUCACCACUUUUGAAUUGAUUUUGAAUAUAGACUAUGUUGGAGUUUUGCUUUGAUUUCACUUCUUUCUUGGGUUCAAUUCAUUUUCUUAGAAUGCAAAGAAAGAAAACAUGAGCUCAAACUUGCUAAGCUCUACUAGGGAUUUCAGGGAUGUGACAACACUCUACCCUCGAAAACUGCCGCGAUCCCACACGCUGGUGGGCCAUUGCAAGACAAUUGCUAAUUGUUGAGCAACUGGAAGAAGUUCUUUUCUGGCGCCAUUGCCAGGGGACUGUCAGCAGCUCUUUUCUGGCGCCGUUCCCGGGGAGGGAUAUCUAUAUUCUCUGAGUCACUUGGGAUUUAUAUCUGCUGAUCACUAUGAAGAAUCUGAAAGAUCUAAGAACCAAAGUCUUGCCCUCAACUACGAGGGGAGGUAAGGAAUUGCCAUCUAGCUCUGCACUUGAUUCACCUUCAGUUAUGAGUAAGAUUGCGACGCCACCUCCUGCUAGAAAUCUUGAUAUGUCACCUGUGCUUGAUGAUGCUUAUAAUGCUACUAUGCUUGAUGAUACUAUGCCUGAUACUGCUAGAGAUACUAUGCCUGAUACUGCUUUGCGUGAUGAUGCUAGAGAUGCUAUUUUGCCUGAUGAUGCUAUGCUUGAUACUGCUUUGCCUGAUGAUGCUAGAGAUGCUAUUUUGCCUGAUGAUGCUAUGCUUGAUACUGCUAGAGAUACUACUUUGCCUGAUAUGCCACUAGGGGUAUUCCUUGAUGCUCAUAUUGCUAGAGUUACUGCCAAUGCUCGUGAUGCUUCUGAAACUGCCGAUACUAUUGAGAUAGAACCUGCUUUUGCUCGUGCUAGAUCUAGCUCUCCUAGAUAUGAAUUGCCUGAUAUACCCGAGGGUUAUGUUAUGGAGGGAGAGAUAGCUGAGGAUUUUCUUGCAUGUAAGGAUGCCUAUGACGCUGAGAAAUUACUUCUCAAGUGGAAGAAAAAAUCUCUGAAAUCUAGGAUCAAAUACGACCCGAAGUUUUCCACUUCACCUAUCUUUAUCACCGAUAAGGAUUAUGAAUUCUUUGUCGACCGUGAGAUAUUCUCUCUAGUCGAAUCUAAUCCUUUCCACGGUUAUGAGUCUGAGACGGCCGUAGCCCAUCUUACCAAACUACAUGAUAUAGCCACCCUUCUCUUCUCUUGCUCCUGGAUGUGUGAGUAGUCCCCAGGAUAUGGUCUAUUACUUCUGUGAGAAAUAUUUCCCUGCCCAUAAGAAGCAAGCUGCCUUGCAGGAAAUAUACAACUUUGCUCAACUCAAAGAAGAUAGUCUCCCACAAGCUUGGGGGAGGCUCAUCCAGCUACAGAAUGCUUUGCCUGAUCACCCUCUUAAGAAGAAUGAGAUACUUGAUAUCUUCUAUAACGGACUUACCGAUGCUUCUAGAGACCACCUAGGUAGUUGUGCCGGUUGUGUUUUUAGGGAACGAACUGUAGAACAAGCUGAGAUCCUACUGAAUAACAUCUUGAUCAACGAUAAUGCUUGGACUAUUCCGGAACCACCUCCUAAGCCAACUCCUAAGAAAAGAGGUAUUCUAUUCCUCAGUCCCGAAGAUAUGCAAGAAGCCAAGAAAUCUAUGCAAGAGAAAGGCAUUAGAUCUGAAGAAGUCAAAAAUCUACCGCCUAUCGAAGAGAUCCAUGGUCUCGAUAACCCGAUACAAGUAGUAGAGGUGAAUUCUCUGCGUAGAUUCAAAGAGAGUGAUAUUCCUUUUGACAAACUUGCUAGCCUAUGCUUUGAUGAAUUUGACAACUUUGUUGCCAAACAACAGAGUUUCAAUGAUUAUGUUAACAGACAAUUGGAACAAAGUACUCGUAUGCUUAGUCAUUUAAGUGCUUGUGUAGACAGAAAUGUCAAUGAUGUGAAGCUUCUGAGUAAACAUGCCUCUAUGAUUACUACUCAGGUAGAACAAGUACUUCAAGCUCAGAAUGACUUGCUCAAUGAAUUAAAUGACAACUCUGUCAGAUUCAUUACUAGAGGAGGCAAAAUGACUAAGGAACCUUUGUAUCCUGAAGGCCAUCCUAAGAGAAUUGAUCAAGAUUCUCAAGGAAUUAAUGCUGAUACACCCAGUCAUUCUAAGAAGAAGAAGAAGGAUGAUAGAAACCUACAUGUCAGUUCACCAAAUACUGUCACACCUGAAGAACCAAAUGAUAUUUCUGCGUCUGAUGCAGAAACACAAUCUGGUGAUGAACAUGAACCUGGUGACAAUAUGGACAUCAAUGUUCAUAAUAAUGCUCAACCUAGCGAUGAUAAGGAUGUGGAGAUUGAACCUAUGAUUAAUUCUUAUAACCCACAACCUAAUACAUAGGAUAAGAAUGACUUCACUGCUAGGAAGCAUGGUAAAGAAAGGGAGCCAUGGGUUCAGAGACCCAUGCCCUUUCCUCCUAAGCCAUCCAAGAAAAAGGAUGAUGAGGAUUUUGAGCGCUUUAUUGAAAUGCUGAGACCCGUCUUUCUGCAAAUGUGGUUAAUUGAUAUGCUAAAAAUGUCUCCAUAUGCCAAGUACAUGAAAGAUAUCGUGACCAAUAAAAGGAAGAUACCAGAUCUUGAGAUCUCCACCAUGCUUGCCAAUUACACUUUCAAAGGUGAAACUCCUAAGAAACUUGGUGAUCCCGGAGUGCCCACUAUACCUUGCUCCAUUAAAGGAAACUACGUAAGAACUGCCUUAUGUGACCUUGGAGCUGGUGUUAGUGUUAUGCCUCUCUCUCUUUAUCGUAGACUUGAACUGGAUAAGUUGACACCCACUGAAAUUUCUCUGCAAAUGGCCGACAAAUCAACUUCUUUCCAUGUCGGCAUUUGCGAGGAUGUGCGUGUUGUGGUUGCUAACGUUACUAUCUUAACGGACUUUGUUAUCCUGGAUAUUCCUGAGGAUGAUGCCAUGGCGAUCAUUCUUGGAAGACCGUUCUUAAACACCGCAAGGGCUGUUAUAGAUUGCAGUAAAGGCAAUGUCACCUUCCAUGUCAAUGGUAAUGAGCAUAUGGUGCACUUUCCGAAGAAACGAUAUCAAGUACAUUGCAUCAAUGCUAUCGAAAAAACUUCAUCAUUUCUUAUUGGGAGCUUUGAAUGCCCUAUUCCUCAUGUGAAGAUGAAGUAUGAUUUGCUUGUUGGGGAGAUUCAUAUCCCCAUUGAGGUGACUUAGUGGCUAUUCGACAAUUCUACGUUUCCUCUUGCGAUUCGAAAAGGUUUUGUCAUGAUUAUUUGAUCAACCCCAUUGACGGAUUUCUUUCGAUGACCAUGAAAUGGAUGAAUCAAGGAGUCACAUACCUCUGUUUUAAGCUUUCACUUUCUGUUGCUUAGAAGAAAAAUGAUAGAUUUAGUUUACCUUUUCCUGUUUUGUGUUUUAGCGUCCCGGAGAAAAGUACCCCAAAAAUAAAAGUUCUCUGAUGGUCCUGAAAAUCAAAUAUGAUUUUUUCUGGACUUUUGGAAAAAUACUGGGACUGAGAGCUGGCCUGGGGGCCACACAAGUGGGCCACAAGGCCUGUAGCCGCAGCCUCCCCCCUGGCCGCGGCUAACAAGCUUGUGGGGCCCAUAGGGACCCCCUCCACUCAUUCCAGCUCCCAUCCUCUUCUUCUACCUCCAGAAAAAAUCGUUUCGCAACAAAAACCCGUGUUCUUGCUCAUUUGGUUGUGAUUUUCGAUCUCCUUGCUCAAAGCAUCACUCUCCGAACCGUUUUGGGGAAAUUACUCCUUGGUAAGUGACUCCUCCAUUGGUCCAAUUAGUUUCUACUCUAGUGCUUUAUCCUUCGCAUAUUCUUGCUACCUUGGUGACCCUGUUCUUGAGCUUUAAAUGUUGAUUUUAGCUGGUCCCAAGUAGUUUUAGCGCAUAAUACGUUCUCUAAGCACUAGUAGGAGUAGUUGCUACGAGUUGGGUUAAUCCUUACUCACUUGUCUUUCGAAGUCUCUAAAAAAUUUCAGAAUUUUUCAGAGUUAGAGAAGGGAAAAGAUGAGGAGGUUCUUGAGAGGCUCUUCAAGCCGUAACCCCAAGGAGGAUGAGAAGAACCACCCCAAGUACGUGGUUCCUCGAGUCACAGAAGUUCGAUCGUGUGAGUGGCCAAGUGAUGAAUUUUUGCGCGCCGCUGGGCUUUAUGAAGACUUCUAUUACUUGGUGGAGAACGCAGGUCUUACUGCGUUCGUUGAAGAUAAGUGCCCACAAUACCGCCUUCUCACCAAUAUUUUCGUUCAAAGCUUCAACUUUUAUCCGAGGAAGAAUCCUCCUAUGGUUGAGUUCAUGUUAUACGAUAUCCCCCCAGCGCAUGACACUACAGGAUUUUUGCAAUGUGUGCAAAUUACCUUAUGUUGGGGAUAUUCAUGAUCCUCGUCCAUGAGACUUGGAGGCUUUCAUAGAUACUAUUGCUGUUGGAGAGGAGAGAGGAGUGUCUCGCGCUAGAAUUGCUAGCAUACAUUUUCCCGUGCUUCGGUACUUCUCAUUAUUUGUGGGAAAAUGUUUGAUUGGCCGUGGGGAGGCUGAAUCACUUAGCUCUCCAGACCUUGCGGUUUUGAGCGAAGGCCUUUAUAACAAUAAGACUUUUAGCCUAGGUGCUAUAGUAGUUCAGCGGUUGAACACAAACCGUUCCAAAGGUGUCGUCUAUGGAGGUAUCCAUGCUACCCGUGUUGCCAGACACUUUGAGAUACCCAUUAGACUGGAGGAGGAAGAAGAAAUGCUUCUUCCUGAGAAAUAUCUGUAUUAUGACAGCAUGGUUCGCCAUGAUUUUCUGGAUAGAGAUGCUAGUAGACAGAUGAUUUAUAACCUGGUAUUUAGUCAGGGUACUCGAGAGACUAUUACUUUGCCUUCUCCUUCUUUGUUCAACCUUUAUGCAGGCAGGUACAUUAUUAUGCCUUCGGACAUCUACGCAUAUUGGGGCUUGGCCCAACCAUAGGUGCCCGUGCCCGAGCCGCCAGUCGAGUACCAGUCGCCAGUUUAUCAAUGGGAGCCAGAGGAGCUCACACAUCAGUGGCAUCCACAGUCCGCUCUGGAGUAUCCCGGAGCUGGUUAUUUCCCUCCUUGGGAGUAGACCAAGCUAGUCCAAACGCCUAAGCUUGGGGGAGUGUGUGUUUGCACCAACUUUACAUCUUUGUUAGUCGGUGUUUACACUUUGUCACUGUAUUAUCCAUGCUAGUUUAUUUUUGUUUUCUUGUUUUUUUGUUUUGUGUCCUUUUGAGAAAACCCAAAAAGAUUUUCCUUUCUUCUUUUUCUUGUUGGGAGCUUUCCCGUGUAAAUAGUUUUCUUUUUCUUUGAGUCAAGGUAGAAGACCAUGGUUACAAUGUUUAGUGGCUCUCGCAUGCAUACCUGUUCAUUUGUCAAAGAGCCAUAUUACUUUGUCUUCUCCUUUGUGUUUGCCUGCAGAUUCAGCUUAGUCUAAUGCACGAGCACUCUUAUUAUUGUUCACAUCGUUCGAUCAUGCAAGUGAAAGGCAAUAAUGAUGAUAUAUGAUGAAGUGACUGAGACUGGAAAAGAUGGUAUGAACUCUAUCUAUUUUGUUUUUGUAAAUAUGACUAGCUUGUCGUCCCAGAUUCAGCUUUGUUGAGAGAGAACCAUGUUUGCAAUGACAACUUAGAGAUCAUAGUUUCUGAUGCCAUGCUUAAUUAGCUAGGAGCUUAUAAUGGUUUGUCUUGAAUGCCAACAUAGAUUUUGAGAUGACUAUGAUGUAGUAUGAUAGGAUGGUAUUAUCCUUUGAAUGAUUCAAGUGGCUUGACUUGGCGCAUGUUUAUGCAUGUAGUUGAAAGAAAAUCAACAUAGCCUCUACGAUGUUCGUGUUCAUGGUGAUUUAUAUCCUGCUCAUGCUUGCACUAAAUGUUAGUCAAACUCUUUGCAUCUUGAUGACUGUUGUCGCUCUCUAGUUGGUCGCUUCCCAGUCUUUUGCUAGCCUUCACUUGUACUAAGAGGAAUACUGCUUGUGCAUCCACUUCCAUAAACCCAAGAGUUUUUCCAUGAGAGUCCACCAUACCUACCUAUUUGCGGUAUCUACCUGCCGUUCCAAGUAAAUUUGCAUGUGCCAUUCUCUAAACCUUCAAGAAAUAAUCUGUUUUGCUUGCCCGAACCGCUCAUGCGGUGACAGGGGGCUAUUGGUAUCUUCCAUGUUAGGCGUGUUAUCCUCGACAUGUGUUUAUUCACUGUCAUUCACGAGAAAGGGGCAGGUAAUUGGAAUGCCCAGUUCCACGCUUAAAUCCAAAACAUAACUGUAAAACAAGACUCCCCCUGGAUUGAUGUUAGUACGGACGGUACCCGAGGAUUCGGCUAGCCGUGGAGUGUGAUUGAUUGGUGGUGGGGGAGUUAAAACUUUACUUUUCUGUUUGGGAACCGCCUAUAGCAUGAGUAGCAUGGAAGAUAUUGAGAACUCUUGGUCAUUGCGUUGACAAUGAAAGCAUGCCACCCAAAAUUAUUAUCUCUGUUUUGAAAGCUUGAGCUCUGGCACCUCUGCAAAUCAAUGCUUCCCUCUGCGAAGGGCCUGUCUAUUUAUUUUCCUGUUGAGUCAUCCUCUUCUUAUAUAAGCACCAAUUAGAGAGCACCUCUGUCAUUUUUAUGCUUUGCUUUUGAUUGAUAUUGAGUAUGACUAUGACUGGAUCUUCGUUGCUAUGAAUUACAAUGUUUAGUCAGCCCUUGAUCUUUGAAAGUGCUCUAUAUUUAUGUUUUGCGGUCUCAGAAAGAGCUAGCGAGAUACCACCUAUUCAUAUUGCUUCAUGCUUGUUUUGAUUGAAUUGUUGGUAUCUGAAACUCAUUAUUAUUUGCUCGCUAGCUGUUUAUGCCAUUGAUAUAGUUUACCGUGAGACAUUUGUGUCACUUGCUUAUGUGGUUAACUUGUGAUCUUGCUGAAAUUCUGGUUAUGAGUUAGACAUAGUUGCAACAACAAGAUCAAACAGAGUUUGUCAACGUUUUUCUUUCUCUUUCAGUUUGUCAACUGAGUAGUUUGAGGACAAGCAAGGUUUUAAGCUUGGGGGAGUUGAUACGUCUCCAUCGUAUCUACUUUUCCAAACUCUUUUGCCCUUGUUUUGGACUCUAAUUUGCAUGAUUUGAAUGGAACUAACCCGCACUGACGCUGUUUUCAGCAGAAUUGCCAUGGUGUUGUUUUUGUGCAGAAAUGAAAGUUCUCGGAAUGUCCUGAAAAUUUACGGAGAAUAUUUCUGGAAAAUAUGAAAAUACCUGCGCAAAGAUCCACCGGAGGGGACGGGCGAGUGGGCCACAAGCCCUAUAGCCGCGACCUCCCCCCUGGCCGCGUCUACCAGGCUUGUGGGGCCCACGUGGCUCUGCCGCCCCCAAUUCCAGCGCUACUUACUCCCUUUCGUCCCGGAAAAAAUUAGGAGAGAAGAGUUCAUCGCGUUUCACGAUCCAGAGGCGCCCCCACAUCCCGUUCUUGCCCUGGAGGGCAGAUCUGGAGUCCGUUUUGGGCUCCAGAUCAAGGAGAUCGUCGCCAUCGUCAUCAUCAACCUUCUUCUCUCUCCAAUUCCAUGAAGCUCUUCAUCGUUCAUGAGUAAUCUAUUCGUAGGCUCGUUGGGCGGUGAUGAGUAGGAUGAGAUCUAUCAUGUAAUCGAGUUAGUUUUGACGGGGAUUGAUCCCUAGUAUCCACUAUGUUCUGAGAUUGAUGUUGCUACUACUUUUCCAUGCUUAAUGCUUGUCACUAGGGCCCGACUGCCAUGAUUUCAGAUCUGAAAUUAUUAUGUUGUCACCAAUAUAUGUGUGUUUUAGAUCUGAUCUUGCAAGUUGUAGUUACCUACUAUGUGUUAUGAUCCGGCAACCCCGGAGUGACAAUAACCGGAACCACUCCCGGUGAUGACCAUAGUUUGAGGAGUUCAUGUGUUCACCAAGUGCUAAUGCGUUGGUCCGGUUCUUUAUUAAAAGGAGAACCUUAAUAUCCCGUAGUAUCCAUUUGGACCGCGCUGCCACGGAAGGGAUAGACAAUAGAUGUCAUGCAAGUUCUUUUCCCUAAGCACGUAUGACUACACACGGAAUGCAUGCCUACAUCACAUUGACGAACAUGAGCUAGCCACAUAUCUCUCCGUGUUAUAACUGUUGCAUGGUGAAUGUCAUCCGACAAAUCACCGAUCCAUUGCCUACGAGUUUGUCCCACUGCUGCUGUUACUUGCUUUGCUCUGCUGUUGUUACUACUGUUGCUGCUGCUGUUACUACCGUUGCAGCUACUAUUACUUGCUUUGCUCUGCUGCUGUUACUACUGUUGCUGCUACUGUUACUUGCUUUGUCCUGCUGCUGUUGCCACUACUGUUACUUGCUGUUGCUAUUACUUGCUACUGUUGCUACUUGCUACUACUAUCACUAUUGCUGUUCCUUGCCACUGUUGUUACUCGUUACACUGCUACUACCUUCUACAAUACUUUACUGGCGCCAUUGAUACUUUAGUUAGGAAUAAUCUGUCGUCAAUAGAUUCUUUCCUAGCACCGUUGCUAUCAUACUACCUUUGCUGCUUAUAUCCUGCUUGCAGAUACUAAUGUUUCAGGUGUGGUUGAGCCGACAACUCAACUGCUAAUACUAGAGAAUAUCCUUUCACUCCCAUCGUGUCGAACCAACAAAUUUGGGUUGAAUACUCUACCCUCGAAAACUGCCGCGAUCCCACACGCUGGUGGGCCAUUGCAAGACAAUUGCUAAUUGUUGAGCAACAGGAAGCAGUUCUUUUCUGGCGCCAUUGCCAGGGGACUGUCAGCAGACCCCUUGGGGCGUGGUGGGCCCACCCAGUGGGCCCCCGAAACCCAUUCGUCACCCCUGGUACAGUGCCGGCAAUGCCCGUAAACCUUCCAGAAUCCAACACCAACUUGCUAUAUAUCAAUCUUCGUUUCUGGACCAUUCCGGAAACCCUCGUGAGAUCCGUGAUCUCAUCCGGGACUCCGAACAACCUUGAGUCACCAACACAUCUAACUCAACUAUACUAAAACAUCAUCGAACCAUAAGUGUGCAGACCCUGCGUGUUCGAGAACUAUGUAGACAUGACUCAAGACACUCCUCGGUCAAUAUCCAAUAGCGGGACCUGGAUGUCCAUAUUGGAUCCUACAUAUUCUACGAAGAUCUUAUCAGUUGAACCUCUGUGCCAAGGAUUCAUAUAAUCCCGUAUAACAUUCCCUUUGUCCUUCGGUAUGUUACUUGCCCGAGAUUUGAUCGUUGGUAUCCCUAUACCUAUUUCAAUCUCGUUACCGGCAAGUCUCUUUACUCAUUACGUAAUACAAGAUCCCGUGACUCACACUUGAGUCACGUUGCUUGCAAGGCUUGUGUGUGAUGUUGUAUUACCGCGUUGGCCCCGAGAUACCUCUCCGUCACACGGAGUGACAAAUCCCAGUCUUGAUCCAUGCUAACGCAACGGACACCUUCGGAGAUACCUGUAGAGCACCUUUAUAGUCACCCAGUUACGUUGUGACAUUUUACACACACAUGGUAUUCCUCCGGUGUCAGUGAGUCACAUGAUCUCAUGGUCAUAGGAAUGAAUACUUGACACGCAGUAAACAAUAGCAACAAAAUGACACGAUCACAUGCUACGUUCAUAAUUUGGGUCUUGUCCAUCACAUGAUUCUCCCAAUGAUGUGAUCCUGUUAUCAAGUGACAACACUUGCCUAUGGCCAGGAAACUUGACCAUCUUUGAUCAACGAACGAGUCAACUAGAGGCUCACUAGGGACAGUGUGUUGUCUAUGUAUCCACACAUGUAUUUGAGUUAACAAUCAAUACAAUUCUAGCAUGGAUAAUAAACGAUUAUUAUGAACAAGGAAAUAUAAUAAUAACUAAUUUAUUAUUGCCUCUAGGGCAUAUUUCCAAUAGUCUCCCACUUGCACUAGAGUCAAUAAUCUAGUUCACAUCACUAUGUGAUUUUAACGAAUCCAACACCCAUACAGUUCUGGGGUUUGAUCAUGUCCUGCUUGUGAGAGAGGUUUUAGUCAAUGGUUCUGAACCUUUCAGAUCCGUGUGUGCUUCACAAAUCUUUAUGUCAUCCUAUAGAUGCUGCUACUACGUGCUAUUUGGAAAUAUUCCAAAUCACUACUCUACUUUCCGAAUCCGGUUUACUACUCAGAGUUAUUCGGAUUAGUGUCAAAGCUUGCAUCGACGUAACCCUUUACGACGAACUCAUUAAUCACUUCCAUAAUCGAGAAAAAAAUUCCUUAGUCCACUUGUUACUAAGGAUAACUUUGACCACUGUUUAGUGAUUCAAUCCCGGAUCACUCUUUGUACCCCUUGACAGACUCAUGGCAAGGCACACAUCAGGUGCGGUAUGCAGCUUGGCAUACUUUUAGAGUCUACGGCUAAGGCAUAGGGGACCACCUUCGUCCUUUCUCUUUCUUUUGCCGUGGUCAGGCUUUCGAGUCUUACUCGAAUUCACACCUUACAACACAGCCAAGAACUCCUUCUUUGCUGAUCUAUUUUGAAGUCCUUCAAAAACCUGUCAAGGAAUGCAUUUUAUUGAAAGUUCUAUUUAGCGUUUUGAUCUAUCUCUAUAGAUCUUGAUGCUCAAUGUUUCAAGUAGCUCUAUCCAGGCCUUCCUUUGAAAAACUCCUUUCAAACAACCCCUUAUGCUUUACAGAAAUUCUACAUUACUUUCAAUCCAGAAUAUGUCAACCACAUAUACUUAUAAGAAAUUCUAUAGUGCUCCCACUGCCUUCUUUGGAAAUACAAGUUUCUCAUAAACCUUGUACAAACCCAAAAGCUUUGAUCAUCUCAUCAAAGCGUAUAUUCCAACUCCGAGAUGCUUGAACCAGUCCAUAGAAGGAUCGCUGGAGCUUUCAUAUUUGUUAGCAUCCUUAGGAUCGACAAAACCUUCUGGUUAUAUCACAUACAACCUUUCCUCAAGGAAACCGUUGAGGAAACAAUGUUUUGACAUCCUAUGUGCAAUAUUUCAUAAAUAAUGCAGCAACUGCUAACACAAUUCCAGCAGACUUUUAGCAUCGCUACGACUGAGGAAGUCUCAUCAUAGUCAGCUCUUUGAACUUGUCGGAAACAUCUUUGCGAUAAGUCAAGCUUUUCUUAACAGUGACUUUUCACCAUCAUCUUCUGUAUUUCUUUUAAAGAUCCAUCUUUACUUAAUAGUCUUACGACCAUCAAGUAGUUCUUCCAAAGUCUACACUUUGUUUUCGUACAUGGAUCCUCUCUCGGAUUUCAUGGCCUCCAGCCAUUUGUCGGAAUCCGGGCCCAGCAUCGCUUCUCCAUAGCUCGUAGGUUCAUUGUUGUUCAAUAACAUGACCUCCAAGACAGGGUUACCGAACCACUUUGUAGUAGUACGCGACCUUGUCGACCUAUGAGGUUUGUAGUAACUUGAUUCAAAGAUUAAUGAUCACCAUCAUGAGCUUCCACUUCAAUUGGUGUAGGCGCCACAUGAACAACUUCAUGCGCCCUGCUACACACUGGUUGAAGUGACGGUUCAAUAACCUCAUCAAGUUACACUACCCUCCCACUCAAUUCUUUCGAGAGAAACCUUUCCUCGAGAAAGGACCCGUUUCUAGAAACAAAAACUUUGCUUCCGGAUCUGAGAUAGGAGAUUUACCCAACUGUUUUGGAUAUCCUAUGAAGAUGCAUUUAUCCUCUUUGGGUUCGAGCUUAUCAGACUAGAACUUUUUCACAUAACCGUAGUAGCCCCAAACUUUCAAGAAAUUUGAGCUCAGGUUUCUGCAAACCAUAGUUCAUACUGUGUCAUCUCAACGGAAAUAUGCGGUGCCCUAUUUAAAGUGAAUGUUGUUGUCUCUAAUGCAUAACCCAUAAACGAUAGUGGUAAUUUGAUAAGAGACAUCAUAGUAUGCACCAUAUCAAAUAGGGCGCGGCUAUAUCAUUCAGACACACCAUCACACUAUGGUGUUCUUAGGUGGCAUGAACUGCGAAACAAUUUCCACAUUGUCUUAACUGGGUACCAAAAACUCGCAACUCAGAUAUUCAUCUUGAUGAUCAUAUCGUAGACAGUUUAUCCUGUUGUCACGACGAUCUUCACUCUAAAAUAGCUUUGAACUUUUCAAUAUCUCAGACUUGUGAUUCAUCAAGUAAAUACUCCUUUAUCUACUCAAAUCACUAGUGAAGUAAGAACAUAACAAUAUCCACUGCGUGCCUCAGCACUCAUUGGACUGCACACAUCAAAAAUGCAUUGCUUCCAACAAGUUACUUUCUUGUUCCAUAUGGUAUGAUUUUGCAUGUCUCAAGUGAUUCAAAAUCAAGUGAAUCCAAACGAUCCAUCCGCAUGGAGUUUCUUCAUGUGUUUAUACAAACAUGUAUGAUUUGCAUGUCUCAAACUUUCAAAUAUGAGUGAGUACAAAGAUCCAUCAGCAUGGAGCUUCUUCAUGCAUUUUACACCAACAUGACUCAAGUGGCAGUGCCACAAGUAAGUGGUACUAUCAUUAUUACUUUGUAUCUUUUGGCACCAAUAUUAUGAACAUGUGUAACACUACGAUCGAGAUGCAAUAAACCAUUGAGGGUAAUUAUUCAAGCAAAUAGAAUAACUAUUAUUCUCUUUAAAUGAAUAAUCGUAUUGCAAUAAACACGACCCAACAUGUUCAUGCUCAAUGCAAACACCAAAUAACAAUUAUUUAGGUUUAACGCCAAUCCCGAUGGUAGAGGGAGCGUGCGAUGUUUUGAUCACAUCAACCUUGGAAACACUUCCAACACGUAUCGUCACCUCGCCUUUAGCUAGUCUCCGUUUAUUCCGUAGAUUUUAUUUCUAGUUACUAAUCACUUAGCAACCGAACCGGUAUCUAAUACCCUCGUGCUACUAGGAGUACUAGUAAAGUACACAUCAAUAUCAUGUAUAUCAAAUAUACUUCUGUCGACUUUGCCAUCCUUCUUAUCUACCAAGUAUCUAGGGUAGCUCCGCCUCAGGGACCGUUCGAAUCAUAACAGAAGCACUUAGUCUCGGGUUUGGGUUCAAUCUUGGGUUUCUUCAUUAGAGCAACAACUAGUUUGCCAUUUCAUGAAGUAUCCCUUCUAUCCCUUGCCCUUCUGAAACUAGUGGUUUUACUAACCAUCAGCAAUUGAUGCUCCUUCUUGAUUUCUACUUUUGCAGUGUCAAACAUUGCGAAUCGCUCAAGGAUCAUCAUAUCUAUCCUUGAUAUGUCAUAGUUCAUCAUGAAGCUCCAGCAGCUUGGCGGCAGUGACUUUGUAGAACCAUCACCAUCUCAUCUGGAAGACAAACUCCCACUUGAUUCAAGCGAUUGUUGUACUCACACAAUCUGAGCACAUGCUCAACGAUUGAGCUUUUCACCUUUACUUUGUAGACAAAGAAUCUUGUCGGAGGUCUCAUACCUAUCAACAAGGGCACGAGCAUGAAAUCUCAAUUUCAUAUCUUAGAACAUCUCUUAUGUUCCGUGACGUUUCAAAACGUCUUUAGCACCUUGCUUCUAAGCCAUCAAGUAUUACGCACUGAAUAUCACGUAGUCAUCAAAAAUGUGUAUGUCAGAUGUUCGCAACAUCCACAGACGACGCUCGAGGUGCAACGCAUCGAGUGGUGCAUUAAGGACAUAAGACUUCUACGCAGCAAUGAGGACAAUCCUUAGUUGUAUGGACCGAGUCCGCAAAGUUGCUACUAUCAUCUUUCAACUAAAUUUUCUCUAGGAACAUAUAAAAAACAGUAGAGCUAUAGCGCAAACUACAUCAUAAUUCGUAAAGACCUUUUGACUAUGUUCAUGAUAAUUAGUUCAAUUAAUCAUAUUACUUAAGAACUCCCACUCAAAAAGUACAUCCCUCUAGUCAUUUGAGUGGUGCAUGAUCCAAAUCCACUAAUUCAAGUCCGAUCAUCACAUGAGUUGAGUAUAGUUUCAGUGGUAAACAUCUCUAUGCUAAUCAUAUCAACUAUACGAUUCAUGCUCGACCUUUUGGUCUCUUGUGUUCCUAGGCCAUGUUUGCACAUGCUAGGCUCAUCAAGUUUAACCUGAGUGUUCCGCAUGUGCAACUGUUUUGCACCCGUUGUAUGUGAACGUUGAGUCUAUCACACCCGAUCAUCACGCGGUGUCUCGAAACGACGAACUGUUGCAACGGUUCAUAGUCAGGGAGAACACAAUUUUGUCUUGAAAUUUUAGUGAGGGAUCACCUUAUAAUGCUACCAUCGUUCUAAACAAGAUAAGGUGCAUAAAAGUAUUACAUCACAUGCAAUUCAUAAGUGAUAUGAUAUGGCCAUGAUCUUGUGCUUCCUGAUCUCCAUCACCAAAGCACAUGCAUGAUCUUCAUCGUCACCGGCGCGACACCAUGAUCUCCAUCAUCAUGAUCUCCAUCAUCAUGAUCUCUAUCAUCGUGCCGCCAUCGAGGUUGUCGUGCUAUCUAUGCUAUUACUACUAAAGCUACAACCUAGCAAUAUAGUAAACGCAUCUGUAAACACAAACGUUAGUUUAAAGACAACCCUAUGGCUCCUGCCGGUUGUGGUAGCAUCGACGUGCAAGUCGAUAUUAACUAUUACAACAUGAUCAUCUCAUACAUCCAAUAUAUCACAUCAUGUCAAUGGCCAUAUCACAUCACAAGCAUACCCUGCAAAAACAAGUUAGACGUCCUCUAAUUUGUUGUUGCAUGUUUUACGUGGCUGCUAUUGGUAUCUAGUAUGAUCGCAUCUUACUUACGCAAAAACCACAACAGAGAUGUGCAAAUUUCUAUUUAACCUCUCUCCAAGGACCGCCUCGGUCAAAUCCAAUUCAACUAAAGUUGAAGAAACAGGCACCCGCCAGUCAUCGUUAUGCAACGAGUUGCAUGUUGGUCGAUGAAACCAGUCUCUCGUAUGCGUAUGAGUAAUGUUGGUUCGGGCCACUUCAAUCCAACAAUACCGUCAAAUCGAGAAAAGACUAAGAAGGGAAGCAAAUCAAACAUCAAUGCCCACAAAAACUUUUGUGUUCUACUCGAGAUUACAUCUAUGCAUGAACCUAGCUCAUGAUGCCACUAUUGGGGAACGUUGCAUGGGAAACAAAAAAAUUCCUACGCACACGAAGACCUAUCAUGGUGAUGUUCUUCUACGAGAGGGAGAUAUGAUCCACAUACCCUUGUAGAUCGCUCAGCAGGAAGCAUUAAGAAACGUGGUUGAUGUAGUGGUACAACUUCGUGAUUCAAAUCAUCGUCGUCCCACGAUCCGUUCUGAUCUAGCGCCGAACGGACGACACCUCCGCGUUCAACACAUGUACAGCUCGAUGACGAUCUCGGCCUCCUUGAUCCAGCAAGAGAGACGGAGAAGUAGAUGAGUUCUCCAGCAGCGUGACGGCGCGCCAGUGUUGGUGAUGAUCUAUUCGUGCAGGGCUCCGCCCAAGCUCCGCAGAAAUCUAAUCUACAGGAAGAACUAUGAGGUGUAGGUUUGAGUUGCAUGUGGCAAAGUUUUGUCUCAAACAGCCCUAAACCUCAAGUAUAUAUAGGAGGAGCCAAGGGGUGGUGCAAGCCCUUAGGGCGCCAGCCAAGAAGGCCUCCUUGGCUCGGCCGACUUGGGGAAGGGAGGAGUCCUUCUCCAAUCUCACUUGGAUUAGGACUCCUUCCUUAUUUUCCCACCUCUUUUGGAUUUUCCACUUUUUCCUCAUGGGGUUUCCUUGGAUGACUUUGUCAGCCCAUUAUACCUUAUUGUGCAUCCAAUAAACCCACGUGGACCCCUUGGGACGUGGUUGGCCCACCCAGUGGGCCCCCAAAACCCAUUCGUCACUCCCGGUACACUGCCGGCAAUGCCCGAAGCGUUCCAGAAUCCAAACAUCAACUUCCUAUAUAUCAAUCUUCAUUUUCAGACCAUUCCGGAAACCCUCAUGACGUACGUGAUCUCAUCCAAGACGCCGAACAACCUUCAGUCACCAACACAUAUAACUCAACUAUACUAAAACAUCAUCGAACCUUAAGUGUGCAGACCCUGCGGGUUCAAGAACUAUGUAGACAUGACCCGAGACACUCCUCGAUCAAUAUCCAAUAGCGGGACCUGGAUGUCCAUAUUGGAUCCUACAUAUUCUACGAACAUCUUAUCGGUUGAACCUCUGUGCCAAGGAUUCAUAUAAUCCCGUAUAACAUUCCCUUUGUCCUUCGGUAUGUUACUUGCUCGAGAAUUGAUCGUUGGUAUCACUAUACCUAUUUCAAUGUUGUUACCGGCAAGUCUCUUUACUUGUUCCGUAAUACAAGAUCCUGUGACUCACACUGGAGUCAUAUUGCUUGCAAGGCUUGUGUGUGAUGUUGUAUGACCGAGUCGGCCCCGAGAUACCUCUCCGUCACACGGAGUGACAAAUCUCAAUCUUGAUCCAUGCUAACUCAACGGACACCUUCGGAGAUACCUGUAGAGCACCUUUAUAGUCACCCAGUUACAUUGUGACGUUUGAUACACACCAGGUAUUCCUCCAGUGUCAGUGAGUUACAUGAUCUCAUGGUCAUAGGAAUGAAUACUUGACACGUAGAAAACAAUAGCAACAAAAUGACACGAUCACAUGCUACAUUCAUAAUUUGGGUCUUGUCCAUCACAUGAUUCUCCUAAUGAUGUGAUACCGUUAUCAAGUGACAACACUUGCCUAUGGCGAUGAAACCUUGACCAUCUUUGAUCAACGAACUAGUCAACUAGAGGCUCACUAGGGAUAGUGUGUUGUCUAUCUAUCCACACAUGUAUUUGAGUUUCCAAUCAAUACAAUUCUAGCAUGGAUAAUAAACGAUUAUUAUGAACAAGGAAAUAUAAUAAUAACUAAUUUAUUAUUGCCUCUAGGGCAUAUUUCCAACACCGCCUGGCCAGGCCGGCCUCGCUCCACCACGCAACCAACCGCAGCUUCGGCCCAAUCCAGCCGGCGUGCGAGCCGCCCCAAGGCCCAAUCCAACCCAGCUCCAGCCGGCCCAACUGGCCCGAGGUGAGAACCCUCUCAGGUCCUCUAUUUCGUUCCCUAGGUGCUUGGUUGUUAUCCUGCGCCCAUGCUGUGAUUUCGGCCCACUGUAGUUUCGGCCCGCUGUAUUUGUUUUUAGCACCGGCGUUUUAUUUAAUUUCACAAAAGAGCAUAAUUUUCAAACGCCCGUAAGUUUUUAUCCGUGCGUCGGAUCACGAUGAGUUAUAUACAUAAAGUGAUUAGAAAUUUGCGUAGAUUAAUAUUUCCAACUCUCAUGCAUAUUUAGCGUUGUUUAGCAUGCUGUUUGCAUCGGUUUGUGUAUCGAUGUAAUAGAAACAAUUUAGGUCGUAGUUAUUUAACCGUAGCUCCGUUAGAGAUGAGCCAUAUAUGUAAAUGGACUAGAACGACGAGUAGAAAAACAUGAACAACUUUGUUUUUCCGUUUAACAAACAUAGAAGGUGAUUAGGACAAAUCUAGACAAAUUUAGAAUUUAACACAUGGGGUCCUUUGGAAGAUGCUAUAUGUCGUUUCCGGCCUCAUUUAAAUGCGUGGAUAGGUAGAUUAUUUGUGCUUCACCCCUUGCCAUGUUAACAACAUUUUAAUAUUACCGUGUUAAUAAAUAGGAGUGAACUAAAUAGUUAAAUGUGGAGUUUCGUCAAUAUGCUACUUGUUUCAUAUUGAGCUUCACUUAAUGUGUAGCGUUUGGUUGUCGUGAAUUGCCAUGCCAUGCCUUGCUUAUUUAAAACCGAUCAUGCAUCAUAUUAGGGUGUGCAUCGUAUCAUGCAUGUGUGUGGUGAAUAUCGUGUGUUGAUGCUUGUUUCCAUUUUUCUUCAUCUUGAUAGAGUUCCACAAGCGUGUCAGAAAGUGAGGACCUAUUCGGCUACGCCGGUUCGUGUGCUUCACGGAGUCAUUCUUCUUCCAAGCUGGAUCACAAGCAAGAUGAUCAUUUCCCGAGAUAUCAUUACUAUCAUUGCCAUGCUAGUUGUUUUGUUUCUUCCGUUAUGUCUCACUGCCUACCACCUGUUAAAUAUGAGCCUCCCAACAUUGCCAUGAAAACCUUCAACCUUUCUACAACCUAUUAAACCACUGAUUAGCUAUGUUACCGCUUGCUUAACCAUUUUAUAGCAUUGCUAGUUGCAGGUGCAGUUGCUUCCAUGUGUUAACAUGGGUUCCUUAUUAUAUCACCAUAUUAUUGCUAAUUAAUUUAAUGCACCUAUAUACUUGGUAAAAGGUGGAAGGCUCGGCCUUUCUAGCCUGGUGUUUUGUUUCACCUUUGCCGCCUUAGUUUCGGCUACCGGUGUUAUGUUCCAUAAAUGAGCGCUCCUAACAUGCGUGGGGUAGUUAUGGGGACCCCCUAGGUUCUUGUUUUGGUAUAAAACUCGCCUGGCAAGGCCUAAAGUUGGUACUAUAUUUCCUCAACAUAAUAAUUCUGCUAAUACUAAAAAACAUAGGGAGUUAGCGCUACCUCAGGAGUAAUUCAACAUAAUACAGGGGGCUAGUGCUGAUGGUGUUGGUCCCAAACAGAGGAGUUUAUUAACGCUAACCGGGAAACUCGGCGUUUGGCGUGGUAACCAUCCCUCAUCCGUCAUGUCCUGAGAACGAGAUACGCGGCUCCUAUCGGGAUGUCGGCAUGUCUGGCGGCCUUGCUGGACUUGUUUUAUCUUUCUCGAGCGUCCUGUGCGAGGGAUUCCAAGGAUGCUUUGGGUUAUAUCGAGGUUGUGGUUUUCCAAUAGGAACCCGAUGAGAUCACUAGUUUCCCUGAUCGAGGUUAUUCCGUCCCAGCGUGUUGUAGUUUGUGAUAGACUAGUUGUGGCACCCCUGCAGGGUUAAAUCUUUCGAAAAGCCGUGCUCGCGGUUAUGUGGCAACGUGGAAACUUUGUUUAACAUUCGGUUAUAGACAACUUGAAGUUAACUUAAUUAAAACUUGCCAACUGAGUGCAUAAACAUGACUGUCUCUUUCGUGAGAUCCUUCUCCGAUCGAGGACACGGUGGGGUUAUGUAUGACAUAAGUAGGUGUUCAGGAUCAUUCAUUUGAUCAUCAGUAGUUCACAUCCGCUAUGCAUAGAUCAUCCCCCUCCUAUUUCUUGUACUCGUAAGUUAGCCACCAAAUAAAAGCUUAGUUGCUUGCUACAACCUCACCACUUAACCUUACCUCACCCAUUAAGAUUAGCUAGUCUUGAUACCUUUGGAAAUGAGAUUGCAGAGUCCCUGUGGCUCACGGAUUACUACAACACCAGUUACAGGUGCAGGUAAAGAGUCACUUUAUGCGAGCACGUUGGUUGUUCAUUUGGAGUUUCUUCUUCUUCUUCGUCUUCUUCGAUCUAGGAUGGGUUCCAGGCCGACAGCCUGGGACAGCAAGGAUGGACGUUGUUCUCUUAUCAUUUGUUUUCGUCCGUAGACGAACCCUGCUCUUCUUCAUGAUGAUUGUAUGUAAUGUACUGUUGUGACUCUGAUGUAGCUUGUGGCGAGUGUAAGCCAACUCCUUAUACUCAUGUUUUCAGUACAUGUACUUGUAAUGAUAUCCAUUCUUGCGAAACGACGAGAUGCGUUUCUAUCCCUGUCGAGGCCCUCACACCAAAACAAGGAUAGGACCGCAUCUUGGGCGUUACAGGUACUUCUGCUGUAGAGAUAGUACCGCUAUGCAGGAGCGGUACUUCCGCUGAAGCGUAGUACCAUCCCACGGGCGGUGGUACCAUCUUUGAGCAGAUAACUGAUGUCAAUGGAGGCGGCAGUGUGGGAUCUCUCCGUACCACCCAUCUCUAUUGCAAGUACCAAACUUAUUUCAACACAAAAUCAUCCACACGUCCUAUGCACGCCAUGGGAAAAUAAACUAAACAGGGACUCCACACACAUUGCCCUAGAUCAAGAUCCAACGAAAUACCAAGAGAGAGAGAGAUGUUGAUCGAGGGCAACACCGGGAUCCAUGGCACGAGGGAGAUGGGAGGAGAGAUCCCUCGUGAUGUUCUUUGUCGCCAUAGAGAGGGAGAGUCAUGAGGAGAGGGAGGGAAUGGGUAUCCGAAGCCGGCCUCCCGUGAUGUUCUUGGUCGCCACAGAGAGGGGAGUCAUGAGGAGAGGGAGGGAAUGUGUAUGGGGGAAUUGGAACUCCCCCUGCCCCGGUCUUUACUCCCCACAAAAUCCCCCAGGCGAUAGUACCACCCAUGAGCACGAUAGUACCGCUGGCGCGGUAGUGCUGCCCCAUUAGCACGGUAGUACUGACUGUGACCCAAGAAACAGGCACCAUAAAAGACAGAGAUCUAUUUGACUACGCAGAGGAGAGAAUAAAGCCACAAAAUAAAAGAAGGUACUCCACUUUGAAAGAAUGCACAACGGGAAACAAAACACAUUGUGGAGUGACCCUUCAAGCAAUUUAAUGAAAAGAACUUGUUUGGAAGAGGGGCGGUGGCCGAGGCCACCUUUGUUUGAGUCGGUUGGUAUGGCACCGCGAAGAUUUUAACCUUGGGCCCAUGACCAAUACUCGUCUCUGAAGAACAUGUAUCACCAUUAGUGAGUAAUGUGAAAGACUUGAUCGAUUUAUCCGCAAUAGAGGGAGGGAGAGUUCAUUGAGAGACCAACACUCCCCCUAAAAUCAUGCCUACAUCUAAACAAAAUAGAAUGAUGAGAGUGGUGGGGUGUGCCUAAUUUCAAUCCACAUUGCUCAAAUCAAUGAUAUUUAGCUCAUGGCUUAACUCGCGAAAUCUUGCUUCAUUUAAAGGCUUCGUGAAUAUAUCUGCAAUUUGAUCAUUAGUGUUGAGGUAAAUGAGGUCAACCUCUCCACGCUUGAUAUGCUCCUAGAUGAAGUGGUGACGAAUACUGAUGUGCUUCGUCUUGCAAUGUUGAACCGGGUUUUUGGAUAUUGAGAUAGCACUGAAGUUAUCAUAGUAAAGAGGCACUUUGUCACAAGUGACACCGUAAUCCUUUAAAGUUUGCCUCAUCCAUAGUAACUGAGCACAACAACUUGCGGCAGCUACAUAUUCAACCUCGAUGGACGAGAGACUAACACAAUUUUGUUUCUUGGAAGACCUACUUACCAAAGAGCGGCCAAGGAAUUGGCAACCUCCGGAAGUUGAAUUCCUAUCCACACGGUCUCCCGCCCAAUCUGAAUCCGAAUACAUGUGAGAUCAAAUGAAGCCCCUUUGGGACACCAUAAGCCAAAGUUUGGGGUAUGAGCCAAAUAUCGAAAGAUUCGCUUGACCACCACAUAGUGACUUUCCUUAGGUGCGAAUUGAAAUCGUGCACAAAUUCCCACACUCAACAUAAUAUCCGGUCUAGAUGCACAAAGGUAAAGCAGAGAUCCGAUCAUAGAGCGAUAUACCUUUUGAUCCACAGCUUUACCAUUGGGAUCGAGGUCAAGAUGGCAGUUGAGAGGCAUAGGAGUGUUGGACUUGGCUGGUUUGAGAUCAUCCAUCUUGAACAUUUUGAGCAUGUCUUGAGUGUAUUUUGCUUGACUGAUGAAGAUUCCUUGACUUCAUUGCUUGACAUCGAAUCCAAGGAAAAACUUCAACUCUCCCAUCAUAGACAUCUCAAACUUUUUAGUCAUUAGUGUAGCAAAUUCUUCAUUAAAAGCUUUGUUAGGAGAACCAAAGAUAAUGUCAUCAACAUAUAGUUGGCAUAUGAACAAAUUCCCCUUGACCUUCUUAGUAAAAAGAGUGGGAACAAUUUUCCCAACUUCAAAUCCACGGUCAUGUAACACCUCAGUAAGAUGCUCAUACCACGCACGUGGAGCUUGUUUAAGUCCAUAGAGUGCCUUAUCAAGAACAUACACAUGGUUAGGGAACUUGGGAUCCUCGAACCCCGGGGGUUGCUUGACAUAAACCAACUCCUUAAGGGGACCAUUAAGAAAUGCACUCUUCACAUCCAUUUGGUAUAAUUUGAAGUUAUGAUGAGAAGCAAAUGCAAGCAAUAUGUGAAUAGAUUCAAGGCGAGCGACAUGAGCAAAUUUUUCACCAUAGUCGAUACCCUUGACUUGGGAGUAGACUUGUGCUACUAAUCUUGGCUUGUUCCGAGUGACGACACCGUUUGCAUAUUGCUUGUUCUUAAAGAUCCAGUUUGUCCCAAUGACCUUGUGGUUCUCCUUUGAUCUUGGCACUAGAAGUCACACUUUGUUGCGCUCGAAGUUGUUGAGUUCUUCAUGCAUGGCUUCAACACACUCCAUGUCCUCGAGAGCCUCUUUUACCUUUAGUGGUUCAAUGCAAGAAACAAACGCAUGAUGGGCACUAAAGUUUGAUAAUUGAUGACGUGGGGUUACCCCUCUCUAUAAGCUACCGUAGACAUUCUCCAGCACACGGGAAAGAUUUUUGAGUGUUUUGGCAGUCUUGGUAGCGCGUCUUUCUUGAAUCUCCUCAGGGGUAAGCUGAGGAGCGUGUUUGAGACCUUUACCUCCUUUUUGAGUUGGCCCUUGAUCUUGAGCUUGAUUUUGUUCUUGCACUUGCUCUUGAUCUUAAACUUGGUCUUGAUCUUGAGCUUUGCUCUUGGACUUGAGCAUCCUCAGAGGGGUGAGCUGGACCAAGGACGUCAUUUGGUGCAGGACCAACUUGAGAUUGAUCUUCUCCUUGAUUGGGAUCACGGGGAUGAGGGCCUUUGGAAUGUUCUUCGAAAGCGUGUGGGUCUUGCGUCAGUGAUGGUUCCAUAUGAGUGGAACAUUGUCCCUCUCCUUCAGCCACAAGGGGUUCCUCAACGGGCAGGAAGUGUCCCACGCCCAUUCUUCUUAUGGCUUGGGGAGGAAUUUCAUCACCAACAUCACAAAGACGACUUUGCUCAACUUGGGAGCCAUUAUUCUCAUCAAACUCCAGGUUACACGUCUCCUCAAUGAGUCAUGAGGACUUGUUGAGGACACGGUAAGCACGAGAGUUUGUAGCAUAACCAACAAAUAUGCCCUCUUGAGAUCUAGGUUCAAAUUUAGACAACCGGGGACCUUUAUUAUGAAUGUAACACUUACAACCAAACACAUGGAAGUACUUGAGGUUGGGCUUGUUGCCGGUAAGAAUUUCACAUGGAUUCUUGUUCAAGCCUUUGCGAAGGUAGAGCCGAUUGGAUGCAUGACAUGCGGUGUUGAUGGCUUUGGCCCAAAGGUUAUACGGAGAUUUAAACUCCUCCAUCAUGGUUCUUGCCACAUCCAUCAAUGUCCGGUUCUUCCUUUCCACCACACCAUUUUGUUGAGGAGUGUAGGGUGCAGAGUAUUGAUGCUUGGUUACUUCAUCACUUAGAAAUUCAUUUAGGGGGUAGUGUCGGUGGUGCGAGGUCGACACCUAUGGGAAUCAAUGUGAAACCCUUGUGAUCGUAGAGCGGGGAGAGGUGACGUGAAGAGCAGAGCUAACGAUCAGCAACCGACAAGCCCUACCUAGGUUCGUGCCGCUUACGCGUAAAAUUCCUACGUCCUGCUUGUCUGGUUGUAUUAAGCGUUUUUGUUGUUGACUGUUACAAUGACUGUUGAUGAUCGUCUUAUGAGCCAAUGUCCAAAGAGUCUAACCCUCCUUAUGAAUGAGCUAAGGGCCUCCUUUUAUAGGCAAAGGGGUCACCUAUAGUGCUUGGUGGUAGGUUCACGAGGAGUUACAGUGAACCUAGGGCAGUGCUUAUCCAUGUACCGCUUGUCAGGUGCAUUAAAUGCAUGUCUUGUCCUUGUCAGCAAUGUGCUGGUGAAGACACGUAUCCAGGUGUUUCGACACCUGGACGCUGCGCUAGCGCAUGCGGAAUGCGCUGGCACUUGGGGGGUGAUACGUCCCAAACGUAUCUAUAAUUUUUGAUGGUUUCACGCUGUUAUCUUGUCAACUUUGGAUGUUUUGUUUACCUUUUAUAUCUUUUUGGGACUAACUUAUUAACUCAGUGCCAAGUGCCAGUUCCUGUUUUUCCUGUGUUUUUGACUCUUUUCAGAUCUGAUUUUGGAACGGAGUCCACACGGAAUAAAAUCCCCGAAGUAAAUUCUUCCAGAACGGAAGAAGAUUGGGAGGCUUGAGGGCCAAGAAAGUGGGCCCAUAGGGGCCCCAUAAGCCUUGUUGCCGCGGCCAGGGGGGAAGCCGUGGCAACCAAGCUUGUGACCCCCUGGCGCUCCCCUUCCCUAGGUCUUUGGCCUAUAAAUUCCUUAAAAAUCCAGAAAAAAUCAGGGCAUCCACGAAAACACUUUUCCGCUGCCGCGAGCUUCCGUUUCCGCGAGAUCUCAUCUGGAGACCCUUCCCGGUGCCCUACCGGAGGGGACUUUGGAGUUGGAGGGCUUCUACAUAAACAUCAUCGCCCCUCCAAUGACUCGUGAGUAGUUCACUUCAGACCUACGAGUCCGUAGUUAGUAGCUAGAUGGAUUCUUCUCUCUCUUGGAUCUUCAAUAUAAAGUUCUCCAUGAUCUUCAUGGAGAUCUAUCCGAUGUAAUCAUCUUUGCCGAUGUACUCCAUGGUAGUGGUAAUGGUAGCUUUGAUGUUGGUAGUUUAAGCAUUAGAGUUUACCUUGUUGGAUGCCUUGGUCAUCAGGCACUUGGCAAUGCGGUUCUCGUUGGGGGCCUUUAAGAGAGACACCUUACUUAGAGCAGAGGAUGCGAUGGCCACCGUGGCCAUUCCCAUUGCUUCACCACUUGUCUCAUCAUCAUCAUGCUCAUCGGAGAGGUACUCUUCUUGAGCCAUGAACAUCUUCUAGGGCACCUUCUUGGGGAAGUUGUUCUUGUUUGGGAAGGACUUGGUCUUGUCUUUGCGAAUGAGCUUGCCACCAUUAUUCUCCCUCUGCUCAUAGGGACAAUCUGCCACAAAGUGACUCACAUUGCCACCUUUGUAGCAAGUUCUCAUGCGUUGCUUUCCCUUGGACCCAUUUGAGUUGUUUUUGGAGAAGUUGGGCCUUUAGUUUUUCUUGUUGCCCCAAAAUUGCCUUGAUGCAAGAGCCAUGUGCUCGUGGUAAGAAUACUUGGUUUCUUCAGGGCAAGUUUCUUCUUUGUAUUCCUCAUCCUCCUCCAAAGCAGACUUGACCUUCAAAGCAAGGUUGGGGGAGUCUUUUCUUGACCAUUGAACUCGAGCCAGAGCAUUGUCAGCGGUCUUGUUCAAAAUGUUCAUGGCAAUAAACUCAUCCAACACAUCACUUGAGUACAAGGAAUGAAAGUUCGGCCUUUCACAGAUGAUGAAGGACAUGGACUUGUUGAAAGGCAUGGUGUCCUUGAGAAACUUGCGCUUAAUCCAAGUGUCAUGCACAUCUUUGGUUCCAUGAUCUUGAAGAGCAACAUCAAGAGUUGUAACUCUUCGAUAUAGCUCACGAGGGUCCUUAUCCUCGAUCAUACAAAAUUCAUCGGCCUCACCAAGAACCACUUCAUAGUUGGACCGUUGAAUGCUAGAGCUUCCGUUGUACAUGGAGAUGAUGUGCUCCCAACAAUCUUUGGCACGAGUGAAGGGACGCAAGUGAGGAAGGUCUUCAACAGGUACAACUACUUGAAGAAUGAAAAAGGCUGAGUGAUUGAGUUGAUUGUCGACCUCUUCUCUCGGUGUGAGGUUUCUUGGAUCAUGUGUAUAGUACCCGUGUUCAAUGAUUCUCCAAAGUUGUGUUGAUCUGUGGUUCAAAUGAGACUUGAUACGAAAAACCCAGUUAGCAAAAUCAUUCUUCACAAGCUUUGGUGGAGGACCAAGAUUAAUAAUAUGCGGUGGGUGGACCGGUCCUCCAUAGACCAUUGGAGGAGGAACAGAGGCAAAUGCAUUUGCCCCACUUGUUCGUUGAUGCGUUUUAUCCUUUUCACUACUAGCAUUUUCCUUUUUAGAAUUACCCCCCCAAAUCCGAAGUUGUGGGAUUAGCCAUCGACAACUGGUUGGUAGGCGGUUUGUAAAUAUCAAGGAAAUCCUUAAGCUAGUUUUUGACUUUGAUAUACAUUGAGGAUAUAAAUGUGGACAUGACAUCAUUUAAUUCCUCUCGGGUCACCGAGUUUGCAGCAGCUCCCUCAGGCACCUCCUCCUCCCAUUCCCCGUUGUCAACCAUACUCUUUAGGUGUUGAAACCCUUAAUAAAGAGACGAGGCUUUGAUACCAAUUGUAAGGAUCGAUAUGGUUACCUAUAGAGGGGGGGGGUGAAUAGGCAACUAACAAAUUUUAAGCUUUUCUUUAACCAAAUUAGAUUUAGCAACAAAUAGGUUAUCCAGAUAUGCAACUAAGUGAGAAACCUAUAUGAUGCUAACAACCACAAUAAUAAGCAAGAAGUAAAUACAAGUAAAGGUAAGAAAUAACCACAGGUGGAACCGAUGAAGACGAGGACGUGUUUCCGAUGUUCCUUCCCUUUGAAGGGAAGUACGUCUCCGUUGGAGCGGUGUGGAGGAACAAUGAACCCCAAGAUGCCACUAAGGCCACCGUAUUCUCCGCACGCCCUCACACAAUGCGAGGUGUCGUGAUUCCACUAAGUGGUGCCCUUGAAGGCUGACCGAACCUUUACAAACAAGGCUGGGGAAAUCUCCAUAAGUUAAUUGGAGGCUCCCAACAAGACCAUGAAGCUUCACCACAAUGGAGUAUUGCUUCGAGGUGACCUCUUCCAUCUAGGGUGCUCAAACACCCAAAAAUAACAAGAUAUGCGAGGGAUUAAUGGGGGGGGAACCACUUUUCACUUUGUGGAAGUGUGGGGAAGGGCCUUCUCCUCCAAACCCUAGAGAAUUAACAAGAGUUGAUGGCUAGGGAGGGAGAUCAGGCAAGUCUGAGCUUGUGGAGAAACAGUGGAGCUGGAGAGGGAAACAGUGAAGUCUCCUCAGGGAAGAAGACCCCUAUUUAUAGUGGGGGGGGAUCGGGCCGUUACCAACCCAUUACUGGCCCAACUAAGCGGUAGUACCGUGCACCAGGGUGGUACUACUGCUCCCCUGGGCAGUACUUGCACUCACCGAUGAUGAAGGGAGGUAGGAAGCCAGAGAGAAAAAAAAUAAGCGGAAGUGGGCGCGGUAGUACCGCUCGAGGAGUUCUACCGCUCCCCCUGAGCGGUACUUCUUCUCGACAAAAUAAAAAGGCCCCUCCAUACCACAGAAGAAAAAGAAGCACGAGAGGGCCCGACACUGGUGGGCGGCAGUACCGCUGGAGAGGUACUACCGGCACUAGGGCGGUACUACCGCUUGUGUAACUUCCUCGACACUUAAAAUAGGGAAGCUCCUUUGCUCUGGAAAAGGGAUGGGGAGAAGAAUGAGAGUUAGUGUUCCGCCCAACUUUUACAAAAGCGUAUCCCCUCUUGAUAGUACGAGAUUAUCUACAACUCGAGUCCACCAACCCUAAAUCAAUAGCUAAGCACCAUCUUUAGUUUUACUUACUGGGGGAAUAAAUCCGUCUCGUGUCACCUGAUAAUUCUCUGAAAGUAUAUCGCACACGAUUAGUCCGCAAAGGGUAUCGUCAUCAACCACCAAAAUUUCCUAGGAUAAAUUAUGCUCUUACAUCCAUCCCUUGGAUGCUGGUGACAAGAAAUGACAUCUUCUUCUCUCUUGUUCAUAGCUGUGGAGCUGGAGCAUGUAUAUAUGCCUAUGCCUCUUCUGCCUUUGCCCGGUGACGCGCUGUAAUUGAGCCGGGAUGGCUGGGGUCCAUCACAACUUCAUUGUCCUCUAACUCUAGCUGUAGCGGCAUGUGUGGACGAUCAAGUUGAUAUGCAUGCUUGCCAAUCUUGGCAUUGAUGAGGAUCUGAAUGUAUGGUGCAUACCCACAAUAUCUCUUCUGAUCUUCAACGGUCCUCUCUGGAUGCAGAGCUCUUGUUCUUCUAUGCUGCAGGUAUUUCCCUAGUAGUCUUCUUGGAAGCUACUAGCUUAUUGGGCUUGGGUGCUGAAGGUUGAGGUGCAGACCUGCUAGGCAUAGCAUCAGCCAUGAGCUUAUUCUUCUUAGGUGGAGGUGCAUUAGCACCAACCUCUUCCGCCUCUUCCUCGAUAGCUUCUGCUGGAUCUUCAUACAUGGAUGUCUUCCAUCCAAUAACGUGCACCACUCUCUACCUAGCUCUUUUUCUGCCCUGGCUUCUUAGCCUGCCUGUAAGAUGGGUUCUCAAGUGUAAGCUUCAUCCUUCUCUGAGCAGCCUAUGGAACUCUCAUAGAAUCUUGUCUGGCAUACUAUUUUCUCACAAUAUUUUUGAUGGUGACUCUUUCCUUUUGCUUCUGGGGAUGCUCUCCUCUGGGUCGGAAGCUGUCCUCUCAGUGCUAGUGCAUGAAUCCAUCUCAGCACUGGGCUCUCUGAAAUCAUCGUGACUGUCCUCUGAAACAGACAUGCUAACAAACAACCAAGCAAACAAGUUGACCCCGUGAAAAUAAUUAGAAGAGCUGGAGAGGAUGAACAUCACAAAAAAUCAGAAGUUUUUGCAAGUUUGAACUCUGAAAAUUUUAAGUUUAACUUUCUGCAAAAAGAGAUAUCGGUUCCACCGAGGCAAAAAUUUUGGAGCCACCGAGACUGAUAUCGUCAAUAAAAACUUGACACACUUGAACCGAAAAGUGUAACUCGGUUUUACUAAGACUGUUCUGAGUAGCCCAAAACUAAAAUUGGUAGGACCGAUUUUUUUGACUCCGUGACACUGAGAUUCCGUUUUGCGGACUGUUAACCCUAAAUAUUCCUUCGUUCUCUAGUCAUUUCGAAGUUUCUUCUAGAUAGAAAGAUUUCAAUCAUGGACUGAAGAUGGCAGAUCCUAAUUGCACAAGAUUCAGACUUGGGAGUGGAAGAAGGGGCCGAAACCUUACCCUAAUGCGGUGGAGGUUCCUCUGUGGUGACGAUGAUGGUGAUGAUUCCCAUCGACGACGAGGAUUCCUUCGACGAGGACACGUUGGUGACAAAGUAGAUGUCCCGAGGACUAGGGCUCGACAACGAGGAGGUU
rnacentral:lncRNA from 1 species